CUUAGUAAGAUGCUCACCAUAACUCCCAGUCUGAUGUCGUACGUGAGUAGGAUCCGCACCAUAGAAAACAGGCAAAACCGAACAACCCCUUGUCUUGUAGCAGUGAAUGAUGUGGACAAGUUCGUCCAAGCAAAAUGAAGAAGAUGCAUAGUUUGCAGAAAAUAUGGGAAUCAAAAUCCUAGACUCUUCAAUGGCCUUGACAAGUGAUGGUGUGCUUUCAUCUCCUCUUUCAAGAUCGUUGUCAUCAAUGAAGGUUUUGAUUCCCUUGUCAAUAAGAGCCUUGUAGAGAUUGCCGGUAAAACCGUAAAGAGUGUCAAUGUCCCUAAAACUGAGGAACACAUGGUAUUUGAACCCAGAGGAAAUUGAAGAGGAAGAGGAAAGUGAUUGCAUAGCCAUGAGAAUUGAGAGAAAUAAGAUGAAAAAAAAGUUUGAGAAUAUGAAUGAGUAAGUUUUUGUGGUCUGUGAUGUGGAGUCUUUAAUAUGGAUCUAUAUAACAAGGAGAAAACUUGUGACAAAAAUGAUUUGUGAAACUUCUUGGCCACUUCCUAUAGCCGUGUGGACCAAUCACUAUAUGGACCUACCACCUCUUCUUGCUAAUUUCCUCAAUAUGAUUACUGUUCAAUUUUUGGACACAACUUAAAUAAAUAAACAAGUGAAAAGCCAAAUAAUAUUUCACUAUUAUUUUUUUCUUUGUUUCUGCCUAAUGCUACAAUAUACGGUUUUCAAUUUUUUUAUUUGGACACAUGAUUUCCAAUAUUGUAUUUUGACAUUGUAUACCAUUGAGAGUGAUGUUGGUUGGAGUGAGCACGACCACCCGAGAAGAGAAAAAAACUAUUUAAGACUAUGAAACCAAUAAGUAUAGCGUGUGUCUAGAUCUACGUUAAAAAAAAUUCUACAAGACAUUUUACAAGUUUUAUUUUUCAACCGAUUUUAUUCUUGUGUGUGAUUUUAUUCUUGUGUGUGAUUUUCAGUUUGUAAGUUAAUUAAUCAGUCCUAAAUAACAUGAAAUAAAAAUAAAUGCAGCCUAUGCUAUUCUAACAUCUAAUAAGACAGUUACAAAAUUAAAUCUGUUACUUAAUUACUCCUUUUUCAUUUUUGUUAUGUUAACUAUUACAAAUAGAUAUAUACAUAUAUAUGGUUGAAAGUAAGUAACAGAAGAAAUUUGAUGAAGACUAGUUCUACCUAAUAAUUUUGCUUAUUACAGAGUCAAAUUUUUUCUUUAAAAAUGGAUUUACAUGUCAUUGGUGAUCAACUAUGUCUUCAAAAUAUGACCUGUUUAACUAAAUGAUUAAUUAACCAUGCACACACAAUUAUUAGUGUAGGUUGUUAUGUUGAAUGCUUAAUUAGCCAUACAACUGUAACAUAGAAAAUUUAUAUAUAUUUCAUUCCAAAUAUGACAAGGCUUUGGAAAAAUGACUUUAAAUUUAAAUUUUCAAUUGAAGAUGAGAUGGAGAAGCUAAUUUUAUGUAAAAGAUUCUUCUAACUGAAUUAACAAUCACAUUUCAAAGUCAGAAAUAUGCUACCCUUCCCAAAGGAAUAUAUAUAUAUAUAUAUAUAUAUAUUACAUAUAUUCAAAAGUUUUGAUAGUAUUUCCGUCUUAAACUAACUAGUUAGUUAAAAACAAGAUUAGGGUAACAUAGAUAUGAAAUAUUCUUUCCUUCAUUUAUUUUCUCAAGUUUUGGCUACCAAGUCAACACUUUUACUACCGCAUGUUGAGUCUGAAACUUUCUUCUCAUCUUCCAUGUGGACAAAUGUGGGACACUUCCUUUGAAUUUCUACAUCUGUACGUGUGGACCAUUCAGCAAUAGCACCACUCAAAGACCAACCUUCAAAGUCAUUAUCCUUAACCUGUUUCCAUCAAUGAAGGAUAUGGAUAGGUGGAAGAAUAGUAAUACUUGUGUAAACUAAUGCGUGCCUUAAAAAUUAAACUAUGAAUUGCGAGCUGUGAUAUUUUGUUUAGACCUCAAAAGUCAAAAGUCUUUCUGAUAGUUAUUGUGUGUGUCAAGACAAAUACAAUCUCAUCUAUUGAACUGACAUUUUCUGCUCUUAUUCUAAGUCUAUACAAGAACUUGAUAUUUAUAUUUGAAAUUUGAUUCACCUCUUGUAAAUUCCUCCUCAUAAAAUUUUAAAGAUAAAUAAUUAGUGUUGGCACCCAAUUUAAAAAUGAAUAAAACUAAAGAAUACAACAAAUAUAAAAGUAUAAACUAUUAACGGAGGGGGGACACGGUUCUUUACUCCCAAAGAUUGUUUCAACAUCAUUUAAUAUAAUCAGAGAAUCAAUUAUCCUUUAACAACAAAAGCUAGCAACAACAACUUCAUGAUAUUUUUUUAUUAUUUCCAUUAUCCAAGGAAACAAAAGUUUACAAACGCGUCGACAUUCAAAUACAUUAUUCAAGGAUAUGGCCUCCAUAGCAAUUAUGAGCAUGGUUGUAAAUUUAAUCAAAUAAAAACACAAAUUGCAAUUAUAUUUUAUACUGCAUAGGUCAUGACUCUGGCAAAACGAUCUCAUGAAUGUUGGCUCUCAGAUUCAGUUCUUUAUCCCAUAUUACUAUAGAAAUAUAGAAAGAAAUUGUAUAAUGUUGAUAAUUACAAAUUUUGAAUAGUAGAAGUAAUGCUAGUUAUAGCAAAACCCACUAACUAUUGGUACAAGAUAUACUAACACACAGUUUUUAUUUAUAUGACCAAGCCUUUGCAUAUUUCUUCAUAUUAUCCGAUGUGGGACAUUAUUCUAAUUAUUAUUAUUGAAAUCCUCCCGCAAUUGUAUGGUUUGAGAGAGAGAUGCAACUUGGACAGUAAGUACUCGAACCUAGGAUGAAGCAGGGGUUUGGUUAGAAUAUCAGCAAGUUGAUCAUCGAUAGAAACAAAGGAUACUCGAAACUUGCCAUUUCGAACAUUUUCUCGGAAAAAAUGAUAGGCUAAGGCUAUAUGUUUCAUCCGAGAGUGAAAUACAGAAUUAGCACUAAGGUGGGUACGUAGCACCGAGGUUGUCACAAUAGAUGACUGGAUUGGAUGGUGGAGUGUGGCCUGAAGGUGAAAAACACAAGAAGGGGGGGGGGUUGAAUUGUGUUUUCUUUUUCUCUUAAAAAAGGAUUCUUCUUCUGAUAAAACUUCAGAAGCAGUUUGAUUGCUUCUGAUGAAAUGAUCAGAGUCAGAUUGCAGCGGAAAAGAACAGAGCAGAGAAAAGAAAGACAAAGACACAGGCAGUUAUCCUGGUUCCUUCCACAACACGGAAGUAGUCCAGUCCCCCUUGCACUUCCAAGGAGAUUUCACUAUAAUCACAAGAUUACAACUGCUCAAUACUUUCAAAGUAUGAGACUUCACAAAACAAUGCUCAAGCACACACGCAAGAGUCUUCCAAUGCUCAAGCACUAAGCAAGAGACUUCUAAUGCUCAAGCACGCAGGCAAGAGACUUCUAAUCAAACAAAAAUACAGAGAAUUGAGUUUGAAUUGAACACUUGAUAUACAAUCAGUGGUGUUCACAAUACAAUACAGAAAAGACUCUAGACUUUGAAUUUCUAAGAUGUAUCAAAUCAGUGCAGAAAUUCAGUGUGCUUUGUAGAAUCAAAUUGACAGAGUUUUGGCGCUUUUGAACUUAUGUAUCUCUAUCUAAAAUCUUCAAGUCUUCAUUCCUUUAUAUAGAGGCGUGAAAGAGACGUUGAGAUAAUCAGCACGUCUAAAGAGUCGUUUGAAAUCCUUUGAUUAUCCACCAGUGAUCCUUUGCCUGAUUUGGGUGUAGUCCUUUGAAGGAUAAACUUCAAAUUCAUUCCCAUCUUGAGUGUACAAAUUCUGCAGGCAUGGCUGUUGUUUUGUCUUGUAGCGUAGACAGAAAACAGAGUAGUGGAGGUAGUGGUUGUACACUUGUACUUUGUCAACUCUAUUAAUGAGAGACAAGUGCUCAGUGCUAUCCAUAUAUCCGUUGAUACCUCCCUUUCAAUUCUUCAUUCUUCUUUGAUAAGACUGAAUUGAGAAUCAGCAACUUUGAAUCUUCAGUUUGACUAAAGGAUCAAAUGUAGCUUCUGGUGAAAAUAUUGCUUCUGAUGAAAACUUUUGCUUCUGAUGACUUUCUGCUUCUGAUGACGUCAUCUCUUCAGGAGCAGUUUAGCUUCAGGAGCAGUUUUCUUCAGAUGCUCAGAAUUUCUUUUUCUUUCCAUUGUUCUUCCAAGACCUAUUGAAAUAACUUGAGUAGCCUUUGGUCCUGUACACUUGAACAAUUAUUAGUAAUAACCAAUUGACAAUUUUUAAUACCUUGUUAUCAUCAAAACUUAAUAAGGUUCAUUGUGAAACACAUUUUGUUCCAACAAUCUCCCCCUUUUUGAUGAUGACAAACAAUAGUAUUUAAAAUGUUCAAUUGUUGUUGAUCUAAUUAAUAAGUUGACUACUGGGACAGAGGUUUGUAAGCUCCCCCUGAGUCUAAUAGUUCUUUAAGGUGAGGUUUGUAAGCUCCCCCUAAGUUCUAUUCUUAUUAAUUAAAUUUCAAUAAAAUACUCAUAAAAAUCAAAUCAGAGGUAUUUAAAAGAAGUUUAGAAGUUGUUAUAGUAGGGCUCAGUGCCUUAAAAAUACUCAUAAAAAUCAAAUCAGAGGUAUUUAAAAGAAGUUUAGAAGUUGUUAUAGUAGGGCUCAGUGCCUUAAAAAUACUAUACAUUUACUCCCCCUUUUGUCAUCAACAAAAAGAAUAGAAACAAAAGAAAGAGUAUCAGAGCAAGCAGCAUUAAACAGUAAAUAUCAUCAGAGUCAAAGCUUGUAAAACAUAUUGAAGGUGAAAAAGCACAAGAUCCAGAAACAAUGAUAAUAUAUAUAAAGAAGAUUAAGAUACAAGGACACAGCUACGAAGAACAAAAGUAAAAAACAAGCUAGAGUUGGGUGUGCAACUAAGGUUGGGCUUGCUUAUACAACUGUUCUAAGAGAUACUUGAUCUGAUCAUCCUUCUUCUGAAGUAGCUCAUCCUUUUCCCUCAUUCUUCUUUUAUAUCCAGCCUGAAUUCUAGCAGCCCUAGUGAUGUACUCUUCUUCUGGAUAGAAAGGAGUGAUGUCCAGCAGAGGCUCAAAAUUCAGCUCUUUCUCCUUAGCUGCUUCAUGCAUAUCAUCCAAAAGCUUCUUCAGCAUAGCAGAGUGAGAUGACACACAUUUAGUUCUAAGCUGAUCCAGCAGCUCAUCAAAGCUCUUCUGUAGAUCCAUCCACUGAUCAUAAUAGUGAAUAGGAGGUGCAGGAACUGUUCUGCGAAGAAUCAGUGCCUGAAUCUCAUCACUAAGUCUGAUCAGUUGUUCCUCUAUAUACUCAGACUCCAGGAUAUGGUCAGGGAUGGGUGAAGGUUCAGUUUGAGUUGUAUUUGAUAUGGAAGGUUGGUCAGAGGUUAAGUCUAUUAUAGUGGGUGAAUCUGGUUGUUGUUGUUGUUCUGUUGUUUGGUCAGAAGGUAUAUGUUGGUCAGAAGUUGUUUGGUCAGGAGCAACUUGUUCAGAGGCAGUUUGCUCCUGAACAGUUUGCUCAGGGAUGGUUUGGGUUACUGUUUGGGUUUCCAAGACAGUCUUUUCAGGAACUGUCUUAGAGGCCUUAGUGGGUGUUGGUUGCAUUUCACCACCUAGAUGUUUUUCUAAGUUGUGAAGGGUUGAGUAUUCUUGGUGUUGGGGGGUUUCUGAAGUAGUUGCAUCUGAAGCUACUUCAGAGGCUUUUUGUGUGGUUGAGUUAUGUGGUGAGUUUGUUGUAGGUUCUGGGUUGGGUUGAGGUUGUUGUACACUAACAGGUUCAGGAUUAUCUGGAUAGAGUGGAUGAGUAGGAGGCAAAUUGAAUUUCUCACAAAGUUUAAUUCUAUUCUUAGAAAAUUCUAUUUGAGUUUGCUCCCAGUCAAGUGUUCCUAAAUCUGUUAGUUUGGUAGGUUUGGUUUUUAGAAGCUUGUCUAUGUGUUGGCUAAGGGGUUGGUCAUCUGAUUCUGUUGAUGAUGAAGAGGGUGAAGAGGGUAGAGAUGGAAUCUGAGUAUUAGUUGGAGCGUUAGAUGGAUUACCUGAAGACUGAGCUUCUGGAUGAACUGCUUCUGGAGCUUCUGAAGCUGGUUCUGAUGAAGUUGCUCCUGAAGCUUGCUUAUUCUUCAAGGCUUGAGAAAGCAGAGUUGCUCCAUACUUAACAGUUUCUAACUCCGAUGCUAAAGCAGCAAUGUCAGGAGUAGGCACAUACCCUGCAGCCUUGAGACGUUCAUCCCUUUCUUGUUCAUACAAAAUCUUCAUCCUUUUCUUUUCUGCUAUCUUGGAUGCAGCAACCUCCCUAGUAUACUGCUCCAUUUCUUCAGUCAUUUCGAAACUGGGCAUGACUAUGGGCUCAGAAGUUGCAGUCCUUUUUGCUUUCUUAGGGCUUGAGUCUUCAUCCCAGUUCUCUUCCAGUUCUUCCAACAUUUGUGCCCUUCUUCCUUCACUUGUCUUCAGAUUUCUUGUUAAAUUAGACCUUUUCCUUUUGAUGGUCUGAAGAGCAGCUUCUCUUUUAUUUUUGGGACUUGGAGGCUUUUCAGAAGCAGCUUGAUCAGAAGCAGCUUGUUCUGAACCAGCUUGUUCAGAAGCAGGCUGUUCUGCUGUUUCUUGAGUACUCCUUGUCCUUUUUCUGAUAAGAGGGACAUCUUCCAAAUUCUCCACUUCCUCAAGAAUGGUGGACAUAGCAGAUUUUACCUUUUUAGCUUUCUUAUGCUUCUGAGCACCCACCUCAGUAGCAUUUUCAGCAAGGUAUUCUUCCUUGGUGAUCUGCUUCUUCUUAGAUUUUCUGCUUUUGGCCACAGGCAGCUCACCACCAUACAUUUGGUCAGGAACAUCCUUCAAGCUGAUUUUCUGGUUAAAGGAUUUGUAGUGAUCCAUGAUAUAUGCCCUUUGAACCUCCAAGGGAUCUUGUUUACAGAUGGGAGGAAAGUCUGGGAUAAGAUCUGAUUUGGCAUCAGAAGGUUUCAAGUCAGUAGGACUCUUCUUCACAUCUUUUGCUUUAAUCAGAUGCAUAGCCCUUAGAGUCUCACCAUUGAUAAUCUUCCCUCUAACAGUUCCCAACUGUUCAUCUGUGAAGAUCUGAGCUUCUUUCAGCAUCUCAAUAAUUCCUCCCUGAUGGAAAAUCUCAGAGAGUAGUCUUCCAUAGGGUACCCAAGACCUUUUAUUCAGUUGACUCUCUCUGAGUUGAUGAACCAUAUGUCUGAAUAUGUAUCUGGGAAUAUUUGCCUCUACACCCUUUAUGACAAAGUGUAAGAGGAUUUUAUGUUCCAGAGAGGGCUGAUCACCACCACCACCUUUUGGUAGUAGGUUUUCGUUCUGAAUCUUCAACAUAACCUUUGUCUUGGUGUUCAUGUCAGAAUAGGCAAAGUCCUUUACCUUGUUGUAGAGAGUUUUGUUAACAAUAGCAUUCCAGGGGCUGUCCUUUGGCUUUGAAAUCCCAGCCUCAUGUUCUCCUUCUGCUGGUCUUCUGAUGACAAAGGCAAUAGUGUCCUCAGUGAUCCAGACACGGAUUCCCAUGAUGCUUGAUCUUAUCUGGGUUUUGGAGAAAGUUUCCAAGCCCAUUUCCGCUCUAGACUUCCCUUUGAGUUCAGGAUUGAGAAGAACUUUUUCAUCUUCUUCAAUCUUGGCGGCUUCCCUGUCGUAGAUGCUGGCUCUAACCCAGAAAUGACGAACCAGUGUUUGAUAAGUUGGUCCAUUUAGAAGAUUGAAGUACCUUCCCAGACCUUGUUUCUCGUAGUACUUGCCAAUGUCACAGUCGUGAGCGGCCAAAGAAUCAAAAUCCACCGGACUUUCUGAUUGAAUGUUUAAUUCCCAUUCCUCCAAGGACAUAGUUCUUCCUUUGAUUUCAUAAGCAGGAGUAUCUAUAUCCAUAUUCGAUGAAGAACCACCGGCAGAACUUGAAGAUGCCAUUGAUAUGAAGUGGUUUUAGGGUUCUAAAGAGUUUUUGAGAGGAUGAGAGAAUGUGCUUACUUACACAGAGGGUUGAGAAGAAAUUAGAAAGUGUUUGUUGUGAAGUGAGAAGUGUGUGAAAUGACUUAGUGUUUUUUAUUAAAACGUUUGUAAUUCAGAAGGGACAAACAAACACAGCAUUAAUGACAAAUUGGGGGCGCGUGUAAGUAUGUUAAAAAGCGAAUAAAAACAUCAUUGCCCUUUUUGUUAUACUCCAAUACAAAUAGACCACGUCAGAGACUCUUCAGAAAACUACCUUUUGGGUAAUGGGACAGCUGUUACAUAAAGUAACUGCCAGCGUUCCCACUAACCAAGCUAUUCAGAAGCAAAGAAUAACACUUCUGAAGUUUUAGUGCUGACGUCAUCUUCAGAAGCACAUUUUCCUCAGAACCUCAGUUUAAGAGCUUCUGAUGAACCAAAAAUGCUCCUGAAUAAACUUCAGAACCAAACUUCUUAUUCAGAGGCAAGCCAUUUUUCAAUCAGACACAAAAUGCAUGUUCAAAUUUUUCUUAAUAAAAUCAAAUCUUUCAACAGACAAAGGUUUUGCAAAUAUAUCAGCCCAUUGAUGUUCAGUAUCAAUGAAUUGUAUAUCUAAAAUUCCUUUUUGAACAUAGUCUCUGAUAAAAUGGUGUUUGAUUUCAAUAUGCUUGGCUCUUGAAUGUAGAAUUGGAUUCUUUGACAAACAAAUAGCAGCAGUAUUAUCACAAUAAAUGGGAAUACUGUUAGCAUUGAUCUGAUAGUCUUCCAACUGAUGUUUCAUCCAAAGUAGUUGUGUGCAACAACUUGCAGCUGAAAUGUACUCUGCUUCUGCUGUAGACAUAGCAAUAGUUGCUUGUCUUUUGCUUGCCCAGGAUAUCAGAUUCUCUCCCAGGAAUUGACAAUUUCCACUGGUUGAUUUUCUUUCAAUCCUAUCACCAGCAUAAUCAGCAUCACAGAAUCCAAUCAACUUAUAAUCUAGGGAUUUCCUAUACAGGAGUCCAAGAUUAGUUGUUCCUUUCAGAUACCUGAAGAUUCUCUUAACUGCAGUUAAAUGAGAUUCUCUAGGAUCUGAUUGAAAUCUUGCACACAAGCAUACACUGAAUAAAAUAUCAGGUCUAGAUGCAGUGAGGUAUAACAGAGAACCAAUCAUACCUCUGUAUAGCUUCUGGUCUACUACUGUUCCAGUAUCUUCUUUGCUUAAGGUGCAGGUUGGAUGCAUUGGAGUGUUCAUCACUUUACAAUCUUCUAGCUUGAACUUCUUCAGAAGCUCCUUUGUAUAUUUUGUUUGAUGAACAUAUACUCCUUCUUUACUUUGGUUGAUUUGAAUUCCCAGAAAGAAUUUCAAUUCUCCCAUCAUACUCAUUUCAAAUUCAUCCUGCAUUAACUUAGAAAAUUCUUUGCAAAGAGAUGCAUUAGUAGAACCAAAUAUUAUAUCAUCAACAUAUAUUUGCACAAUCAAAAUAUCUUUCUUAAGAGUCCUUCUGAAGAGUGUUGUGUCAACUUGUCCUCUUUCAAAAUCAUUUUUAAUUAAGAAAUUACUUAGUCUAUCAUACCAAGCUCUGGGAGCUUGUUUCAAGCCAUAUAGUGAUUUCUUAAGUUUAUAAACAUGGUCAGGAUGCUUAAGAUCCUCAAACCCAGGAGGUUGUUUAACAUACACUUCUUCUUCAAUGACACCAUUAAGAAAAGCACUUUUGACAUCCAUUUGAUAUAAUAUUAUGCCAUGAUUAAUUGCGUAGGAUAGAAGUAACCUGAUUGCUUCCAAUCUUGCAACUGGAGCAAAUGUUUCAGUGUAAUCAAUGCCUUCUUGUUGACUGUAGCCUUGAGCAACAAGUCUGGCUUUGUUUCUGGUUACUUCUCCUUGUUCAUUCAGCUUGUUUCUGAAUACCCAUUUUGUUCCAAUAAUGUUCUUCUGAGAAGGUUUGGGUACCAGAUCCCACACAUCAUUCCUUUGGAAUUGAUUUAGCUCUUCUUGCAUAGCUAAUAUCCAUCCGUCAUCUGAGAGAGCUUCUUCAACAGUUUUAGGCUCAAUUAUUGAAAGCAGUCCUAUUAGAGACUCUUCUUGUCUAAAAUGUGAUCUUGUUCUUCUAGGACUAUCUUUGCUUCCAAUGAUUAACUCCUCAGGAUGUGAAGAUUUGUGCUUGAAUUUAGGUUGAAUAACCUGCUGAGUGUUAUCUUGAAAGUCCUCAGAAGCACUUUCAUUCUGUACUUUUGGGCUAGGUUCUGCUUCUGAAUUAGACUCAGCUUCUGGAGUGAUUUCAGCUUCUGGACAAGAUUCAACUUCUGUAUACUUUUCAGAAUCAGAAGGUUGAUCAGAUUCUGAUGCAUCUUCAGAAUCAGUUGUACCUGCAUUACUUUCACUUUGCUCUGAAGUUUUACUUCCAGGCUCUCUAUCAUCAAAUUUUACAUGCAUAGAUUCUUCAACACAUUGUGUUUCUGAAUUAUACACUCUGUAUGCCUUUGACCUUUCAGAGUAACCUAAAAAGAUUCCUCUUUGAGCCUUGGCAUCAAAUUUCUUCAGAUAGUCUUUAGUGUUUAAGAUGUAACAAGUACAUCCAAACUGAUGAAAGUAAGAGAUAUUGGGUCUUCUUCCUUUAAAGAGUUCAUAUGUUGUUUUCUCCAACAUAGGUCUGAUAUAGAUCCUAUUUUGAAUAUAACAUGAAGUAUUGACUGCUUCUGCCCAAAAAUGUUUAGCUAAGUUGUUUUCAUGGAUCAUGGUUCUGGCCAUUUCUUGUAAGGUUCUGUUCUUUCUUUCUACAACCCCAUUUUGUUGUGGAGUUCUAGGAGAAGAAAACUCAUGGAGAAUCCCAUGUUUUUCACAAAAAAGUUCAAAUGGCUCAUUUUCAAAUUCUCCACCAUGAUCACUUCUGACUUUCAAAAUUUUCAAUUCUUUUUCAGAUUGUAUUUGAGUGCAGAAGCUGCUAAACACUUCACAUGCAUAGUCUUUACUUUUAAUGAAUUUUACCCAAGUCCAUCUGCUGUAAUCAUCAACAAUGACUAAUCCGUAUUUACUUCCAUAUAAAGAUGCAGUGUUAACUGGACCAAAAAGAUCAAUAUGGAGUAAUUCUAAGGGUCUGGAGGUUGAUAUAAUGUCCUUAGAUUUGAAAGAACUUUUCACAAUUUUCCCUUUCUGACAUGCACCACAAAGUGCAUCUGAAUGAUAAUCAAUGUUAGGCAAUCCUUUGACCAGUUGUAACUUGCUAAUUUUAGAAAUUAAUCUCCAAUUAGCAUGUCCCAACCUUUUAUGCCAUACCCAUUUUUUAUCAUUCAUUGACAGAAGGCAAACUACCUUCUGAUCAGCCAGAUCAGAGAAAUUUAUUUUAUAAACAUUCUCAACUCUCUUUCCCUUGAAUGUAAUGGAUUUGUCAUCCUUGUUGACUAGUGUGCAGUUGGUCUUACUGAACGUUACAUCAUACCCAUUGUCACAAAAUUGACUAAUGCUCAAUAGGUUAUGCUUCAGACCAUCUACUAGCCACACAUUAUUAAUUGAGAUGGAGGAAUUACCAAUAGUACCUGUACCAAUGAUCUUUCCAGUUUGGUUGCCACCAAACUUCACUUCUCCUCCAUCUUUCAUUGUAAGGGUAAGGAACAAAGCUUUCUCUCCAGUCAUGUGCCUUGAACAUCCGCUGUCUAGGUACCAUGACCUUUGUUUCUCUCUUGCCCUUAAGCACACCUGCAUUUUUGGCCAAUUCAGAUUUAGGUACCCAUAUCUUCAUGGGUCCUUUUGGGUUAGUUUUGGAGGUUUUACUUUUCCUCCCUUGCACCUUAGGGUGAAUGCUGAGUGGCUUCUGAUCAUUCAAUACUUUGGGUUUGACACCUUUUGGUAUUGUUUUCUCAGAAGCAGUAGCUGCUUUGUUCUUCUGAUCCUUUUGUUUUGGAAUUUUAGAUUCUGGUUUAAUCAGAUUCUGAUGAACAGGUUCUGAUCUUUUCAGAAUUUUAAUCUUUUGACUCUUAGGAUCAGAUUUUGUCAUUACCUUGAUCUUAAGAUUCUCUGGCUUUGAUGUGAUCUUAGCCUGUGAACCUGAAGCUUCAGGUUUUGACUGAACAGCAGUUAUAGCAUUUGUACCUUCAGGCACAAAGGUGGAUUUCAAUCCAUCCUUGAUACAAUCACAGUAGCUCUUGAGACUGUAUUCUUUGGAUUUCUCCUCAGAAUAUCCAAUCCCUUUGCCUUUGUUCUUGUAUGUGCUGUAGAUCAUAGAAGCAACUUUGCUUCUGUCUAUUCCAGCCAUAAUAAAAUCAUCCAAGGCAAUCUCAUGUUUAUUGCCUGAACCUUUAUCACAUUUUUCUUGUAGCUUCUGACAAAGACUCUUGAGUCUAUCUUCAUAUGUUGUUGAUAUGAGGUUAAACCCUUUGAGUUCUUCUUCAGAAGCUUUCAGUUCCAAUAGAGUUGAUUUUUGUUGUUUCAUCAAAUCAACAUAUUUUUCUUUUAAAUCUGUCAACUCAUUGGUUCUGUGUUCAAACAGUGAUAAAAGUUCUUUUAGAGAAUCAACAAGUUCUUGUCUAGGGAUUUUGGAAUAUACCUCAUUUUCAUCUUCUGAAUCUGAUUCAGCUUCUGAUACUGCUUCUGAUGAUACUGUUGCCACUAAUCCAACGGCUGCCUUAGCAUCAUCAUCAGCUUCUUCUUUAUCAGAACCAGAUUCACUAUCCAAAUCUUCCCAGGUCGCCAUCAAGCUCUUUUUGAUUUGCUUUCUGAAUUUACUGGAGUUGAAGCUUGAUUUCUUGGAUUUGCCUUUAAACUUCUCCUUCUGAAGAUCAGGGCAAUCAGCAAUGAAAUGACCAGGCUUCUUACAAUUGAAGCAUCCCUUCUGAUCUUCUUUCUUGAAGUUCUUGUAGCUACCUCUCUUGCUCAAAAAUUUCUUCUGCUUCCUUGCCAGAUACUCAAGCUUGUUGGACAGCAUAGCCAUCUUUACAGAUUGAUCUUCAUCAGAAUCUCCAUCAGGUGAUUCUUCUUCAGAUUCACUGGCUUUGUAGGCUUUGGAAGACUUUGAGGUCUUUCCUUUAGAUGGUAAAGCAAUGGAUUUACUCUUCUUAGAGGUUUCAUGCUCAUUUAAACUCAUUUCAUGCACUUUGAGUGAGCUAACAAGAUCUUCAACACUUAAAGUAUUUAGAUCCUUAGCUUCCUCAAUAGCAGUUACUUUGGGUCUCCAUCUUGAAGGUAAGCUUCUCAAAAUCUUACUAACAUGAUCAGAAGCAACAUAGCUUUUCUUCAGUAUCUGCAAUCCAGAAACUAAAGUUUGAAAUCUUGAGUACAUUUCUUCUAUACUCUCAUCAUCCUUCAUUCUGAAAAGUUCAUACUGAUGAACUAGCAUCAAUAAAAGAAUGGAAAUGGAAUGCUAAAUGAUAUGUAUGAAGUACCAAAGUAAACUUGUUAGUAAAAAAAAACAUAACAAGUACUAAGAAAUAAAAGCAUGCAAGAUGGCACAAAAAGUUAUCAAAAUGACAUUAAACCCUAAAAACUUAGGUAUGAAACCUAAAGCAUUCUUGGCCUCUAAUUCUCAUGCUUUAACAAAUUUUGAAAGAGUUUUCUUUAUCUCAAGUUAUAGCAUGGAAUUAUUGGAAACAUGCAAACAUGGUUUCAUGCCAUAUUUUCUAGAAUAAACUUGGCAUUUUAUAUCUUUCAAAAUAUGCAUAUAUUGUUCAUAAAAUUAAGAACUUAUGAACCAAAUCAAAACAGCAAAUCAACAUGAAAUUAUAGGCACAAAUCUCUCAUAUUAACACAUCAAGUAGCUUUUAUUACAUAUUCUCACAUCAAGGACAAAUGUGUGAAGAAGAAUUCAUAACAAAUAAUUCAAAGAGAAUUAAAAUGCUAUGAAUUAAUUAUACCAAAAUUUCAUAGAUCCUUAAUGUGCAAAAAUGUCAUAAAAACACUAAGAAAAUAUCAAGAAAUAUGUAUGAAUUUUUCUAGGAAUUUUAUCACAAUUUUAAUCAAGACAUAGGUGCAGGUAGCAAAAAAAUAGGGGUGUGAACAGCAAGAAAAAAGCAAGAAAUGUGCAGAAAAUUAAGCCCAAACCCAAAGCCCAACACCAAAACUCAGAUUGCACAGGAACCACACGAUUGAUCCAGGGUCCUGAAACCCUAGAUCAAACGGCCAGGAACCAAGGGGGGGUUGGACCGGUCCUGAACCGGUCCGGUUCACUGGCUUUAUAAGGGAGGGAAACCGGUUUUUUUUAUAAUUCUUCUUCUCCUUCUCUCUCUUCUCUCAUUCUAGUGAGAGAAGCUCUCACUUCUCUCUUCCUCACCGCGCCGGAUUCUGGAAAAACAGGAGAUGAUCUUCAUCUUCUCCGGCGGAGUUUGUUCCUCCGGCGUGGUGGCCGGCCACCCAAGGGUGGCGGCGCCGCCGCCGGAGUUGAGCAAACUCCUCCGAUUUUGAAAAUUUUUACAUUUUUAGAUAUCCUUUUUCGUGCUAUUCAUGAAUCCAAACUUAGUUUUUUGAGAAAAAGUCCCAAUCGGAGUAGAUCUAGCUUCAAAGAUUCGGAAAUUUGAAUUUUAAAGAGGAAGAAAGAGGAAGAGGAAUUGUCACCUAUUUGUGGUGUGUUGUAGAGCAAGGGAGAGAGCUUUGCUUUCUUCCGAAUCCGGAAUAUUCCUUCCUUCCUUCUCUUCUCUUUCACGUGUCUCUUUGACCGAUUUUGUGCUUGUUGUUUGGUGAUGUUCUUGGCGCGGAUUUGUGGAUUUUUGUGAUUCUUGGUACGGAUUUGGUUCGGAUUCGGUUUUGUGGCUUUUUGGUACGGAUUUGUUGCUUUUUGGUACGAAUUUGUUGCUGGAUUUUGGUACGAAUUUGUUGCUGGAUUUUGGUACGAAUUUGUUGCUUUGUUGAUUUUUCUUCUUCCCCUCUCUCUGUGAUCGUGCUUGAAUUCGCCGCUUCCGGUGGCGGAUUCGCACUUGAAUUGUGGAGCAGAGGCGAUUCGAUGAUGAAGAUUCGCAAAGAAUCUCUGAGAAUCACCCAAAAAAAGGAUGAAUUUGAUGAAUCUGUGAUGAUUUUCGGUUAGGGUUUAUGUGUGUGUUCUUGAUGAUUUUCUGUUUUGAUUUGUAACUGAAUAGAGAGAGAGAAGAAAAAAUCUGUUUGUGAUGUGUCACUGUGUGAAUGGAAUCCUCCUAAAAAAUCUGACACUGUUCCCCUUUUAUAUGCUGCCAUGUGUACCUGAACCAAUAAAAAAGUGACAUCUGGACUGGACUAAAAUUUGUGCGAAAAUUUGGACCAAAAUGCCCUUUGGGGCGUUUCUGCAGAAAAAAAUGAUAAUAAAAGGACUGAAAUGCAAUUCUUAGAAACUUUUGGACUGAAAUGUAAUUUUGGGACCUCAAUUGAGGGACCAAAAUGCAAUAAAAAAUAAAAUUGAAUAAAAAACGCAAUUUGAUCGAACGUAAAGCGAAACAAAAAUAAAAUUGACAAAACGGACUUAAAACGAACCAAUGGCCUAAAUGAGGUACUUCAAAGUAACCUCCCUAUGUCAAAAUUUCGUGUGAAAUGACCAAAAUGCCCCUAGGGCUAAAAAUGACCUAAACUGACUCAAACAGACUUGACACUGACUCGGACGCAAGUUUGAAAUGAAUUUAAACAGGGUUUACUGAUGAAAUGUUAAAAAUGAAUUUGAAAAGACUCAGAGACAGUCACAAGGAUGAAAAUGGGUCCCACUGCAGGAAAUGACCAAAAUACCCUUCUGCAUGACUUUUUGCAAAUUUUGAAAUAAACUGUAGAAAAAGCAAUGUAAUGAUUCAGAGACACCUUUGAAUGACUUUCAAGACAAGUAAAGACAUUUUGAAAGGUUUUAUGCAAAAAAACAUAGGUAAAAUUGUGAUUGAAAAAAAACUGCGAGACAGAGACAAUUUGAACUGUGCAGUUGACAUUUGAUAAUUGACAAAGUUUGAAAUGAAAUUGGGCCCAGUAUUUUUAGGUCCAAAAACAGGGUAUAACAGCUGCCCCUAUUUAAGUUUCUUUGUCUGGAGAGUCAAGAGACGGAGUCUUUGGCUUGACAGGACGAAGAUACUUAGAUAUUAGCAUUUGCACUGUGUUUGGACGUAAAAAUACGCCUACCCAUUUUCAAAUAAUAUGCAUGCCAUGCAUCAUUUGGAUUAUGAAUGCAAGACCUCAUGGGGAUUGGAAUUAACAAAAUAUGUCGUAUCCAUUGCGGGAUUGGUAGACAUUGACAAAGAUAGUGAAUAGCAGAGUAACGGGAAACUAGAAACAAGUUGGACAGGUACAAGCUGUUCUUGGAUUCAAACUAGCCACUUGACCGGGAAUGAAACAAACAGACAACUGCGAGUUGUUCUUAUGGAUUCGAACUGGUCACUUCACAGGGGAUAGAGGUUACUGGACAAAUAUGAGUUGUUCUUAUGGAUUCGAACUGGUAACUCACUUGGGGAUAUUGGAAAGUGCGAGUUGUUCUUAUGGAUUCGAACUGGUGACCCGACUGGGAAAAAGAGAAAAUUGGCAAGUACGAGUUGUUCUUACGGAUUCGAACUGGUAACUCACUUGGGGAUAUUGGAAAGUGCGAGUUGUUCUUAUGGAUUCGAACUGGUGACCCGACUGGGAAAAAGAGAAAAUUGGCAAGUACGAGUUGUUCUUAUGGAUUCGAACUGGUGACUCGACUGAAAACAUGUAAAAUUGGCAGGUACGAGUUGUUCUUAAGGAUUCGAACUGGUUACUCGACUGAAAGCAAGGCAAAUAGACAGGUGCGAGCUUGUUCUUGGAUGCGAACUGGUUACUCCACCGGAGACAAAUACAAAAUAGACAGGCGCAAGCUGCUCUUGGAUCGAGCUAGCCACUUGAGCGAACAGAAACAGAUAGACGGGUACAAGCUGUUCUUGGACUUGAACUAGCCACUUGACCCAAAAUCAUAGACACAUAGACAGGUACGAGCUGUUCUUGGAUUCGAACUGGUAACUCGACCGGGGUCAUGGAAAAGUAGAUAGGUACGAGUUGUUCUUGGAUUCGAACUGGUCACUCGACCGAAAGCAAAGGCAAAUAAACAGGUGUGAGCUUGUUCUUGGAUGCGAACUAGGUACUCCACUGGACAGAAACAUAUAGACAGGUACAAGCUGCUCUUGGAUUGAGCUGGGCACUCGACCGAUAACAUUGAAAAGUAAACGGGUACAAGUCGUUCUUGGAUGCGAACUAGUAACUUGACCAAACAGAAACAUAUUGACAGGUACAAGCUGCUCUUGGAUUGAGCUGGACACUCGACCGAUAACAUAAGCAAAUAGGUAGGUUCAAGCUGCUCUUGGAUUGAGCUUAGCCACUUGACCAAGUAGAAACAGAUUCACUGGGGAUUAGUUUUUUUUGACAAAAUAUAGAUUGAGAUUGACUUGACGUCGAUUUGAAUUGAAAGGCAAAAAUUGACCGAUAUUAUUGGCUCACAAGGUUUUGACAGAGAACCUGACAUGAGUAUCGAAUUGAGACUGAUGUUGACAUUGGAAAUGCAAUAUGCACGGAUGAUAUAACAGUUUCAUUAAAUGCAUGGGCACGUAAUAUGCAUGAUUAUGCAUGUAUGAAUGCUUGUAAUGCAUGACUGUUGGCAUUUUGUAGGCACGACUUCACGGGGAAGACAAGACAUCAGAGUAUUGGGCACGUAGUGGCUCGUGCUAUAUUACACAUUCUUGGAAAUCCUCUAUGGAGAUGACGUCGUUGGGGGACGUAUCGGAGCCAAGGCUGAGGGCAGGUAGGUAUGCAACUUGCUGGGGAUAGAAUCUUGAGAGACCUCACCGGGGAAAACGCCGUUGUGCUGGGCAUCUCAGUGCUGGGUACGUUGUAGACAUUGCAUCUGUGGUCAAUGCUUUUUGCAUGUUAUUUUUCUCAAUUUCAUCAUUUUCAUUUUUUUUUUGCAUCCCAUUUUUGCCUGGAUCGCCUUUUCGGGUUUUCGAUCCACCGGGGAAAUAAAUUCUUUUCAAUGCCCCAUUUUUGCCUGAACUGCCCUUUCGGGUUGUCAAUCCAGCGGGGUGCUCAUUUUUGCCUAAGCCGCCCUUUCGGGUUUUCAACUUAGCGAGCCUAUUCACUUUCAUGCAUUUUCAUUCUGUUUUUUCAUUCUUGCCAUUGACCACAGACUAUCCUGGAGGAGAACCUGCUUGUAACACAUAUUGAAAUAGACAUCAACAUACUCUCGCUCAUGCAUGUUUCAUUUGAAUGUACCCUGUUGCUCAGGUUUGCUUUUCAAAAUAGACCAAAGGUUUUCAAUUUUCAAAAAUGUUUGUUUCAAGCAUUGUCAUUAUCAAAAUAGAAAGAAAAUGUUUUGUAUAUAGCUUUGAAAGUAGAAGAAAAAUAGAGUUUCAAACAAAAGCAAAGGCUCAACUUGAUGUAUAAGAGUGGUGGUCAGCCAAAGGCAUGACUCCACGGAUUCACAAAGCUUGGAAAAUGGUAAUUUUAUUGGUUGGUGGUACAUUGAACACGGUAACCACUACAGUUCUUAGAAACUUUGAAUUCACAAGUACAGAAGCUUUUGAUGAAGAUAGGCAUUAACAGCUGCAGAUGCCCCAAGGGGGACGGUGGUUGGCCAGAUAUAGUUACUUGCCUUUUGUUUCAAUCUCAUUUUUGCAUGAACCGCCCUUCCGGGUUUUCGGCUCAUCGAGACGCUCAUUCUUGCCUGAGUUGUGUACAAUCUCAGCGAGCUUUUCAUAUAUUUUUUUGUCCCUUAUUUUUGCCUGGACCGCCCUUUCGGGUUUUCGAUCCACCGGGAAGCGCAUUUUUGCCUAGGCCGCCCUUUCGGGUUUUCGACCUACCACGCUGUUCUUUUCAUAUUUCUAGGCAAAGUAUUUCUUGACUAUAUCGGCAUUCACUGGAUUUGGAAGUUCUACACCAUCCACGUGUGUAAGGAUUAAAGCACCACCGGAGAAGGCCUUCUUGACAACAUAAGGACCUUCAUAGUUAGGCGUCCACUUGCCCCUUGGGUCGGGUUGCUGGCUUAUCCUCCUUUUCAAUACAAGUUCCCCUACCUUGAAUUCUCGAGGAUGGACUUUCUUGUCAAAGGCAGUCUUCAUUCUUGCUUGAUAUGACUGUCCACGAGCCAUGGCAUCCAAACGUUUUUCCUCAAUCAAAUUCAACUGAUCAUACCGGCUUUGGCACCAUUCAGCCUCGGAUAACUUUGCUUCCAUGAUCACACGGAGAGAUGGGAUCUCCACUUCCAAAGGAAGAACUGCUUCCAUACCAUAUACAAGAGAGAAAGGGGUUGCCCCGGUUGAACUGCGCACAGUAGUACGGUAACCAUGCAGAGCAUAGGGUAACAUCUCAUGCCAGUCCUUGUAAGUGGUUACCAUCUUCUGGACAAUUCUCUUGAUAUUCUUGUUGGCGGCCUCAACUGCACCAUUCAUCUGAGGUCUAUAGGGAGAAGAGUUAUGAUGCUCAAUUUUGAAUUCUUCACAAAGAGCUUGCACCACAUUAUUAUUCAGGUUGGUACCAUUGUCGGUAAUAAUCUUGCUGGGAACACCAUAUCGACAGAUGAUGUUGUUCUUGAUGAACUUAGCUACCACUUGCUUGGUCACAUUAGUAUAAGGUGCUCCUUCAACCCACUUGGUGAAGUAGUCAAUUGCCACUAAAAUGAAACGAUGACCAUUUGAAGCCUUCGGUUCAAUUCUUCCAAUCAUGUCGAUGCCCCACAUUGAGAACGGCCAUGGGGAUGAAAUAACAUUGAGGGCGUGCGGAGGCACAUGAAUCUUAUCAGCAUAGAUUUGACAUUUGUGGCACUUUCUGGCGUGCUGGUAGCAAUCAUGCUCCAUGGUCAUCCAGUAGUAACCUGCUCGUAACAACUUCCUUGACAUAGUAUGCCCUGUAGCAUGGGUCCCAAAGGUACCGUCAUGUACAUCAUGCAUUAACUGCUCUGCUUCGUGUUCAUCAACACAUCUUAACAAUACCAUGUCAUAGUUUCUCUUGUACAGAAUAUCUCCAUCUAACAGGAAUCUACUGGCCAAUCUUCUCAGGGUCUUCUUGUCUUGUUUGGAAGCACCCGGCGGAUACUCACGGCUUAGCAAGAACUGUUUGAUGUCGUAGUACCAGGGUUUAUAGUCAACCACAUUUUCGCCAGCCUGAUCGAUCACAUCCCCAAUAGCAAACACAUGCGAAGGUCUUUCAAGGCGUUGCACUUUGAUUAUUGGCACAUCAUUCCAAUGGUUUACUCGAAACAUGGAGGAUAGAGUAGCAAGAGCAUCAGCCAUUUGGUUCUCAUCACGAGGAAUAUGGUGCAGCUCAACCUUUGUAAAAUAUGUCAGCAAACGUCUCGCAUAAUCAUGAUAAGGAAUCAACUUAGCAUGGUGGGUCUCCCAUUCACCCUUUAUCUGAUUGAUGACGAGCGCAGAAUCUCCAUAGAUGUCGAGGUGUUUGAUUCUCAUGUCAAUUGCUUCCUCGAUCCCGAAGAUACAUGCUUCAUACUCAGCCAUAUUGUUGGUGCAUUCGAACAAAAUUCGGGCGGUAAAAGGAAUGUGAUGCCCUUGCGGGGAUACAAUGACUGCCCCAAUUCCUUUGCCAUAAGCAUUGACAGCACCAUCAAAGACUAAACCCCACUUGCUAUUGGGAUCUGGACCUUCAUUAAUCAACGGUUCGUCGCAGUCUUUGGAUUUCAAAUACAUGAUCUCUUCAUCAGGGAAAUCGAAUUCAAUUGGUUGGUAAUCAUCAAGAGGUUGAUAAGCAAGGUGAUCGGCAAGAAUGCUGCCUUUGAUUGCCUUUUGAGUUUUGAACACAAUAUCAUAUUCAGACAAAAGCAUCUGCCAGCGUGCAAUCUUCCCAGUAACGGCCGCUUUCUCAAAGAUAUACUUUAUCGGAUCCAUUCUGGAUAUCAACCAAGUUGUAUGAUUCACCAAAUAAUGACGCAGGCGUUUGGCAGCCCAAGCUAGAGCACAACAAGUCUUCUCAAGCAUUGUAUACCGAGUUUCACAGUCGGUGAACUUCUUGCUUAGAUAGUAGAUAGCAUGCUCUUUCUUUCCGGUUUCAUCUUGUUGACCAAGCACACAUCCCAUGGAUUCAUCAAAUACUGCCAAAUACAUAAUCAAAGGCCUUCCUUCCACGGGUGGGACAAGGAUAGGUGGUUCCAGCAGGUAAUUCUUGAUGCUAUCAAAAGCUUCCUGGCAUUCAUCGUUCCAUACAAUAGGCUGAUUCUUGCUCAAGCAAUCGAGUGAUCUCAUAUGGUAUAUCAUCAUCCUCUUCAUCUUCGGCUUCAUACACAGGGAAUUCAAAAUUUGGAGGAACCGUAGGAUUACUGUGUUCAACGGGUUUAUUAUGGUUCAAACUGCAUAGAAUGGUUGAAUGAUUUUAGAAAAUGUUUUUUUUUUCUUUUAUGCAGUUCUUUGAAAUUGAUAAGAAAAAUAAAGAUGUUUUGGUUUUUUCUGGUAUUACCAUUAUUUCCAAGAAAAAAAGAAAAAAAAAAUCACUAAAAAAUAAAAGUCGUGAAAGAAACGACGAUUUUUGUUAAUAACGGCGAUGCCGAAACAAACACGCCCUUCCAGAAAUAUCACUUUCGCUUCGGGCAGAGCGAGAGGAUGGUUAUUUUGAAAAACAAAACACUUAAGCAACAAGACACAUUAUUCGGAAACAUGCAUGAUUGAAUGAAUGUUGAUGGCAUCACAAUUUCUCGCAAUGCCUCCUGGUAUAACAAACAUAGGCCUAGGACUACAUCCAGUCGCCUCUUCAGUAAUUGCAUUGAUAAACUCAGCACUGUUGAAGAUUCAUGUGGCAUUGUACUUGUAAGGAAUAGCCUUUGUAGAAGUAUAAGGUACUGGUCCGGGCAGCCUUAUCACUUAGAGGCUCAACAUUCUCUUUUGAAGGCACGCUCUUGACGGGCGGAUCAUGAAAGACUGGCACAAUCACACAGACAUCACUGACAGUCAGAAGAUUAUCAUCCAUCAGGCUUUGGAUGUCGUCUUGAACAGUAUAGCAGCCCAAAGGAUCACAGAGGCAUCCUAGACACUUGGCAUGAUCAUGGCUGAACAGAGAGGCUUUGCAUAGCUUGAUAUGCAGAGGCACCAGAGGAGUGGCAACAUUGUGGACAUCAAGUCUAGGAGCUUCCUCACACACUUCGAUCAUAUUCACAGCGGCAUGAUUUGGAAGAGGAUUGUCAAGGACAUGUGGAACAUUAUUCUCAAAAGUCAGCUUUCCCUGAUCAAUGAGCUUCUUCACGAUAUACUUCAAAGCAUAACAUCCCUCGACAUCAUGACCUAAGGCACCUUGAUGAAAGUCACAUUUGAGAUCAGACCUGAACCUUGGAGGCAACGGAUCAGGUGGGGGCUUACCCUGUCUAGUUGUACAAUGUCCUCUCUGGAGUAGAGUUGGAAGAAGUUCUGCAUACAACAUCGGUAUAGGAGGAAAAGUUGGUCUAGUAUACUGCUGCUGUUGUUGUUGUUGUUGUUGUUGUUGUUGUUGAACCGGCAACUGUUGUUUCAUCUGUUGGGCAAUUGCAUUGACGGGCACUUGAGGCUGGCCCGGUGGCAAAGGGUACUGAUGAUAAAACGGUGGGAAGAACGGAUGUUGAGAAUACGGCAUAUAUGGGUAUGACGGAGGCAUUUGAGCUGCAUUGAUAGGAGCAACGGUAGCCAUAGAUUGACCGGCUCCAGCUGACACCAUCCCCACUUCCGUUUCUUUCUUCUUGUGGUGUCCAUUACCAUAUCUCUUCGAUGCACUCGUAGAAGAUUCAGCUUUCUCAAACACAAUGAUCCCAUCCCUGACUGCUUCCUCAAGACGGGUUCCCAUAGUGACCAUCUCCGAAAAGUUGUUCGGGGCGGCGAUGAUCAUCCUCUCAACAUAAUCUUUCUUCAAGGUCUUUAAGAAUGUCUGGGUCAUUUCUUCUUCAUCUAAAGCAGGAGUGAUACGGGCAGCUGCCCCUCUCCAUCUUUGUGCAUAUUCCCGGAAACUUUCCUCCUUUUUCUGAGAUAGGGACCUGAGGAACUCCCUAUUCGGCUUCAAACGAGUGUUAAACCCGUAGUGGCUCCUGAAAGCGGUGGCCAGCUCAUCAAAAGUAUGGACAUCGUCUUUGCUCAGACUAGUAUACCACUCUGCAGCAUCUUCCAUCAGACUGUCUUGGAAGUAAUGGAUCAUAAGGGAAUCAUUGUCCUUGUAGUUGCCCAUCUUCCGGACAUAUUUGACAAUAUGAUUUUGAGGACAAGUCAGCCCGUUAUAUUUGUCGAACUCCGGGACUUUGAACUUUUUUGGAACAUCUACCUUCGAUACUAAGCAGAGAUCCUGGGUUUUAAUGGAGUCUCCAUUUCCCCUAUUGGCCUUAAUUUCCCGUCGGAGCUCUUUGGCAAGUUCUUCCAUUCUCUCUUCCAUAGUUUCGGUUGCGGCAAUACUCCCGUGGUGUGCAUUAGCAUGGACAAAUAGAGGCACCGCAUUCACAAUGGGCUCGGUAACAGUUGUUGCAGCUUGAGUCAAGGCGGUACUAAUAGGAGUUAAGUUUGCCCCUGGGAUUGGGCCAUUGUUGGUAGUACCAGAGGUCCCUGCCCCUGUAUUAGCAGUAUAGUACAGCGGAAGCCCGUAAGGAUACCCGGAUGGCAUGAUAGAGCGGGGAUCAGUUGUUACGGUAGGAGUCACAUUUGCAGCUGUAGAAACUACAGGAACUGGUUGUUCCUGAGCAGCCAACAGAGCAGUCAUAGCAUCAUGAGCUUUGGCCAAUUCCUCCCUUAGAGAUGCCAAUUCGGUACGAAGCUGUGUGUUCUCUUCUUCCAUAGCCUUUUUCCUUCUUCUGUACUCUCUGGUUCGAUCGAUUCUAUCAGGUUCGUAGACCUUCUGAGCACGAGCCACUUUUCAAACUGUGGCAGAGGAACCAGGAAGUAGUGAGCAAUUGGAAGCCUUUGUGACCGAUGUAUGAUGCAUAUGAUGCAUGAUAUGCAGAUGCAAAUGCAAAAACGACUCUUUUUAAUGUCAUCGAAGGACUUUUUAAACAAAUUCGAAACAUUGUAAACACUGUUAAACAAGCAAAAUAAGGUUUUACAAUGGUAAACUUAUGAAUACAAGUUCACACCUGCGGUGUCUUACAAUGUUUCGAUCUGUCUAAAAAAAUCUUCGAUGUAUGCGUGAAAAAAAACUUAUGCAUGUAUGCAUGGUUGUUUUGUUUAGUUACAAAGAACAAGGUGGGUUGAGAUUCAAAGUAACAGGGCCACGGAUGGACACGGCGUCCGGUGAACUAAGGCUUUGGAUAGUAGUAACCAAGGUUCUAACACAGUUCCCAAACUGCAACCUCUCUCACAUAUAUCAUGGUAGUACAGGACGACACCCGUUCCAUGAUUAUUUGUGAGAAGGUCUAGUUUGAGUGUAGUAUCGCGUGACGACUAAAGUUUGAGACAACACUCAAUUUAGCCACCGCACUACGUCCUAAAAAGGCUAGGAUGGGUUUGGUAACUACGGUUCAUAGCUUCGUCGAACAAUUGAAAGUGAAGUGCCUAAGCAUGACAACACACGCCGACAAUAUCACCUUCAAAAUGCCUCAGCUAUGUGAGAUUGAUCGCAUAAUCCAAUACACGAGGCAACCCCCGGAUCGAAUUGUCGAUUAUAUCUCUACCUAAACAUAAGUUCACUCAGCCCGGGUAUAGGACUUUUGAUAUUCUCACCCCACACGUCAAAUGAAAAUAAACAAGUAUUCACAUAUGUAAGCAAUAAAACAAAGCGUAAAUAUAAACUAAGGAAAACUAGGCGCGACCCGCUAAAAAGAAUCCCCAGUGAAGUCGCCAUUUCUGUUAUCAUGGUUUUUGGGUGCCAAGCCAUUAAUUGGACUUGUACCUUUCGACCGUUGAUAUCUCUCUUUUUUCUUGGGAAGGGUAAAAGGAGAAAAACCCUUGAGUUUCCGAAUUCGGGGGUCGGUUUUACCACGGGAAGGUGUUAGGCACCCGGAGUAACUAUAGUCCUCUAUAGGAGCCGUUUUCCUAAGUCUAUAUUCACGCUUAUUUUUACUUACUUUUGAAAAUGGGAGGUUUAUUUAGUUAAGAAUGGGGGGAGAGAAGUUGUAAGACUUUUUAUCUUUUAGUUGAUUUGAAGAAAAUUUUAAUGUGUUGCUAUUUGAUUUUUUAAAGUUUGAAAAUGAUUUUUUGAAGAAGAGAAAGGAGGCCUUAAAGGCUUGAGAAGUAAAAAAUGUGAAGUUUGUCCAAUUUUACUUAAUAAAAUAGUCUAAGUCAUUUAAGGUUCAUUUAGAAUUUUCUUAAGAAAGUAAAAGGAAACACCAAAGGAGUUUUGACUCCAAAGUUCAUUUUAAAGAAAAAGAGCUAGAAUUAUGGAACUUGGUUUGCUUUGCGAAAAAAUAUUUUCUAAGUACUCGCGUUACCUAAUCAUACAUCUAAACGAAUGUCAUACACCGUGUGUGAGUGUCGGUGCUCGUGCCGGUGUACAUCAAUAGAGUCCAUAGUCCCUUUUACAUUGUCCUAGAUACAUUCUAUGGUCUUUGCAUGAAAUAUAAAAGAUAACACCUACCUAAAUAUUACAAUUCCAAAUAAAAGUAAAAAAAAUGGAUGCAAAGAAACUAAACUAUGUAAAAGAAUGGAAAUGGAAUGCUAAAUGAUAUGUAUGAAGUACCAAAGUAAACUUGUUAGUAAAAAAAAACAUAACAAGUACUAAGAAAUAAAAGCAUGCAAGAUGGCACAAAAAGUUAUCAAAAUGACAUUAAACCCUAAAAACUUAGGUAUGAAACCUAAAGCAUUCUUGGCCUCUAAUUCUCAUGCUUUAACAAAUUUUGAAAGAGUUUUCUUUAUCUCAAGUUAUAGCAUGGAAUUAUUGGAAACAUGCAAACAUGGUUUCAUGCCAUAUUUUCUAGAAUAAACUUGGCAUUUUAUAUCUUUCAAAAUAUGCAUAUAUUGUUCAUAAAAUUAAGAACUUAUGAACCAAAUCAAAACAGCAAAUCAACAUGAAAUUAUAGGCACAAAUCUCUCAUAUUAACACAUCAAGUAGCUUUUAUUACAUAUUCUCACAUUAAGGACAAAUGUGUGAAGAAGAAUUCAUAACAAAUAAUUCAAAGAGAAUUAAAAUGCUAUGAAUUAAUUAUACCAAAAUUUCAUAGAUCCUUAAUGUGCAAAAAUGUCAUAAAAACACUAAGAAAAUAUCAAGAAACAUGUAUGAAUUUUUCUAGGAAUUUUAUCACAAUUUUAAUCAAGACAUAGGUGCAGGUAGCAAAAAAAUAGGGGUGUGAACAGCAAGAAAAAAAGCAAGAAAUGUGCAGAAAAUUAAGCCCAAACCCAAAGCCCAACACCAAAACUCAGAUUGCACAGGAACCACACGAUUGAUCCAGGGUCCUGAAACCCUAGAUCAAACGGCCAGGAACCAAGGGGGGGUUGGACCGGUCCUGAACCGGUCCGGUUCACUGGCUUUAUAAGGGAGGGAAACCGGUUUUUUUUAUAAUUCUUCUUCUCCUUCUCUCUCUUCUCUCAUUCUAGUGAGAGAAGCUCUCACUUCUCUCUUCCUCACCGCGCCGGAUUCUGGAAAAACAGGAGAUGAUCUUCAUCUUCUCCGGCGGAGUUUGUUCCUCCGGCGUGGUGGCCGGCCACCCAAGGGUGGCGGCGCCGCCGCCGGAGUUGAGCAAACUCCUCCGAUUUUGAAAAUUUUUACAUUUUUAGAUAUCCUUUUUCGUGCUAUUCAUGAAUCCAAACUUAGUUUUUUGAGAAAAAGUCCCAAUCGGAGUAGAUCUAGCUUCAAAGAUUCGGAAAUUUGAAUUUUAAAGAGGAAGAAAGAGGAAGAGGAAUUGUCACCUAUUUGUGGUGUGUUGUAGAGCAAGGGAGAUAGCUUUGCUUUCUUCCGAAUCCGGAAUAUUCCUUCCUUCCUUCUCUUCUCUUUCACGUGUCUCUUUGACCGAUUUUGUGCUUGUUGUUUGGUGAUGUUCUUGGCGCGGAUUUGUGGAUUUUUGUGAUUCUUGGUACGGAUUUGGUUCGGAUUCGGUUUUGUGGCUUUUUGGUACGGAUUUGUUGCUUUUUGGUACGAAUUUGUUGCUGGAUUUUGGUACGAAUUUGUUGCUGGAUUUUGGUACGAAUUUGUUGCUUUGUUGAUUUUUCUUCUUCCCCUCUCUCUGUGAUCGUGCUUGAAUUCGCCGCUUCCGGUGGCGGAUUCGCACUUGAAUUGUGGAGCAGAGGCGAUUCGAUGAUGAAGAUUCGCAAAGAAUCUCUGAGAAUCACCCAAAAAAAGGAUGAAUUUGAUGAAUCUGUGAUGAUUUUCGGUUAGGGUUUAUGUGUGUGUUCUUGAUGAUUUUCUGUUUUGAUUUGUAACUGAAUAGAGAGAGAAGAAAAAAUCUGUUUGUGAUGUGUCACUGUGUGAAUGGAAUCCUCCUAAAAAAUCUGACACUGUUCCCCUUUUAUAUGCUGCCAUGUGUACCUGAACCAAUAAAAAAGUGACAUCUGGACUGGACUAAAAUUUGUGCGAAAAUUUGGACCAAAAUGCCCUUUGGGGCGUUUCUGCAGAAAAAAAUGAUAAUAAAAGGACUGAAAUGCAAUUCUUAGAAACUUUUGGACUGAAAUGUAAUUUUGGGACCUCAAUUGAGGGACCAAAAUGCAAUAAAAAAUAAAAUUGAAUAAAAAACGCAAUUUGAUCGAACGUAAAGCGAAACAAAAAUAAAAUUGACAAAACGGACUUAAAACGAACCAAUGGCCUAAAUGAGGUACUUCAAAGUAACCUCCCUAUGUCAAAAUUUCGUGUGAAAUGACCAAAAUGCCCCUAGGGCUAAAAAUGACCUAAACUGACUCAAACAGACUUGACACUGACUCGGACGCAAGUUUGAAAUGAAUUUAAACAGGGUUUACUGAUGAAAUGUUAAAAAUGAAUUUGAAAAGACUCAGAGACAGUCACAAGGAUGAAAAUGGGUCCCACUGCAGGAAAUGACCAAAAUACCCUUCUGCAUGACUUUUUGCAAAUUUUGAAAUAAACUGUAGAAAAAGCAAUGUAAUGAUUCAGAGACACCUUUGAAUGACUUUCAAGACAAGUAAAGACAUUUUGAAAGGUUUUAUGCAAAAAAACAUAGGUAAAAUUGUGAUUGAAAAAAAACUGCGAGACAGAGACAAUUUGAACUGUGCAGUUGACAUUUGAUAAUUGACAAAGUUUGAAAUGAAAUUGGGCCCAGUAUUUUUAGGUCCAAAAACAGGGUAUAACACUAAUUGUUCAUAACAUGUGCCAAAAUUUAUGAAGAAAAACAUGGCAAGAAAUUCACAAAAUUAGGCCAAAAAGAACCAAUUAAUCAAGAAAAUAACACCUACAUUUUUAUCAUCUUUAAACAGGUAGCAAUAUCACACAAAAUGUCAAAAGAUACAACAAAAAACAUAUAGAAUUUUUAGGAAAUUUUUAGAACAAAUAGAGGCGUAUAUAGCAGGAAAAUAAGGUGCAAAUAGCAAAGAAAAGGCAAAAAAACAAAAGAAACUGUAAGAUAAAGCCCAAGCCCGAAACCUAAAGGCCUGGAAGCACAGGGAUGCCAUGCUUAAUUUCUGAGUCAAUAACCGAGUGGAACAAAAGUGACUUAUAUGUAUAUGCAUCAUACAAGUAAUAAAGCAUAUCCAGGAAAUUGGGAGAGUGAAAGAGGAAUAUCAUAAGCUUAACUUCGAAGUUAAUGUCAAGGUGUAACAAAAUUGGUUUCUCUAUGAUUAGCAUUUUUACUUAGAGAAAAAAAGACAGGGGAUGUCAACCAUUCAUGAGGAAAGUAAUGGUAGACAUUACGCAAAACCAAAUUUUAUCACAUUUUACAAAGUAAAAUAAUAGGGAUUGUUAUGCCAAAUUUUUGCGUGGAAAUAAUAUUCACAGCAUGCCAUGUACUCCCUUUCAUUGAUGACCGUGUUCUUUUUAGUUGAUUUUUGUUUAAAAGUGACUUGAACAAAGUGUGGCUGGCCAUUUAUAAAUGGAUUAUUGCUAGUCAUUGUGUUUAAAUAGAUGACUAGCAGGAGUUGGCUACAGAAGUUGCAGCCACAUUUAAAUUUAUUAGAAGGCAACUAAGAAACAAGAAGAUUAGAGAUAUUGGGAGACCUCAAGAUUUUAGACUACAUGCAAAAUAAGUACCUGUUUCCAAUGUCAUGCAUCAAAAGGUUUCUCUAAGCAUUGCAUUGAAAAUUAUCAAAUCAAGAAGCUUAAAGAACCAAGAGAAAGAGUUAUAUGGUCCAUCCUUAUAGAUAAAAAAAUGUAGAUAUUUAGAGUUUUGUUAAUAUGGAAAAAAGGCCAAAUUUAGAAAUGUUAUUUAUUUUGGUAUAUCCUUGGUCUCUCUUUCCUCUUUAUGCUAUCAAUUAGUUCAUGUAAUUUUUUUGGUUCAAUUCAUUGAUGUGAUCUAAAUAGCUCAAUAUAGCUUUUUAUAAAAUGUCCACUCACGAAGCAUAGCUUACAAUAAAAUGUUCAAGUAGUAUACACAAAGAAACAAAUAAAAAUAUAUACACGAGUUAGCGCAGUAGAAAAAGCGUGCCCGUCUGGACGCUAGUAAUAAUGAAAAAUAAUAAUAAAUGAUGCAUUGGUAUUCUAAAGUGACAAUUAUUUUGAGAAAAAGAAAAAUGAGUAAAAAGAAAAUUAUUGUGAGACGGAUGGAGUAUUUAGAAAUUUAAACCUCAAAAUUCGAACAGCUUAAUAGCUAAUGCUACAAAAACUCGAAUAAAUACUCCCUCCGUCUCACAAUAUUAGUUCGCUUUUGUGCACGAUUAUUAAAGAAAUGAUUAAUUGUGUUGAUUUUAGUUGUAAAAUUAAUUGCAUUUACUAAAACACCCUUACUAAAACACCCUUAUUAAUUGUGAAAUUCAAUAAAUAAGGGUAUAAUAGUGGAAAAAAAACUAAUAAAUGUUACAUUGGUAUUGUAAAGUGACAAUUAUUCUGAGGAAAAAGAAAAAUUGUCAAAGAGAUAAUAAUUGUGAGACGGAUGGAGUAUAUGUUAACCUAGUGAGUUAACUAGAGCAAUAAAAGAGCUUAAUAUUAUCUGUCACUUUUUUCUCAAAUUCUCAUUCAAUUAUUAGUAGGACCCUGCGCUUUAUUUGGCUUUGCACUUUUACCAGCCAGUUCCUAUCUUCUGGAAACCAACGUGAAUGCCUUGAAAAUCAAAAGUAUUUUCUGAUAUUUUAAUCUCAUCUACCAAUUUGACAUUUUUCCAGCUGUCAUUCAUAGUCAAAAUUGGAAUCUAAUAAAUGUUGUAGUCUAUACAGAGUAACUUGAUACCUAUAUUUGGAGUUUGAUUUACCUUUUGUAGAUUCUUCAUUAAGUUUUAAUGAUAAAUAAUUAGUGUUAGGACCAAAAUUAAAACCGGAUAAAACUAAACAAUACAAAAAAUAUAAACCAUUAAAGAGGGGGAUACGGUUCUUUGCUCCCUAUUAAAUAUCGUUGAAACAAUAUUUAAUAAAAUCAGAGAAUCAAUAAUCAUUGAACAAGAAAAUUCAGGUUGAUAGCUAUGGCUACUCCUUUCUGCAAGACACAAGCAUUCAAAUAGAUAUGAUAAGUAACACAAUAUACAGUUACGCUCCAACAGAGAAGAUUGCUAUUGAUUACUCGACAAAAUGAUUGUGUAUCAUGCCAAAACUAAGCAUUAACCUCACCGUAAACCUCGUACGUCCUUAUCAUUUAUACAGCAUGCUUCAAUUGCAAUCACGUUAAACCUCAUUCGUAAAAGUUAAAAAUGUAUACAAGCAUUAAAUUAUCCAUACGUUUAUAGGUUAGACAGAAAGCAUGUGACGUAAGUCAAGAGAGAUAUAGCAUUUAAUACUUCAAUGCCCUCAUCACAUCCAGAAGUUGGAUCUAUACCCAUUUCGAGCUGAUUACCUCAUGGUGGAAGUUGAAACUUCCAGCCAGUAGAUCUCUAGUUAGUGAGUUGCGACAAUUUGUUAUAUUCAUUAAUCAUCUACUACACGUAAUUAACCAUAUAUUUUGUUGUGUCAAAAUAAUACAAGGAAGACAGACCCAAGCAAUUAACAUGCAUAUCUGUCAAAUAUGGAAAGGAAAAAAAAUUUAAUACUAAGAACCAGCAGUGACAUCAGACUCUUAACUCUGGAACAGGACAAAUCUGUAAUGAGUCAAAGAGUUGAAAGAGGUAUUACAGGAAAUAUGAAUGUGGACUCUUAUAAAUACGAGAAAGCCAAGAGAAAAAGGCAUGGAAUAUGUGUGAUGUCAACAUUCUUCUUCUAACCACUUCUCUCAUUUUACUAUCCUUAUUUUCUUGCAAUUUUAUUUCCUGCAAUUGUACUCAUUGUGUGUUCACAGUGAAACGUUAUCCUUUAUAUCAAUUUUAGUACCAAUACAUUGGUGCUAUGGCAUGGGCUGAAUCAGUAUGAGCUCAUUGGAAAAACAUAGAAGCCGAGUAUAAUCGAUUGGAAGAGUUGCAAAGGAUCUUUGAUUCAUCUUUCCAGUAUGUUAAUCAUAUCAUUGAAUUUUAAUGCUGAACCACUGCUAUUGAAACCUCCAUAUCCAUUUGUUUUUACUCUGACUCCACCACCACCUCAGCCGAAACCUCCUGAUCGAAGCUUUGCGCAGAUUCCCGUGGAGUUUCAAGUGAUACGGAACUUCACCAUACAUCCACUGCCUCCAGAGCCUCUAGACACCGAUCACACAGCAGUGAAUACCAUAGUUUUGCCUUCUUGUGUGGAAAUAGCAGUUUUCCCACCAUCUGUUUGUGUGAAUGAUUGUGUCAUCAUCCAGCUAUUGUUGUUCAUGUUGUUUCGGUGUUUACCAUUGGUUCGACAUCUCAGCGAAAAGGACCAUGAACAGGUAAUCCUUGUUGUUUAUCUUAGUGUUGGUUCGUAUGCUCCUAUUUCUCUAGACUAUGGCUAUACAAUGAAUGUCUUUGAGAAGAGUGAGGUUUAUGGUUAUGGUGUAGUGUUGUUGAUUGUCUUGACUUGUAAGUAUAUUGAUGAGAAAUGGAAACAAGAACCACAUUUCCACAUGGUGACAUAUGAGAAUAGAUAAUUCAGGAACUUAGUUUUUGACAAGGUUCAAAUUCAUCAACAGCCACCCAAAACAUUUAUGAGUUUGGUAGGAUUAUCUUGCCACAUAACCAGGAUGAUACAAUACUUUCAAGAGAUGUUGAAUCCCAAUAAAAAGAAUGGCACUCCUGUUGUUUUGAUUUGGUUUGAAAAUCUCCAGCAACGACAUCAAUUGUCGCUUGAACCAUACCAUGCUCACUUUUGGAGUUGCAUGAAUGCUAUCUCUCAUAAUGAUGUUAUGGCUAUUGUUCAAUUAUUUUCCUUUGUUGUCAAAUUGGUUGUUUCUAUUCCUGAAGAUGUAUCUCAAGCUAUGGGAUUGAGCCUUGCAUUUUUCAGGACAAAAAUUAAGCAUGAUAAGGCUCAUUAUUCAAUUAUUUUCCUUUCUUCUCAUUAUUCAAUGUAAAACGAUACAAAACAACCUUCAGUAUGUGAAAGAGGCUGCCAUUGUGUUUGUUUUGUUUCUACAACCAAUCCAAAUCAAGGACAAGAGUUAUCAUAUAAUAACUACUUGGAUGUUAUUACUACUUUCAACUUUGUGCGUGCAUUUCAAAUUCCAUGUGGGGUAGCUUCAAGUGAUGUUGUUUUGAAAUCUUGUAGAAUGAACACUACAGCUUGUAGCUUCUCAAGAUUAGAGUAUAGCAACUUAGGGACUUCGCAAUUGGGUUGGAAAACGAAAUUUGAUGGGGAAUGGUGCAUAGAAGAUCUUUUGGUUUUGAGAAUUGACAUGGUUCAAAGAGUCAUACCAAAGAUGAAGUGUUAUGGGCAUUGUCCACAAGGUAUUGUAGUUUCUCUUUUGCAUUGGUCCGGGCUGAAAUUGGCGAGGAAACUCAACUUGUGGAAACCAUCUAGCCUGACUGCAGACGUAAAAAGAAGAGUAGUGAUGGAAAUGACCACUUUUAUGUUCAUAGAAACAUGUAUGCUUCUCUUAUUUAGUAAGGCUCCUAACAUCAAAUAUCAUAUUAAUGUUAAUCCUACCUCAUUGCUUGUCUAUGUUGGUAGUGAUAUACAAGAUCUUCUAGCAGUUUUGGAGGAAUUUUCUUGGGUGUUUUAUCCUAAUAAAGUUACUCUUGCUAGGAUGCGUCUUGAAGCUAAUAUGAAUUCUGCAUUGUAUUUGAGCAGAUACAAUGUCAAGGUUUUCCUUCUCAAGUGCCAUACGAUGGCAGGGAGAGUGAUAUCAAUAAAUGGAGUGUCCUUCAAAGACUGAGAAAUAUUAUAUACAAGACGAAGUUCUUGCUGAACAAUUGCAGGAUCAGGUGAAGAAGCAUCAUCGGCUUGAUGGGUGUAAAUUUAAAGAAGACUUGGGGCUAAAAGAACCAAGAGACAUGAACGAUCUUCUGGUUCAGGCACAUCCUUACAUCAAUUACGAAACAGCUGAAGCCGUCAAGAAGAAACAACCUUAGAAAGAGUACAAGCUACAGGACGACAGUCAAAAAACACGAGGGAACAAUUCUCGGUUCUCGGAAUACAGUCAGUUUAACGCUUCAUGAGAACAAGUUUUCAAGCAAUGGAAAACACAGAAUUCAAAGAUGCCGGCAUCAAAGCCCCAGCGCCGUUGAAGGAAAUACCACGCAGAGACAAGUCCAAGUACUGUAGGUUCCACAUAAGUAGCGGCCACAAUACAGAAAAAAAAUUCCAGCUGAAGGAUGCAAUUGAAGAUCAAAUCAAAAAAGGGAAGUUGAAACGCUACAUCAAAGAUGAUUACCACAAAGGUGGUAAGAAGAAAUACAAAGACUCCAAUCACAAAUCUUCUCUCAGUAGUGAGUCCACAAAGAGAAAGCGCUCUCCUUCCUAGGAAGACACUCCACCCACAAAGAAACGAUUGACGUCGCUGACAGAGGCAAUAAGGAAAGGAAAAUGAUGACCACCAUUAGAAGAACGGUAAAACGUGUCUUCCUGGACGCCAUCAUGGGGAAUCUCCGAGAACGGGUCCAAAGGUACAUGAAGAGGAAGGUAGCUCAAAUGCUCGCAAUCAAUGUCACCAUACCAUCUUCUGAAGCUGAGUAUAGGACAUUAGCACAAGCAACCUUUGAAGGACAAUGGUUGUUGUAUCUUCUGCAUGAUUUCUUAGUUCCUCAUUCUUCAUCUAUUAUCAUCAUAUAUUGUGAUAAUCAAUCAGCAAAGCAUAUGGCUGCUAACCCUAUUUUUCAAGAGAGGACAAAGCAUAUCAAAAUUUAUUGUCAUGUUGUCAGGGAUAGAUUCACACAGGAAUGCUUCAUCCACUACCAGUGUCUUCCAAGGAAAAAGUAGCAGAUAUAUUGACCAAGUCACUUCACCCUGGGUCAUUGAACAUUCUUCGGCACAAGCUUGGAAUGAUUGACAUCUAUUCCAGCUUGGGGGGAUGUUGAAGCUAGUAUAGAUACAGUCAGUUAGUUAAUUAACUUGCACUGACCUUAACUCCUUGCUACCAUUCUCUAACUAUGAUUAGCUAUAGAAGUAACUACAGUUAGGAGGAUAUAAGUGAUAUAUAUACUCUUGCUAGUUCCACUUUGAAGGUGAGAAAAACACAAGAAGGGGGGGUUGAAUUGUGUUUUCUUUUUCUCUCUUAAAAAAUCUUCUUCUGAUAAACCUUCAGAAGCAGUUUGUGAGUGCUUCUGAUGAACUGAUCAGAAUUGGAUAUGCAGCGGAAAAGAACAGAGCAGAGAAAAGAAAGACAAAGACACAAGUAGUUAUCCUGGUUCCUUCCACAACACGGAAGUAGUCCAGUCCCCCUUGUACUUCCAAGGAGAUUUCACUAUAAUCACAAAGAUUACAACUGCUCAAUACUAUCUAAGUGUGAGACUUCACAAAGAUGCUCAAGCACACACGCAAGAGUCUUCCAAUGCUCAAGCACUAAGCAAGAGACUUCUAAUGCUCAAGCACGCAGGCAAGAGACUUCUGAUCAAACAAAAAUACAGAGAAUUGAGUUUGACUUGAACACUUGAUAUACAAUCAGUGGUGUUCUCAAUACAAUACAGUAAAGACUCUAGACUUUGAAUUUCUAAGAUGUAUCAAAUCAGUGCAGAAAUUCAGUGUGCUUUGUAGAAUCAAUUUGACAGAGUUUUGGCGCUUUUGAACUUGUAUAUCUCUAUCUUCUAUCUUCAAGUCUUCACUCCUUUAUAUAGAGGCGUGAAAGAGACGUUGAGAUAAUCAGCACGUCUAAAGAGUCGUUUGAAAUCCUUUGAUCAUCCACCAGUAAUCCUUUGCCUGAUUUGGGUGUAGUCCUUUGAAGAAUAAGCUUCAAAUUCAUUCCCAUCUUGAAGGCACAAAUUCUGCAGGCAUGGCUGUUGUCUUGUCUUGUAGUGUAGACAAAAAAACAGAGUAGUGGAGGUAGUGGUUGUACACUUGUACUUUGUCAACUCUACUAACGAGAGACAAGUGCUCAGUGCUAUCCAUAUAUCUGUUGAUACCUCCCUUUCAAUUCUUCGUUCUUCUUAGAUAAGAUUGAAUUGAGAAUCAGCUACUUUGGAUCUUCAGUUUGAUUAAAGGAUCAAAUAUAGCUUCUGGUGAAGAUAUUGCUUCUGAUGACCUUCUGCUUCUGAUGACGUCAUCUCUUCAGAAGCAGUUUUCUUCAGAUGCUUGGAAUUCUUUUGCUUUUCAUUGUUCUUCCAAGACCUAUUGAAAUUACUUGACUAGCUUUUGAUCCUGUACACUUGAACAAUCAUUAGUAUAAACCAAUUGACAAUUUUUAAUACCUUGUUAUCAUCAAAACUCAAUAAGGUUCAUUGUGAAACACAUUUUGUUCCAACAAUCUCCCCCUUUUUGAUGAUGACAAACAAUAGUAUUUAAAAUGUUCAAUUGUUGUUGAUCUAAUUAAUAAGUUGACCACUGGGAUUGAGGUUUGUAAGCUCCCCCUGAGUCUAAUAGAUCUUUAAGGUGAGGUUUGUAAGCUCCCCUUGAGUUCUAAUCUUAUUAAUUAAAUUUCAAUAAAAUACUUAUUAAAAAUAAAUAAUAUCAGAAGUAUUUAAAAAGUUUUGAAAUGGUUAUAAUGGGGCUCAGUGCAUUAAAAUACUAUACAUUUACUCCCUCUUUUGUCAUCAACAAAAAGAAUAAAAACAAAAGAAAGAGUAGCAGAGCAUAUAAACAUAUAAGCCUUAAAAUACAAUGUAUCAGAGCAGACAUCAUUAAACACAGCAAAUAUUAUCAGAGUUAAAGCUGUAAAACAUAUAAUUCAGAAAAACAAAGAUAAUAUUUAUAAGUUAAGAUACAAAGGCAAAACUACUAACAACUUAGAACAAAAAUUAAAACAAGCAAAGAGUGUUGGGUGUGCAACUAAGGUUGGGCUUGCUUAUACAUCUGUUCCAAAAGGUACUUAAUUUGAUCAUCCUUCUUCUGAAGUAGCUCAUCCUUUUCUCUCAUUCUUCUUUUAUACCCAGCAUGAAUUCUUGCAGCCCUUGUGAUAUACUCUUCUUCUAGAUAGAAAGGAGUGAUGUCCAGCAGAGGCACAUAAUUCAGCUCUUUCACCUUAGCUGCUUCAUGCAUAUCAUUCAACAUCUUCUUCAGCAUGGCAGAGUGAGAUGAGACACACUUAGUUCUAAGCUGAUUCAUCAGUUCAUCAAAGCUCUUCUGCAGAUCCAUCCACUGAUCAUGAUAGUGAAUAGGAGGUACAUGAACUGUUCUGCGAAGAAUCAGUGUCUGAAUCUCAUCACUAAGCCUGAUUAGCUGUUCCUCUAUAUACUCAGACUCUAGGAUAUUGUCAGGGAUGGGUGAGGGUCCAGUUUGAGUUGUAUUUGAUGUGGAGGGUUGGUCAGAGGUUAAGUCUAUAAUAGAAGGUGAUGCUGGUUGUUGUAUUUCUGUUGUUUGUUGGUCAGAGUCAUGAUGUUCAUGAACAGACUGUUCAGAAGCACCAAGAUCUUGGUCAGUAGCAACUUGUUCAGAAACAGUUUGUUCCAGAACAGUUUGCUCAGGGAUGGUUUGGGUUUCUGAUUGUUGGUUUUCCAAAACAGUCUUUUUAGGGACUGUCUUAGAGGCCUUUGUGGGUGUUGGUUGCAUUUCACCACAUAGAUGUUUUUCUAGGUUGUGAAGGGUUGAGGAUUCUUGUUGUUGGGGGGUUUCUGAUGUAGUUGCUUCUGAAACUACUUCAGAGGCUCUUUGUGGAGUUUGGUCAUUUUGUUGAUUUGUUUGGGUAGGUUCUUGGUUGGGUUGAGGUUGUUGUAUGCUAACAACUUCUGGAAUGACUGGAUACAAAGGAUGAGAAGCAGGCAAAUUGAAUUUCUCACAGAGUUUAAUUAUGUUCUUAGAAAAUUCAAUUUGUGUUUGCUCAUAGUCAAAAGUUCCAAACUCUGUUAGUUUUGUGGGUUUGAUGUUAAGGAGAUUGGUUCAUCUGAUUCUGUGGAUGAUGAUGAGGGUGAAGAGGGUGGAGUAGGUAGGGUGUGAAUCUGAGUAUUAGAUGGAGCUUGAGAUGAAAUACCUGAAGAAUGAGCUUCUGAAGGAGGUGCUUCUGGAGCUUUUGUAGAAGGAUCUGAUGAUGAUGCUCCUGAAGCUUGCUUAUUCUUCAAGGCUUGUGAAAGCAGAGUUGCUCCACGCUGAAUAGUUUCCAUCUCAGAAUCUAUAGCAGCAAUUUCAGGAUCAGGCUCAUACCCUGCAGCCUUGAGUUUAUCUUCCCUUUCCUUUUCAUACAAUUCCUUCAUCCUCUUCUUCUCUUGAAUUUUAGUUCUUGCAUACUCAUUUUCUUCGCUCAGUUGAGUCUCAGACGCUUCAAAUCUGGGCAAGACUUCAAGCUCAGUGUUGGUAGUCCUCUUUACUUUCUUAGGACUUGAGUCUUCAUCCCAGUUCUCUUCAAGCUCUUCCAGCAUCUGCGCCUUGCGUCCUUCAGCUGUCUUCAGAUUUCUUGUUAUAUAAGAUCUCUUCCUUUUGAUGGUCUGAAGAGUAGCUUCUCUUUUCUUCUUAGGACUUAGAGGUUUUUCAGAAGCAGCUUGUUCAGAAGCAACUUGUUCAGAAGCAAGCUGUUCUGCUGUUUCUUAAGCACUCCUUGUCCUUUUUCUGAUAAGAGGGACUUCAUCCAAGUCCUCCACUUCCUCUUGAAUAGUGGACAUUGCAGAUUUUUCCUUCUUAACUUUCUGAUGCUUCUGAGCACCCUUCUCAGUAGCAUCAUCAGCAAGAUAUUCUUCCUUGGUGAUCUGCUUCUUCUUGGACUUUCUGCCUUUAGCCACAGGCAGAGCACCACCAUACAUCUCCUCAGGGACAUCCUUCAGGUCAAUCUUCUUGUUGUAGGUUUUGUAGAAGUCCAUGAUGUAAGCCCUUUGUACAUCCAGGGGAUCUUUCUUGCAGAUAGGGAUGAGAUGAGUGACCAGAUCAGAUAUGGCAUCAGAUUCAUGCAUAUCAGUAUCUAGUUUCUUGAAUGUUGGAAUCAGUCUCAUCUUUAGAAGAGUUGCUCCAUUAAUUAUUUUCCCAGUGACUGCUCCCAGCUUCUGAUUAUCAUAAAUGCCAACGUCCUUCAAGGCACUUAGGAUUCCUCCUUCUUGAAAAAUUACAGAGAGCAGCCUUCCAUAAGGAACAUACUUCCUGUUUUCCAUCUGACUCUUCUUUAGUUCCUUGAUCAUGUACUUGAACAUGUACUUAGGAACAUUCAUCGUGGUCUCUUGAGUGAUGGUGUGAUGCAGGAAAACUUUGUGACCAAGUGAAGGUUGAUCACUUCCUCCACCUUUGGGAAAGAUGUUCUCAUUUUGGAUCUUCAGCAGCAACUUCUUUUGCAUGCUCAAAGUGCUGUAAGGUUUAGCAUCCUUUGAUCCAUAAAUGGUGUUAUUUACAAUUUCCUUCCAGGAGCUGGUUUUGGGAUUAGGAAUCUCUUCUCCAAAGUACUUGCCAGAGGUAUCCCUUCUCAUGGCUUGAGCAAUAAUCUGCUCAUUUAUGGUUACGGGAAUACCCAUGACAUUUGAUCUAAUCUCUGUACCAGUGAAGGCGAGUAGACCCAUUUCUUCUCUGGUUUUUCCCUCCAGAGUAGGAUCAACCAGAAUCAUCUGAGCUUCUUCCUGUCUAGCAGCAUCAAUGUCAAAUAUUGAAGCCCUUACCCAGAAUUGUCUGACCAGAACUUCAUACGUUGGACCAUUGAGAAGACCAAAAUACCCCAUGAGUUGCUGUUUCUCGUAGAACUUUACCAAGUCGCAUCCAUGGCGAGUUAAAGAGGCGAAAUCCACUGGAUUUUCUGCUUGAAUAACUAACUCUCAUUCUUCAAUAGACAUGGUUCUUCCUUUAAUCUCAUAAGCCGGAGUAUCUAUUUCCAUGUUUGAAGAUGAACCACGAGCAAAACUUGAACUUUCCAUUGAUUCGAAGGAGUUUUAGGGUUCUAAGGUGUUUUGAGAGGGAGAGUGAAUGCGCUUACUUCGCAGAGGGUUGAGAAGAAAAUAGAAAGUGUUUGUUGUGAAGUGAGUAGUGUGUGUUUGUUUUAAGUGUUUUUUAUUAAAACGUUUGCAAUUCAGAAGAGACAAACAAACAUAACAUUAAUGACAAAUUGGGGGCGCGUGAUAGUACAUUUAAAAGCAAGUAAAACAUCAUUGCCCUUUUUGUUAUACUCCAAUACAAAUAGACCACGUCAGAGACUUAUCAGAAAACUAACCUUUGGGUAAUGGGACAGCUGUUACAAAAAGUAACUGCCAACGUUCCCACUAGCCUUGCUAUUCAGAAGCAAAUAAUACCGUUUCUGAAGUCUUAGUGCUGACGUCAUCUUCAGAAGCACAUUUUCCUCAGAACCUCAGUUAAGAGCUUCUGAUGGACCAGAUGCUUCUGAAUAGACUUCAGAACCAAAAACUUCUUAUUCAGAGGCAAGCAAUUUUUCAAUCAGACACAAAGUGCAUGUUCAAAUUUUUCUUAAUAAAAUCAAAUCUUUCAACCGAUAAAGGUUUUGUAAAUAUAUCAGCCCAUUGAUGUUCAGUAUCAAUGAAUUGUAUAUCUAAAAUCCCUUUUUGAACAUAGUCUCUGAUAAAAUGGUGUUUGAUCUCAAUAUGCUUGGCUCUUGAAUGUAGAAUUGGAUUCUUUGACAGACAAAUAGCAGCAGUAUUAUCACAAAAAAUGGGAAUACUGUUAGCAUUAAUCUGAUAGUCUUCCAACUGAUGUUUCAUCCAAAGUAGUUGUGUACAACAACUUGCAGCUGAAAUGUAUUCUGCUUCUGCUGUAGACAUAGCAAUAGUUGCUUGUCUUUUGCUUGCCUAGGAUAUCAGAUUCUCUCCCAGGAAUUGACAAUUUCCACUGGUUGAUUUUCUUUCAAUCCUGUCACCAGCAUAAUCAGCAUCACAGAAUCCAAUCAACUUAUAAUCUAGGGAUUUCCUAUACAGGAGUCCAAGAUUAGUUGUUCCUUUCAGAUACCUGAAGAUUCUCUUAACUGCAGUUUAAUGAGAUUCUCUAGGAUCUGAUUGAAAUCUUGCACACAAGCAUACACUGAAUAAAAUAUCAGGUCUAGAUGCAGUGAGGUAUAACAGAGAACCAAUCAUACCUCUGUAUAGCUUCUGGUCUACUAUUGUUCCAGUAUCUUCUUUGCUUAAGGUGCAGGUUGGAUGCAUUGGAGUGUUCAUCACUUUACAAUCUUCUAGCUUAAACUUCUUCAGAAGCUCCUUUGUAUAUUUUGUUUGAUGAACAUAUACUCCUUCUUUACUUUGGUUGAUUUGAAUUCCAAGAAAGAACUUCAAUUCUCCCACAUACUCAUUUCAAAUUCAUCCUGCAUUAACUUAGAAAAUUCUUUGCAAAGAGAUGCAUUAGUAGAACCAAAUAUUAUAUCAUCAACAUAUAUUUGCACAAUCAAAAUGUCUUUCUUAAGAGUCCUUCUGAAGAGUGUUGUGUCAACUUGUCCUCUUUCAAAAUCAUUUUUAAUUAAGAAAUUACUUAGUCUAUCAUACCAAGCUCUGGGAGCUUGUUUCAAGCCAUAUAGUGAUUUCUUAAGUUUAUAAACAUGGUCAGGAUGCUUAAGAUCCUCAAACCCAGGAGGUUGUUUGACAUAAACUUCUUCUUCAAUGACACCAUUAAUAAAACCACUUUUGACAUCCAUUUGAUACAAUAUUAUGCCAUGAUUAAUUGCAUAGGAUAGAAGUAACCUGAUUGCUUCCAAUCUUGCAACUGGAGCAAAUGUUUCAGUGUAAUCAAUGCCUUCUUGUUGACUGUAACCUUGAGCAACAAGUCUGGCUUUGUUUCUGGUUACCUCUCCUUGUUCAUUCAACUUGUUUCUGAAUACCCAUUUUGUUCCAAUAAUGUUCUUCUGAAAAGGUUUGGGUACCAGAUCCCACACAUCAUUCCUCUGAAACUGAUUUAGUUCUUCUUGCAUAGCUAGUAUCCAACCAUCAUCUGAGAGAGCUUCUUCAACAGUUUUAGGCUCAAUUAUUGAAAGCAAUCCUAUUAAUGACUCUUCUUGUCUGAAAUGUGAUCUUGUUCUUCUAGGACUAUCUUUGCUUCCAAUGAUUAGCUCCUUAAGUGUGAAGAUUUGUGUUUGAAUUUAGGUUGAAUAGCCUGCUGAGAGUUAUCUUGAAUAUCCUCAGAAGCAUUCUCAUUCUGUAUUUCUGGACUAGGUUCUGCUUCUGAAUUUGACUCAGCUUCUGGAGUGAUUUCAGCUUCUGGACUAGAUUCAACUUCUGAAUGCUUUUCAGAAUCAGAAAGUUGAUCAGAUUCUGAUGCAUCUUCAGAAUCAAUUGUACCUGCAUUACUUUCACUUUGCUCUGGAGUUUUACUUCCAGGCUCUCUAUCAUCAAAUUUAACAUGCAUAGAUUCUUCAACACAAUGUGUUUCUGAAUUAUACACUCUGUACGCCUUUGACCUUUCAGAGUAACCUAAAAAGAUUCCUCUUUGAGCCUUGGCAUCAAAUUUCUUCAGAUAGUCUUUAGUGUUUAGAAUGUAACAAGUACAUCCAAACUGAUGAAAGUAAGAGAUAUUGGGUCUUGUUCCUUUAAAGAGUUCAUAUGCAGUUUUCUCCAACAUAGGUCUGAUAUAGAUCCUAUUUUGAAUAUAACAUGAAGUAUUAAUUGCUUCUGCCCAGAAAUGUUUAGCUAAAUUGUUUUCAUGGAUCAUGGUUCUGGCCAUUUCUUGUAAGGUUCUGUUCUUUCUCUCUACAACCCCAUUUUGUUGUGGAGUUCUAGGAGAAGAAAAUUCAUGAAGAAUCCCAUGUUUUUCACAAAAAGAUUCAAAUGUCUCAUUUUCAAAUUCACCACCAUGAUCACUUCUGACUUUCAAAAUUUUCAAUUCUUUUUCAGAUUGUAUUUGAGUGCAGAAGCUGCUAAACACUUCACAAGCAUAAUCUUUACUUUUAAUGAAUUUUACCCAAGUCCAUCUGCUGUAAUCAUCAACAAUGACUAAUCCAUAUUUACUUCCAUAUAAGGAUGUAGUGUUAACUUGUCCAAAAAGAUCAAUAUGGAGUAAUUCCAAGGGUCUAGAGGUUGAUACAAUGUCUUUAGAUUUGAAAGAACUUUUCACAAUCUUCCCUUUCUGACAUGCACCACUGAAGGGAUUUUAAGAGGGGUUUUUCAAAAAUUUAAUCCUCUUUGCGGAAGAAAUCCCAUUGAAACGGAUCUUGAUUAAAUCAUUAAUCACAAAUCAAAUAGAAACUUAAACACUUUAAGAUUCAUGUGUUUACCUCUUGAAGAGCAGAACCUUUGUAGAAGAAAUAUUUCUGAUCACGAGCAAAGCAAAGCAGCGAUGCCUCUACUCAGUCCACACGAACAGAACUUCUCUGAUGACCGGUGCUAGCCAAUUCCAACGGAGAUUCAGAGAGAACAAGGUUUAGAGAGCGGCGGCUAGGGUUUCACAACUUUUGUGAAUUAGGUUAAGCACUCACCAAAGGUUAAUAAUGUUUCAACACAAGGGUUCUAUUUAUAGAAUCACUUGUGUGGACAACAAGACAACACUUAAAUACACCGUACUUUACGGUGGACCGCGUUUCUCUAUUUUUCGUAAAUUAAAUAAUAAAGUCAUAUUUAAUUUUUUAAUUAAUAAUAAGUCUCACUUAUUAUUUUAUAAAUAAGUCUCACUUAUUAUUUUAUAAAUAAGUCUUACUUAUUUAUUUCUCUCAUCUAUCUGUCCUUUGUGUGUGACCCUAUAGGUUCCCGUAACGUUGGCAAUAAUAUUAAAUCACAUAUUUAAUAUUAUAAACAGUGAGCGGUAUCUAGCAACACAUCACUGCUACCCAAGUGACGAGAAUGUCAUGUGAUCUGACGAAACCUUUCUGUGAUAAUGAUCAUGUGUAUAAUUACCCUUUUGCCCUCAUGUCUAUAUUGAACACAAGGCAUAGACCGUGUCAUCCUUGUCUAGUUCAAUAUUGGGCCCGUAGACAUUUCUCCUGUUAUGUAGGAGGGGCAAAUUCCAUCUAGGUCACUCAUGUCCCUCAGCAUGAUUCAUGGAGUACCCAUCAACCAACUUUAUAGUCAUCCUGUUACGGACAACGUUUGAAUGGUGACAAAGCACUCGACUCCAACAUCUAGGGUACAUAGUGGUUUCAGGUCGAAGGGUGGAAUACACCACUAUCACUAUGAGAAUAUCUUAUGACACUUUUCAUAACUUUUACUAUGUAGUAUUCUCAUGGCGGAUCAAUCCAAUAUAAAUAUUACUCCUAAUAUUUAUAUCUAUGUGAAGACUUGAUAACUCUUUAUCCAUGAUCUGUGAGAUGUGAUCAUCAGUCUACCUACAUAAUAGUCUCUAUGCUUUAAUGAUAUCCCACUUCUCAACAAAGCUUGACUAUGGAUACUUUGAGAAUAGUUUCCAUAUGUUUAAUGGGGUCUCACAAUUAAGUUAUACUUAAUGUUCCAUUAAACGGACUAACUAUUCUAGGGACUUUAUUAUUUUGAAACAAAACAAAAUCAAUAAAGAAAUGCCUUGUUAUUAUAUAUUCACAAUAUAUAUUUAUAUCAAUAUCAUGAAACAAAGCCAAACCCAAUCAAUAUAGAUUGGCUAUUAGGGCUUAUUCCAACAAUCUCCCACUAGCACUAAAAGCCAAUCAAAUAUUAACUCAAUAUCUAUUGGUCAAGUGUUAGCAUCAAGCACACUCUUGACAAGAUACUAUACUAGCAAAUAAGGAACUCUUUUCUAUGUUGGUAGGUUAUACUUCUUUCAAUUUCCACUUUCGAUCUUCUAUCGAAAAGAAAUUGAAGUGUCAAAGUAUACAUUUGGAUCAUUGGUGAGAUCAAGUUUUCAUUGCUCACAAGAUUUAAAGCAAUUUUACCUCAUACGAGAUCAAUGGAAUCCGCAACGCAAGAAACACAUGUUUUCACUCAGUUAUGAGCUAAACAAUCCAAAUCAUAUAUAUUUGACAUCUGUAAUAGAAACAACAACUAUUUGAAGCUUGUACUUUUAUAAAUUUCAUAGUUGAUAUCCUAGCAUAACAUUUAUUCCAAAUUACGAUCUGGAUAUAUUGUACACUGAUAUGAAAGUCAACAUCAUUGUAACUCAUUUACAAUGUUUCUUUCAUCUGUGUUCAAGAAACAAUCUAUUGUCCUUUAAGACAUCCAAGGAUAUUCUUGAAGGUAUUAUAGUGUCGAACACUAUAAUCAAUUUUGGUACAUAUUGAAAAUAAUUUUCUAACCAUGUCUUACAUGUGUAGAUAAAUUAUUUUGGUGACUAGUAUGUCAUCUACAUACUCCACCAAAAUAAUUUCAAUGCUCCCACUAAUCUCCUUAUGUGCACAAGAUUUCUUUAUUGAUCAAAGUUUUCAUAAAACUUUGUUAAUAAAAUAAACAAUUUAACUUCGAGAAGAUUUCUCUAAUAAAUAAAUUUUGUAAUACAUUUACCUUUCUAGUAUCCUUUGGAUUAACGAAACCCUACAUAUAUGUCAAAUACAUAUAUAAGGUCAUUCUAAUUAAAGAAUGCAAUCUCUUUGCCAUUGUUCUUGUAUGUGCUGUAGAUCAUAGAAGCAACUUUGAUUCUGUCUAUUCUAGCCAUAAUAAAAUCAUCCAAGGCAAUCUCAUGUUUAGUGCCUGAACCUUUAUCACAUUUUUCUUGUAGCUUCUGACAAAGAAUUUUGAGUCUCUCUUCAUAUGUUGUUGAUAUGAGGUUAAACCCUUUUAGUUCUUCUUCAGAAGCUUUCAGUUCCAAUAGAGUUGACUUUUGUUCUUUCAUUAAAUCAACAUAUUUUUCUUUUAAAUCUGUCAACUCAUUGGUUCUGUGCUCAAACAGUGAUAAAAGUUCUUUUAGAGAAUCCACAAGUUCUUGUCUAAGAAUUUUGGAGUAUACCUCAUUUUCAUCUUCUGAAUCUGAUUCAGCUUCUGAAACUGCUUCUGAUGAUACUGUUGCCACUAACCCCAUGGCUGUCUUUGCAUCAUCAUCUGCUUCUUCUUUAUCAGAACCAGAUUCACUGUCCAAAUCUUCCCAGGUUGCCAUCAAGCUCUUUUUGAUUUGCUUUCUAAAUUUACUGGAGCUGAAGCUUGAUUUCUUGGAUUUGCUUUUAGAUUUCUCCUUCUGAAGAUCAGGGCAAUCAACAAUAAAAUGACCAGGCUUUUUGCAGUUGAAGCACCCCUUCUGAUCUUCUUUCUUUGAGUUCUUGUAGCCACCUCUCUUGCUCAAAAAUUUCUUUUGCUUCCUUGCCAGAUACUCAAGUUUGUUGGACAACAUGGCCAUCUUUACAGAUUGAUCUUCAUCAGAAUCUCCAUCAGGUGAUUCUUCUUCAGAUUCACUAGCUUUGUAGGCUUUUGAGGAUUUUGAAGUCUUUCCUUUAGAUGGUAAAGCAAUGGAUUUACUCUUCUUAGAGGAUUCAUGCUCAUUUAGACUCAUUUCAUGCACUUUGAGUGAGCUAACAAGAUCUUCAACACUUAAAGUGUUUAGAUCCCUAGCUUCCUCAAUAGCAGUUACUUUGGGUCUCCAUCUUGAAGGUAAGCUUCUCAAAAUCUUACUGACAUGAUCAGAAGCAACAUAGCUUUUCUUCAGUAUUUGCAAUCCAGAAACCAAAGUUUGAAAUCUUGAGUACAUUUCUUCAAUACUCUCAUCAUCCUUCAUUCUGAAUAGUUCAUACUGAUGAACAAGCAUCAAAGCUUUAGCCUCUUUCAACUUCUUGCUGCCUUCAAAGUUGGCACAUAGUGACGCAAACAUAGCCUUUGCAGUAGAUUUUUCACCCAUCUUCAUAUAUUCGGUGCGAGGUAUAGAAGCCACAAUAAUCCCUCUGAUUUUGUGGUGCUUCUUGUAAAGAUUUUUCUGAGCAGGAGUAUGUAUUCUUUGAAGGUGAGAAAAACACAAGAAGGGGGGGGGGUUGAAUUGUGUUUUCUUUUUCUCUUAAAAAAUACUUCUUCUGAUAAAACUUCAGAAGCACUUUGAUUGCUCCUGAUGAAGUGAUCAGAGUCAGAUUGCAGCGGAAGAGAACAGAGCAGAGAAAAGAAAGACAAAGACACAAGCAGUUAUCCUGGUUCCUUCCACAACACGGAAGUAGUCCAGUCCCCCUUGCACUUCCAAGGAGAUUUUCACUAUAAUCAACAAGAUUACAACUGCUCAAUACUUUCUAAGUAUGAGACUUCACAAAGAUGCUCAAGCACACACGCAAGAGACUUCCAAUGCUCAAGCACUAAGCAAGAGACUUCUAAUGCUCAAGCACUAAGCAAGAGACUUCUAAUCAAACAAAAGUACAGACAAUUGAGUUUGAUUUGAACACUUGAUAUACAAUCAGUGAUGUUCUCAAUACAAUACAGUAAAGACUCUAGACUUUGAAUUUCUAAGAUUUAUCAAAUCAGUGCAGAAAUUCUGUGUGCUUUGUAGAAUCAAUUUGACAGAGUUUUGGCGCUUUUGAACUUGUAUAUCUCUAUCUACAAUCUUCAAGUCUUCACUCCUUUAUAUAGAGGUGUGAAAGAGAUGUUGAGAUUAUCAGCACGUCUAAAGAGUCGUUUGAAAUCCUUUAAUCAUCCACCAGUGAUCCUUUGCCUGAUAUGGGUGUAGUCCUUUGAAGAGUUAGCUUCAAAAUCAUUCCCAUCUUGAAGGCGCACAUUCUGCAGGCAAGGCUGUUGUUUUGUCUUGUAGCGAAGACAAAAACAGAGUAAUGGAGGUAGUGGUUGUACACUUGUACUUUGUCAACUCUAGUAAAGAGAGACAAGUGCUCAGUGCUAUCCAUAUAUCCGUUGGAACCUCCCUUUCAAUUCUUUGUUCUUCUUGGAUAAGACUGAAUUGAGAGCCAGCUACUUUGAAUCUUCAGUUUGAUUGAGGGAUCAAAUGCAGCUUCUGGUGAAGAUAUUUUCCUUCUGAUGAAAACCUUGCUUCUGAUGAUCCUCUGCUUCUGAUGACGUCAUCACUUCAGAAGCACUCUGAACUUCAGGAGCGAUUUUCUUCAGAUGCUUGGAAUUCUUUUUCUUUCCAUUGUUCUUCCAGGACCUGUUGAAAUUACUUGACUAGACUUUGGUCCUGUACACUUGAACAAUUAUUAGUAAUAACCAAUUGACAAUUUUUAAUACCUUGUUAUCAUCAAAACUCAAUAAGGUUCAUUGUGAAACCCAUUUUGUUCCAACAAUCUCCCCCUUUUUGAUGAUGACAAACACUAGUAUUUAAAAUGUUCAAUUGUUGUUGAUCUAAUUAAUAAGUUGACUUCUGGAUAGAGGUUUGUAAGCUCCCCCUGAGUCUAAUAGAUCUUUAAGGUGAGGUUUGUAAGCUCCCCCUGAGUUCUAUUCUUAUUAAUUAAAUUUCAAUAAAGUAUAUAUAAAAACAAUAGCAAAAGUAUUUAAGAAGGUGGUUAUAGUGGGGCUCAGUGUCUUAAAAAUACUAUACAUUUACUCCCCCUUUUGUCAUCAACAAAAAGAAUAAGAACAAAAGACAGAGUAGCAGAGCAUAUAACCAAAUAAAAACAGAAGAAGAAUCAGAGCAAGAAGUAUCAGAGCAUAUGACAUUAAAAUCAAUAAAUAUCAUUAGAGUUUAAAAGAAAAGAGCAUAAUAUUUCAGAAACAUUGAUAAUAUUUAUAAAGAAAGGUUAAGGUACAAGGAUAAAACUACACAGAACAAAAGUAAAAACAAGCUAGAGUUGGGUGUGCAACUAAGGUUGGGCUUGCUUCUUCAACUGUUCUAAGAGAAGUCUAAUCUGUUCAUCCUUCUUCUGAAGUAGCUCAUCCUUCUUCUGAAGUAGUUCUUCCUUCUCUCUUAACUUCCUCUUAUGCCCAGCAUGAAUUCUUGCAGCUCUUGUGAUGUAUUCUGCCUCUGGAUAGAAAGGAGUGAUGUCCAGUAGAGGCACAAAGUUCAGCUCUUUCUCCUUAGCUGCUUCAUGCAUAUCAUCCAAAAGCUUUUGAAGCAUUACAGAGUGGGAUGAUACACACUUGGUUCUUAGCUGACUUAGUAGAUCAUUGAAGCUCUUUUGUAGAUCCAUCCACUGAUCAUAAUAGUGAAUAGGAGGUACAGGAACUGUUCUGCGAAGAAUCAGUGCCUGAAUCUCAUCACUAAGACUAAUCAGUUGUUCCUCUAUAUACUCAGACUCCAGGAUAUGGUCAGGAAUGGGUGAUGGUUGCAUUGGAGUUGUAUUUGAUGAGGAAGGUUGGUCAGAGGUUAAGUCUAUGAAAGUGGGUGAAUCUGGUUGUUGUUGUGGUUCUGUUGUUUGGUCAGAAGAUAUUUGUUGGUCAGGAGCAACUUGUUGGUCAGGAGCAACUUGUUCAGGAACAACUUGUUCAGAAACAGUUUGCUCAGGAAUGGUUUGGGUUUCUGUUUGGGUUUCCAAAACAGUCUUUUCAGGGACUGUCUUAGAGGCCUUUUUGGGUGUUGGUUGCAUUUCACCACCUAGAUGUUUUUCUAAGUUGUGAAUGGUUGAGGAUUCUUGGUGUUGGGGGGUUUCUGAAGUAGUUGCUUCUGAAGCUACUUCAGAGGCUUUUUGUGGAGUUUGGUUAUUUGGAGAGUUUGUUUGGUUAGGUUCUUGGUUAGGUUCAGGAUGUUGUAUACUGACAGGUUCUGGAAUAUCUGGAUAAAGAGGAUGAGAGGUAGGCAAAUUGAAUUUCUCACAUAGUUUAAUCCUAUUUUUGGAAAAUUCUAUUUGAGUUCUCUCAUAGUCAAAUGUUCCAUAUUCUGUCAGUUUGGUAGGUUUGGUUUUUAGNNNNNNNNNNNNNNNNNNNNNNNNNNNNNNNNNNNNNNNNNNNNNNNNNNNNNNNNNNNNNNNNNNNNNNNNNNNNNNNNNNNNNNNNNNNNNNNNNNNNUACUGAAUACGAANUCUANGCUCUGGUACCAACGUUAUUACUAAUUAAUGAUGUUGUUAUGUUGUAUAUGAAUUAGGAUUAAUGAUGUUGUUAUGUUGUAUAUGAAUUAUGAUUAAGAUGUUGUUAUGUUGUAUAUGAACUAUGAUUAUGAUGUGAUGAUCUAUGUUGUUAUGAUUUGGUUAAUAUGUGUUAUAUGAUGAUGUUUAUAAUGUGAUGAAUAUGAAGUAAAUGAUAAUUAGAAGUUGGUUGAACUAUUAAGAAUUAUUACAUAAAGAAUUAUUAUUACUAAUCGAUGAAAUUAAUUAUGUUGUUAAAUAUAAUUAUUGAAUUAUAUGCUUGAUAUUAUUGUUUUGUGAAAUCUCACCCCUUCUACUUGGAAAUGUUGCUCUUCGUAUCAGUAACUUGCAGGUGAUCGAGUUUAAGUUGCUGUUAGAUUGCUGUUGUGAGUGGAUUAGCUCUCAUGUGUGUCUUUAGGUGCUCUGAUACGUAACGGGAUGAGAAUUUUAUUGUUGUCUUUCUAUUCCUUAUGUAUUGUUUUAAGAAGAAUUAUGACUAUGGUUUUAGAUUGGAUUAUAUGAGAAAUUUAUGAAGAGACCUUCGUGCCAAAGACUGUUUAGUUAUUGAAUAAAUUCCGCUGCGAAGUGUUAAAGAUUUUGUUAUUGAAUUUUAAAGGAUAAAUAGUUAUUUAUUCAGUUUAUGAUUUUAAGAAAAAGAAUGUGACAUUCCAUUUAUGUGAAUACUCUGAUUAUAUUUAUGCGAAAUUUUUAUGUUGGGAAAACGGAGUGUUACAUAAUGUAUAUUUAUACAUAUUAUGUUGAGGGCUUGAUGCCCUGUAAGUUAAGGGCUUGAUGCCCUGUGAGCCUAUUUACACUCAAUACGUUAGGUGUAACGCACACCUUUGUUUAAUCGUUUAUUUAAUCGAGUUUAGGCAAUUAUAUUAUAAUUAUAUAGUAUAUGCAUGAUUUUGAUAUGUUUUGAUGAUUUGUGGUGAUUUUAGUGAUUUGAUUGAUGACGUGAUAAGUUAUGAGUUUUGGAAGAUUUGAUAAGGAUAUGAGAUUUAUUUUAUUGUUAAAUAGAAUAAAGAUUUGAAAAUAAUAUAAAAUAUUUAGUUGAGGGCUGUUUUGAUAUUUUAGAUAGUUUUGGGGGAGAAAGUGAGAUAAGAUAAGUAAUUAAUAGGAGAUAUAAAAGAUUAGACCUAGUUUAGAAAAACAUAACGUACGUACGACCGUUUUUGGAGAAAAGGGAGAAAAAGCCAAGUCUAGAGAAACCAAGGGGCAGUGCUGCGAUUUUCUUCAAACAAGGUAAGGGUGAGACUAAUAAUUCAAUAACGUUGAUUGCUGUAAUUCUGAUGAUUAAUUGACAAAGUUAGGAUUGGUUUAGAAAAGUUUUGGAAUUAGGUCAAAACCCUAAAAAUUGAUGAUCAAACGGUAAAACUUGUUUAGAUUGAUGUAGAAACCGUCCUUUAACCUUAGAACAUGUUUAGGAUGGAUUAUGGAAUCAAAAUUAGGCUUUGAACCAUGUUGUUUGAUGGAUUUUCGAGUAAACCCUUAGUCUGCCCGAGCUUCUGUUCAUCGCUCGCCUUGGCGAGGGAUGAUCCUCGCCUCGCGAGUGAUGAACUUCAUCGCCACGCGAGCAAUUCCCUUCGCCUCGCGAGUUGUGUGACGCAGCUCGCCACUGCGAGCAACCUUACUCACCAUCGCGAGCUAAGGCAGAGUGUAUGUUAGAUUUUGUGUUUCGACCUGUUUAGUUGGACCUUGUAUGCCUUUGAGUGCCUGAACAUACCUAGUAUUGAUUAGGAAUGAAUGUAGGAUCAGAGGGAACCCAGAACAAGAUUAGUUUGGGAGUUGAGUGGUACUCGCCAUGGCGAGUAAGAACUCUCGCCUCGCGAGCACAAUCAGAAUGUAGUUGCUUGAGUGUUUGUGCGAUCUGUGUCGCACGUGUUGACCAAGAGUGAACCCCUAAUUGGUAUUGAGACCUAAUGAUGACGUUUAAUGCAGUCUGUAGACUUGUUUAAGUUAUGUUGAUAUUAAUUGAACAUGAACUAAUGUAUUGUAUAUUCAUGCAAGAUAUGAAGGUUUGAUAAUGAUGCAAUUUGUGUGCUAUUGAUAUAAUGAUAUCAUCUUGUUAUGUGACUUGUUUAUGCUGCUUCCGUUAUUUAACUAAGUGCAUAAGUAUAUGAUGAAGUUUAGCUCCAAAUUAUUGGAUGCAUGUUGAUAUGCUGAUUACGAUGUUUUGUUCAUAAGUGUCCAUGCAUAGCAUCUCAUUGAGCUUAGUCCUCACCACGAUUAUUAGGAGUUUUGUCCUCCGCACAUUUUAUAGGAGCUUUGUCCUCCGCACGAUUAAAGUAUAUUAAUACUUAUGAUGACGAUUGGUACCACAUGCAUAUAAGGAGUCUAAGAGCAUUGUCACAUUGUCAUGAUUAAGAUGCCUUGUUGAUGAUGAUUGAAUACGUGAUUACGUGAUAAAUGUUUAUCAAUUAUGUUAUGUUGUUCAUGAUAAUUGGAUAUAUGAUUACGGUAUAACUGUUUAGUAAAUAUGCAAUGUUGUUAAAGAAAUGAUUAUGAUGUUAAUUUAUGAUUCGCAAUUACAUUGAUUAAUGUUAUUUUGUUAUGAAAUCUCACCCCUUCUGCUUGAAAAUGUUGCCCUUCGUAUGGGUAACUUGCAGGUGAUCGUGCUUAGUGUGCAGUUGCCGUCGUGAGUGGCCUUGUCUUCACUGUGUCGUCUAGGUCGCUCUGAUACGUAACGGGAUGGGGUUUAAUGUUAUACAUGCUUCAUUCUUUUACGUGAUUAAUAUGUUAUUUUUAUCAUGUUAUGGAUUACGAACUAUUUUAAUGGGGCCUACGUGCCAAACUGAUUUAUGAUUUUCGAAUUAGUAUUCCGCUGCUAUGUUAAGAAUAUUUUGUGAAGGUUAAAUUAUUAUUUAACUGUUUUUGGAUUACGUUUCUAUGUGAUAUCCCGUUUAUGGUUUUUACUCUGAUAAUUGUUUAAGAAAUUUGUAUAUUGGGAAAACGGGGUGUUACAUUGGGGGCUUGAUGCCCUGGUUGGUACCACAUGCAUGAUUAAGAAGUUGAAGUUGCAUUUGUCGAGUUCAAGUUCUUGAAACCGCGUUGUCGUUUUCGUUAAUUAAGUUGUAAUUUAUCAAUGAGUUGUUAAUGAAGAACUAUGCGAAGUAUUAAUAUUUAUUAAUCGUUGUUGUUUAUGUUGUUAUAUGAUGAUGUUUAUGAUGCGAAAUAUUAAUUAUUAUGUUAUUGAAUUUUGAAGGAUAAUUACUUAAUUAUUCCGUUUAUGAUUUUAAGAAAAGAAGUGUGACAUACCGUUUAUGUGGAUUAUUCUAAUUAUUUUUAUGAAAUUUUUAUGUUGGGAAAACGGGGUGUUACAAUUGGUAUCAGAGCAGGUCGGUCCGUCCGGCCAAGUAGUUGAGUCAUUUGUGUCGUGUGACAGUUGAAUACUGUCGUUGUGUUUUCUAAUUAAUGGUUAUGUUUUUAUUUUUAUUUUUUAUGUGAUCAUGUCUGACUAACUAACUUUAAUGUGAUUUUUGUGUAUUGAUGAAGUUUCCAUUUUGUUAUAUAGUUUAAGAUAUUUAAGUGAUCAUUGAAUUCAUUUUUCUCUUGUGUUUGAAUUUCGAGUACGAAAUUCUUUUAAGGGGGUAGAGUUGUAACGCCCUCUUUACUUAUUUAAUUAUUUUAUAGAGUUUAUAGUCCACUUUGAUAAUUUAUGUGAUUUUAUAUGAUUAUGUGAUGUAUUGAUAUUUUAUUUAAAGACUUGUUUUAUUAUUUACUAGAAUAAGAUUUGAAAAUAAAAUAAAUAUUGAGAUGUGGGGCUGUUUUGGAAUUUAGAAGAGUUUAGUGGAAAUAGAGGAAAUAAGAUAAAGUGGAUUGAGGAGAGAUAUAAGGAGGAAACUAGGUUUAGAAUUUUUUUUUACGUGAAACUGCUUUUUGGAGAAAAAGGGAGAAAACAAGAAAAGAAGAGAACCCAGAGGGAGAGAGACCGCCGAUCAUCAAUACUAAGGUAAGAGUGUGACUAACUUUCUCUAAUUCUAGGUUGUAUAAUUCUGAAAUUGAGUUUAACAUGUUGUAGGUUGUAGUUAUGGCAAUUUGGGAAUUAGGUUUUGAAGUUGUAAUUGGUUGUUAAUAGAGUAGAAAAUCCGUUGAAUUUAUGUUUAGAUCAUGGUGGUUAUUUUUAGUGCAAUGUUUUAUAUGGUUUUGAGUGCCUUAGCAUGUAUAGAAAUGGUUAGACAAGUUUUUGGAUCAAAUUUGGGCAUAGGGAAGUUAAAUUUGGGAAUUUCGGGUGAAAAGUGGAUUUUUCCCGAGUUGCUCUCUGACAGCAUGUCCUGUUCCAUGUUCUUGUGUCUUUUUCACACAUUUCUGUUUUGAAUUGGCCUUUGGUGUAAACAUGAAAGUUGUAGAUAAUUGAGUUAGUUUUCCAGUGGCUUUGGUUUGACAUGAAAAUGAUUUUUGGUUCUUGAGAUAUGAUGAAAAUACUCCAAGGAGGUCUUAGUGAAAUCUUAUGAAAUUGAAUAUGAGGCUGGGUAGGUGGCUUGAAUUGCUGAAGGACUAUGAAUUGAGUAGGAAGACUUUUCAUAUGUCCGCUAUGAUGGUAAAGGAGUUCGAGUUGCUUGAAUAGUUCAAAGAUUUGAGCCUAGUUUGCGAGAUGUCAUCUAAGAGUUUGAAGCUAGGAAUGCUGAAGAUUGAUAAUGAAUUUCUGAAAAGUAUUAAAGAAGCACAUAAAGUUGAUGUUAAGUUUGUAGACUUGUUGGUUGCUAGUAAUCAGACUGAAGACAGUGAUUUUAAAAUCGAUGAUCAAGGUGUGUUGAGGUUUCAAAAUAGAAUAUGUAUUCCAGACGAUGAUGAGAUGAAGAAGAUGAUUCUCGAAGAGAGUCAUAGAAGUAGCUUGAGUAUUCACCCGGGAGCUGCGAAGAUGUAACAUGAUCUAAAGAAGUUAUUUUGGUGGUCUGGGUUGAAACGCAAUGUGGCACAAUUUGUGUAUUCUUGUUUGAUUUGUCAGAAGUCGAAGGUUGAGCAUCAGAAACCUGCUGGUAUGAUGGUGUCUUUAGAUGUGCCAGAGUAGAAAUGGGAUAGCAUAUCCAUGGAUUUUGUGACAAGCUUGCCAAAUACUCCUUAAGGGAAUGACGUGAUUUGGGUGAUUGUUGAUAGAUUGACGAAGUCGGCUCAUUUUCUUCCGAUUAAUAUAAGUUUUCCUGUUUCUCAGUUGACAGAGAUUUAUAUUCGAGAUAUUGUGAAGUUGCAUGGUGUUCUUUCGAGUAUUGUAUCAGAUAGAGAUCCAAGAUUUACUUCUAGAUUUUGGAAAAGUUUGCAAGAGGCUUUGAGUUCUAAGUUGAGGUUGAGUUCGGCGUAUCAUCCGCAGACAGAUGGUCUGUCAGAGAGGACGAUUCAGUCGCUAGAGGACUUGUUGAGGGUUUGUGUGCUUGAGCAAGGAGGAACUUGGGAUAGUCAUCUUCCAUUGAUAGUGUUCAUGUACAAUAAUAGUUAUCAUUCUAGUAUUGGAAUGGCACCUUAUGAGGCUUUGUAUGGUCGGAGAUGCAGAACUCCGUUGUGUUGGUUUGAGUCAGGUGAAAGGGUGGUUUUAGGACCCGAGAAUGUUCAACAAACUACUGAGAAAGUUAAAAUGAUUCAAGAAAAGAUGAAAGCGUCGCAGAGUUGACAAAAGAGUUACCAUGAUAAGCGUAGAAAAGACCUUGAGUUUCAAGAAGGGGAUCACGUAUUUUUGAGAGUCACUCCUGUGACUGGUGUUGGACGUGCAUUGAAGUAAAGGAAGUUGACUCCGAGAUUUAUUGGUCCAUAUCAGAUAUCAGAAAGAGUUGGAACGGUGGCGUACCGAGUGGGUUUACCACCGCAUCUUUCGAAUUUGCACGAUGUGUUUGAUGUGUCGCAACUUCGGAAGUAUGUUCUGGAUCCAUCCCAUGUGAUCCAAAGUGAUGAUGUGCAAGUUAGAGAUAACCUUACGGUUGAGACUUUACCGGUGAAGAUUGAUGAUCGAAAAGUGAAGACGUUGAAAGGCAAGGAGAUACCUCUUGUGAGAGUCGUUUGGGAAGGAGCGACUGGUGAAAGCUUAACGUGGGAGCUAGAGAGUAAGAUGCUGGAAUCUUAUCCAGAGUUGUUUGCAUGAGGUAAAUUUUCGAGGAUGAAAAUCUUAUAAGUAUGGGAGAGUUGUAACGCCCUCUUUGAAUUAUUUAAUUAUUUAAUUGAGUCUAGAAGUUAUUAAGAUGAGUUUAUAUUAUAUUUAUAUGAUAUAUGUGUGAUGAAAAAGAUUUAUAUGAUUGAGGCGUUGUGACUUAUUUUAUUGUUUAAUAAAAUAAGAUUUGAAAAUAAAAUAAUUAUUGAGUUUAGGGGUUGUUUUGAGAUUUUAGAGAGUUUUGGGGGAGAAAGAGAAAUAAAAUAAGAUAAAUGGAGGAGAUAUAAAUAGGAGAGACCUAGUUUAGAAAAAAAAAAAUUACGUACGAUCAGUUUUUGGAGAAAAGAGAGAAAAAAGCCAAGAGGAGAGCAAGAGAUCUAGAGUGCUGCAAUUUUUUAUUCUAAGGUAAGGGUGAGACUAGCAUUCAAUUCUAUUAUCCUAUAUAAUUCAUAUGGUUGUAUUUAGCAAAUGUAGGAUUGAAUUAUAGAAGUUUGAAAACUAGGGUUAAUGAGAGAAAUUGAGGAUUAAUUGAUGUAGAAUGGUUAGAUUGAUGUAGGAACUAUUUACAAACUUUAGAUAAGUCAUAAGAUGAUUGCAGGAAUCAAUGUUAGGCUUAAAACCAUGUGAAAUAGUGAAUUUUCGUGAAAACUGCAAUUCUUCCCGAGCUAUGAUCCUCGCCAUAGUGAGUGAUGAACUUCAUCGCUCGCCACGCAAACAAGUUUUCCCCGCCCCGCGAGUUGCACCUUGCAGCUCGCCAUAUAGUGAGCAUAUUCAAUGGCCUAGCGAGUGUGACCAGAGAGGCAUCAUGAUUUCAUAAUUUUGACCUUUAAGUUGAACCUUAGAUGCUUUUGAGUGGCUGAACAUGUAUAAUGAUGAUUAGGAAAGAUUUUAGAAUGAGGUUGAACCUGGAAAGAUUUUAGAAUGAAGUUUUGUGAGUUGCACCUGAACUCGCCAUGGCGAGUAGAGGCUCUCGCCUCGCGAACUGCCCAAUUACAGAAUGCUUUGUUAGGUUAAAUGUGAUCCUUGUCGCACGAGUUGAUGUGAGUUGAUCUUAGAGGUUAGAAACUAAAUUGUUUAUCUUGAUGUUGCUGUUUCAGUAAGCCUGAAUUGUAUAAUCCAAUGUUGUUGUUUCGAUAUUGUUAUAUCAUGAUGAUUUGCAUACUGCCUAUGUUGCUGUUUGUUAUUUAACUAAGCUGCAUGAGUCGGUCUAAGUUGAUUAAGAUGAUGAUGUUGCCUUUGCUCACCACAUUGGGGGCUUGAUGCCCUGGAGCUUUAGCUCAAUUAUGUUGGGGGCUUGAUGCUCUGGAAGUAUAUUAAUACUUAUUACGUUGAGGGCUUGAUGCCCUGGAUUGAUACCACAUGCAUAUAAGAGGUCUAAGUUGCAUAGUCGCAUUCGUCGAGUCAAAGAUGUUAAGUUGCCAAGUUGUUGAAGUUGUGAUUCUUUAUAUAAGUUAUUAAUGAAGUGAUAUAUGAUAUAUUAUUAUCCAUGAUGAAUAUUAUGAUGUUUUCAUGUUGUUAAAUAUAAUUGUUGAAUUAUAUGUUUAAUAUUAUUGUUUUGUGAUAUCUCACCCCUUCUGCUUGGAAAUGUUGCUCUUCGCAUGAGUAACUUGCAGGUGAUCGAGAGUAGUUGUUGUUGCCUUGCUGUCGUGAGUGGUUAUCCCUCACUGAGUCUUUUAGGUGCUUUGAUACGUAACGGGAUGAGAUCUUUUGUGGCUAUUUCUUAUUCCUUUACGUAUUUGUUUUAUGAGUUUAAAUGAUUAAGUUGUUUAACUGAUUUAGGAGAUGUUUUGAUGAGGCCUGCGUGCCAAGACUUAUUUUUGUUGAUGAAUUUAAUCCGCUGUAAUGUUUUGGAAUUGAUUUAUGUUGAAGGAUAAUUAGUUAAUUAUCUCAUUUAUGAUUUUAUGAAGUGUAGCAUUUCGUUUAUGUGUUGAAUACUCUGAUAUAUGUUUGAAAUUUUUAAGUUGGGAAAACGGGGUGUUACACGGGGAGUGGUCGAUCGCCGGUGCACAAGGCACGACAAUGAACGACUCCCAACAGCUUAUAGAGGAACUGAAUCACACCGGAACGAGAGGGUUCCUGAGGUCGUGCAGGUAUGGAACUGCAUGGUUGAAGGAAAGCUUAUAAGAAUUGUUUGGUACUACCUAUAUCAACAAGAUGAAUCUUCUUUUCGGUAGCUCAUUCCAUAAGAACUCCGUACGAGUGAGGACAAAACACGCUGAAAAGACUCGUGUUGAUUUGUGGGGUCAGUCGACAAUCUUAGAUGCAAUCUGGAAUGUUACAUCAAGUUUCAGCUACCAAAGUCUACACUUUUACUACUAAUGUCAAGUCUGAAACUUCCUUCUUAUCUUCCAUGUGGACCAAUGUGGGACACUUCCUUUGAAUUAGUAACGUGUACCGGUCAAUGAAGGAUGGAUAGGUGGAUGAAGACUAGUAAUACUUAUGUAAACCAAUGCGUGCCUUUAAAAUCAAUGUCAAUGACUUAAAAAUCAAACUGACAUUUUCAAAUGGGUCCCUAAAAAUUAAUCAAGAACUGUGAUAUUUUGUUUAGACCUCAAAAGUUAAAAGUCGUUCUGAUAUUUAUUAUGUGUCCAAACAAAUACUUAAUCUCAUCUAUUGAACUGACAUUUUCAGCUCUUAUUAUGUGUCUAUACAUUAACUUGAUAUUUAUAUUUGAAAUUUGAUUCACCUCUUGUAAAUUCUUCAUAAAGUUUGAAAGAUAAAUAAUUAGUGUUGACAUCCAAUUUAAAAAGAGAAAUGAUAUUUGUACAACUAUUUUGUGACAACUUUUGUAUAACUUUCCUUCUCAUACUCACAUGAUGGUCUUAUCCUCUCUCUUCCUUUUUUUCUCUCUCUCUCUAUUAUUUUUGACCAAUAAAAAGAGAGAAAAACAAGGUUGUCAUUAAAGUUGUCAUGAAAUGGAUGUACAAAUAUCAUUUGCUGAUUUAAAAAUGAAUAAACUAAACAAGAAGCUAUCAUCUCUCUUUGAGAAACUUCAUUUCAACAUUUUAACCAUUAGAAGAGUGAGGAAAAUACAACAUGUUAGUAAGCUAGGUGUGUGAAAAUGAUUUCAUUUAUAAUUUCAGAAACUCAGUUCAAACGACAAGCAGGAAAAAAUACUUCAACUUACAAAAUGAUUGAUGUAAAAUCAUUAUUUUUCAUUUCUAAAUUUUAUCUGAUUCUAAUGUGUUGGUUGAUUUAAAAUAUCAUUUUAGUUGUAUUAAAAUAUUUACAUGGAAAUGUUUAAUUUGUAGGUGAUUGAUAAUUUCUAGUUGAAAAAAUAUAUUUUAUUUAAGCUACAGAAACGAGCAAGAAAGUAGAGGGGAAUGAAUACCCUGUAUGGUUCCUUAUAAAAUGAACCCAUGAGAAUAUUGGUCCAUGAUGGACCAAUUUUUUCAAUAGUUAGAUUAGAUGAACCCCAAAAUUUUAUCAUGAUCUAUAAACACUCAAUCUAACCCAUCUUCCCUUAUCAUUUUAUAAAAAAAUCAUUUUUACCCUUUAUAAUUAUUUUAAUUUAAAAUAUUACAUAUUGUUAUGGUAAUUUUUUUUUCUUGACAAAUUUGUUACAGUAAAUUUUUUUGUUGCUGUUUACACUUUUUUUCAUGAAUUUGUUACGGUAAAUGUUGGACAGCUGCAUAUUAUUAUUUGAUUUUAUUUUUACGAAAACUUACAAGUUUUUUUUAAGGAGAAUUUUUUUUUUUUUUUUUUUACAAAUAGGUGAAAGGGUACAUGCUAUUUUUUUUAAUAAGAAAAGGUACGUGUUAUUUUUAUUUUUUUGAAAGAAAAAAAUACAUGUUAAUGUUACCUGAAAAGUUUAAUUUAGUUACCGUUAUCAAUUAUUUAUUUUUGCAUUGUUUUUUUAGAAUAGUCAUAUUAUCCUUUCCAAAAGACUAAUAAUAGCAGUAACUGUUCAUUGCUAUCUUUUAUAAAACAAACUUUCUCGUUGCUAUGUUUAAGUAAAUGAAAAUAAAUUUUUGUGAGUAAAUAUUAAUUUAAUAUUAUAAUAUAAAAGAUAUGUUAAAUUAUUAAAUUCUAAAUAUUGAUCGAAAAUGAUGGGUUUUUAUUGAAAACAAUUGAAGAUUGAAUGUUGAAAUUACAGAAAGAAAAAGAAGGCAGAAAAAUAUUUUAAAAAGAGUAAAGAAAAUAAUCAGACAUGUAAAGUGCAUUAUGUUAUUGUGCAUACAUAUAAUCCAAUGGUUAUAAAUAUUGGUCCAUUAUGAACCAAUACUUACAUAGGUCCAAGCUAAAGGGAGCAGAUUCCCUCCUGUGAAAACUUUCUCCAGUUUUCUACUGUUUAAAUCUAAACCAUUAAAUACAUUAUCUCUCUUCAUUUUGACAUUUAAUUCCUAUUUAAUUCUUCACAUGUAUUUAUCAUUUAAUGGCUAGGAUUCCACAGGACUCUCCAGUCACAGGAGAAGAUCCAAUCCCCAAGCUAAAUGCCACUUUUUGAGACUUUGCCAAAGCUCGACAUGGUGUAACCACACGGUUAGAAGAAUUCAUUUUACUAUUUUAGUAACAUAAAUAAAGCUCUUCACAAAUAAGAACUGCUUCUUCCAAAAUGUGAUUACGUCGAAAAACAUUUAAACAAAGUAAGACUGCAUUCGUUCCAUACAAAUUUCAUCAUAUUAUUAUUCCUCAUGGAACUUCCCAACAGGAAAUCUAAAGUGAAACCAGUAGGAAUUUUUUGGGCUUUUGUCAAAACGUUAUGGAUGCAUUGAACUUGUCAAACAUAGAAACUGAUAAAACUUCCAAGCUAAGAGGUAUUUAAUACAAAAAAACAAGCAAUGUCAAGAAAUACAUUUUGCUCCUCUAAGUAUCUUUUGUAUCUCUUUAUUGGGAAUCCUGUCAUACCCAUCUAAUGUGUUCUUCCAUACUUCUAUGUUCUUUCCAAACAAGUUAGAACCCACUAUUUCUAAAACUAAGGGAAUGCCCGAACCAUAUGAAACUGCACGGUUUAAAACAUCUUCAUAACUUGGCGGUACUUUGUUAUUCUUAAAAGCCGUCCACCUCAACAAUUCAAGAGCUUCCUUCCCAUAUAGCCCUCUUACUGCAUAUGUUCUUUCUAUCCCAUGACAGGUUAGUAAGUGUUUAUCUCGGGUGGUGAUGAUGACUCUGCUUCCAGGACCGAACCAAUCAAGUCCUCCAGCCAAAGCCUCUAGCUGAUCCAGUUGGUCAACAUCAUCGAGAAUCAAAAGAAUCUUCUUCCUACAUAGCCUUUCCUUAAUGAUUGGAAUUCCCUCAGAAACAUCUCUUAACUUAAUGUUCAGUUGAACUGUUUUUGAAAGGAGCUCCUUCUGGAGAUGUUUCAAGUUUUUACGAGCUGAAUUCUCUCUAACAUUAUGAAGAAAGCAUACUCCUUCAAAUUGAUCAGCAAUGAAAUUAUAAAUUGCUUUUGCAAGUGUUGAUUUUCCCAAGCCUCUAGUACCAUAAAGUCCUACCAUGUUGACCCCUUCAUCAGAUUCCUCAUCAAGAAGCAAUUUUACUUGUUGUACUCGGGACUGUAAUCCAACAGGGUAUUUGGCAACGUGUAGAAAAACACGAUUGAUCCUAUCGGAAAUGUGUUCGACUAUAUUCUCAAUAAGCUCGUACUCAUAUCUAUUCAUGUCCAAUAGAUAAGUUAGUAAAAUCACAUCCAUGUAUUGACAAUAUAUUAUACAAUUCUAACUGUUUUGAAACAUAUACUUGUUUAAAAACAUAAAUAAAAAACAUGCUUCCUUUUUAAGCUUUAAGAUGAGAUUAAUGGGGAAAAGAAAUUAAAGAAAAGAAAAUAUAAAAAGGAAAAAUAAUAUUAAGUAAAGUGGGGUACCCUUGACUAAAAUGGUGGCCGGAGAAGUUAGCAGCUUGGGUAAGAGCCAUCUUCCAUUUCUUCAACCUCUCCAUGUUUUCCUUGUUAUUUUGGAACUUAUCUUCAUGCUUAGUAAGAUGCUCACCAUAACUCCCAGUCUGAUGUCGUACGUGAGUAGGAUCCGCACCAUAGAAAACAGGCAAAACCGAACAACCCCUUGUCUUGUAGCAGUGAAUGAUGUGGACAAGUUCGUCCAAGCAAAAUGAAGAAGAUGCAUAGUUUGCAGAAAAUAUGGGAAUCAAAAUCCUAGACUCUUCAAUGGCCUUGACAAGUGAUGGUGUGCUUUCAUCUCCUCUUUCAAGAUCGUUGUCAUCAAUGAAGGUUUUGAUUCCCUUGUCAAUAAGAGCCUUGUAGAGAUUGCCGGUAAAACCGUAAAGAGUGUCAAUGUCCCUAAAACUGAGGAACACAUGGUAUUUGAACCCAGAGGAAAUUGAAGAGGAAGAGGAAAGUGAUUGCAUAGCCAUGAGAAUUGAGAGAAAUAAGAUGAAAAAAAAGUUUGAGAAUAUGAAUGAGUAAGUUUUUGUGGUCUGUGAUGUGGAGUCUUUAAUAUGGAUCUAUAUAACAAGGAGAAAACUUGUGACAAAAAUGAUUUGUGAAACUUCUUGGCCACUUCCUAUAGCCGUGUGGACCAAUCACUAUAUGGACCUACCACCUCUUCUUGCUAAUUUCCUCAAUAUGAUUACUGUUCAAUUUUUGGACACAACUUAAAUAAAUAAACAAGUGAAAAGCCAAAUAAUAUUUCACUAUUAUUUUUUUCUUUGUUUCUGCCUAAUGCUACAAUAUACGGUUUUCAAUUUUUUUAUUUGGACACAUGAUUUCCAAUAUUGUAUUUUGACAUUGUAUACCAUUGAGAGUGAUGUUGGUUGGAGUGAGCACGACCACCCGAGAAGAGAAAAAAACUAUUUAAGACUAUGAAACCAAUAAGUAUAGCGUGUGUCUAGAUCUACGUUAAAAAAAAUUCUACAAGACAUUUUACAAGUUUUAUUUUUCAACCGAUUUUAUUCUUGUGUGUGAUUUUAUUCUUGUGUGUGAUUUUCAGUUUGUAAGUUAAUUAAUCAGUCCUAAAUAACAUGAAAUAAAAAUAAAUGCAGCCUAUGCUAUUCUAACAUCUAAUAAGACAGUUACAAAAUUAAAUCUGUUACUUAAUUACUCCUUUUUCAUUUUUGUUAUGUUAACUAUUACAAAUAGAUAUAUACAUAUAUAUGGUUGAAAGUAAGUAACAGAAGAAAUUUGAUGAAGACUAGUUCUACCUAAUAAUUUUGCUUAUUACAGAGUCAAAUUUUUUCUUUAAAAAUGGAUUUACAUGUCAUUGGUGAUCAACUAUGUCUUCAAAAUAUGACCUGUUUAACUAAAUGAUUAAUUAACCAUGCACACACAAUUAUUAGUGUAGGUUGUUAUGUUGAAUGCUUAAUUAGCCAUACAACUGUAACAUAGAAAAUUUAUAUAUAUUUCAUUCCAAAUAUGACAAGGCUUUGGAAAAAUGACUUUAAAUUUAAAUUUUCAAUUGAAGAUGAGAUGGAGAAGCUAAUUUUAUGUAAAAGAUUCUUCUAACUGAAUUAACAAUCACAUUUCAAAGUCAGAAAUAUGCUACCCUUCCCAAAGGAAUAUAUAUAUAUAUAUAUAUAUAUAUUACAUAUAUUCAAAAGUUUUGAUAGUAUUUCCGUCUUAAACUAACUAGUUAGUUAAAAACAAGAUUAGGGUAACAUAGAUAUGAAAUAUUCUUUCCUUCAUUUAUUUUCUCAAGUUUUGGCUACCAAGUCAACACUUUUACUACCGCAUGUUGAGUCUGAAACUUUCUUCUCAUCUUCCAUGUGGACAAAUGUGGGACACUUCCUUUGAAUUUCUACAUCUGUACGUGUGGACCAUUCAGCAAUAGCACCACUCAAAGACCAACCUUCAAAGUCAUUAUCCUUAACCUGUUUCCAUCAAUGAAGGAUAUGGAUAGGUGGAAGAAUAGUAAUACUUGUGUAAACUAAUGCGUGCCUUAAAAAUUAAACUAUGAAUUGCGAGCUGUGAUAUUUUGUUUAGACCUCAAAAGUCAAAAGUCUUUCUGAUAGUUAUUGUGUGUGUCAAGACAAAUACAAUCUCAUCUAUUGAACUGACAUUUUCUGCUCUUAUUCUAAGUCUAUACAAGAACUUGAUAUUUAUAUUUGAAAUUUGAUUCACCUCUUGUAAAUUCCUCCUCAUAAAAUUUUAAAGAUAAAUAAUUAGUGUUGGCACCCAAUUUAAAAAUGAAUAAAACUAAAGAAUACAACAAAUAUAAAAGUAUAAACUAUUAACGGAGGGGGGACACGGUUCUUUACUCCCAAAGAUUGUUUCAACAUCAUUUAAUAUAAUCAGAGAAUCAAUUAUCCUUUAACAACAAAAGCUAGCAACAACAACUUCAUGAUAUUUUUUUAUUAUUUCCAUUAUCCAAGGAAACAAAAGUUUACAAACGCGUCGACAUUCAAAUACAUUAUUCAAGGAUAUGGCCUCCAUAGCAAUUAUGAGCAUGGUUGUAAAUUUAAUCAAAUAAAAACACAAAUUGCAAUUAUAUUUUAUACUGCAUAGGUCAUGACUCUGGCAAAACGAUCUCAUGAAUGUUGGCUCUCAGAUUCAGUUCUUUAUCCCAUAUUACUAUAGAAAUAUAGAAAGAAAUUGUAUAAUGUUGAUAAUUACAAAUUUUGAAUAGUAGAAGUAAUGCUAGUUAUAGCAAAACCCACUAACUAUUGGUACAAGAUAUACUAACACACAGUUUUUAUUUAUAUGACCAAGCCUUUGCAUAUUUCUUCAUAUUAUCCGAUGUGGGACAUUAUUCUAAUUAUUAUUAUUGAAAUCCUCCCGCAAUUGUAUGGUUUGAGAGAGAGAUGCAACUUGGACAGUAAGUACUCGAACCUAGGAUGAAGCAGGGGUUUGGUUAGAAUAUCAGCAAGUUGAUCAUCGAUAGAAACAAAGGAUACUCGAAACUUGCCAUUUCGAACAUUUUCUCGGAAAAAAUGAUAGGCUAAGGCUAUAUGUUUCAUCCGAGAGUGAAAUACAGAAUUAGCACUAAGGUGGGUACGUAGCACCGAGGUUGUCACAAUAGAUGACUGGAUUGGAUGGUGGAGUGUGGCCUGAAGGUGAAAAACACAAGAAGGGGGGGGGGUUGAAUUGUGUUUUCUUUUUCUCUUAAAAAAGGAUUCUUCUUCUGAUAAAACUUCAGAAGCAGUUUGAUUGCUUCUGAUGAAAUGAUCAGAGUCAGAUUGCAGCGGAAAAGAACAGAGCAGAGAAAAGAAAGACAAAGACACAGGCAGUUAUCCUGGUUCCUUCCACAACACGGAAGUAGUCCAGUCCCCCUUGCACUUCCAAGGAGAUUUCACUAUAAUCACAAGAUUACAACUGCUCAAUACUUUCAAAGUAUGAGACUUCACAAAACAAUGCUCAAGCACACACGCAAGAGUCUUCCAAUGCUCAAGCACUAAGCAAGAGACUUCUAAUGCUCAAGCACGCAGGCAAGAGACUUCUAAUCAAACAAAAAUACAGAGAAUUGAGUUUGAAUUGAACACUUGAUAUACAAUCAGUGGUGUUCACAAUACAAUACAGAAAAGACUCUAGACUUUGAAUUUCUAAGAUGUAUCAAAUCAGUGCAGAAAUUCAGUGUGCUUUGUAGAAUCAAAUUGACAGAGUUUUGGCGCUUUUGAACUUAUGUAUCUCUAUCUAAAAUCUUCAAGUCUUCAUUCCUUUAUAUAGAGGCGUGAAAGAGACGUUGAGAUAAUCAGCACGUCUAAAGAGUCGUUUGAAAUCCUUUGAUUAUCCACCAGUGAUCCUUUGCCUGAUUUGGGUGUAGUCCUUUGAAGGAUAAACUUCAAAUUCAUUCCCAUCUUGAGUGUACAAAUUCUGCAGGCAUGGCUGUUGUUUUGUCUUGUAGCGUAGACAGAAAACAGAGUAGUGGAGGUAGUGGUUGUACACUUGUACUUUGUCAACUCUAUUAAUGAGAGACAAGUGCUCAGUGCUAUCCAUAUAUCCGUUGAUACCUCCCUUUCAAUUCUUCAUUCUUCUUUGAUAAGACUGAAUUGAGAAUCAGCAACUUUGAAUCUUCAGUUUGACUAAAGGAUCAAAUGUAGCUUCUGGUGAAAAUAUUGCUUCUGAUGAAAACUUUUGCUUCUGAUGACUUUCUGCUUCUGAUGACGUCAUCUCUUCAGGAGCAGUUUAGCUUCAGGAGCAGUUUUCUUCAGAUGCUCAGAAUUUCUUUUUCUUUCCAUUGUUCUUCCAAGACCUAUUGAAAUAACUUGAGUAGCCUUUGGUCCUGUACACUUGAACAAUUAUUAGUAAUAACCAAUUGACAAUUUUUAAUACCUUGUUAUCAUCAAAACUUAAUAAGGUUCAUUGUGAAACACAUUUUGUUCCAACAAUCUCCCCCUUUUUGAUGAUGACAAACAAUAGUAUUUAAAAUGUUCAAUUGUUGUUGAUCUAAUUAAUAAGUUGACUACUGGGACAGAGGUUUGUAAGCUCCCCCUGAGUCUAAUAGUUCUUUAAGGUGAGGUUUGUAAGCUCCCCCUAAGUUCUAUUCUUAUUAAUUAAAUUUCAAUAAAAUACUCAUAAAAAUCAAAUCAGAGGUAUUUAAAAGAAGUUUAGAAGUUGUUAUAGUAGGGCUCAGUGCCUUAAAAAUACUCAUAAAAAUCAAAUCAGAGGUAUUUAAAAGAAGUUUAGAAGUUGUUAUAGUAGGGCUCAGUGCCUUAAAAAUACUAUACAUUUACUCCCCCUUUUGUCAUCAACAAAAAGAAUAGAAACAAAAGAAAGAGUAUCAGAGCAAGCAGCAUUAAACAGUAAAUAUCAUCAGAGUCAAAGCUUGUAAAACAUAUUGAAGGUGAAAAAGCACAAGAUCCAGAAACAAUGAUAAUAUAUAUAAAGAAGAUUAAGAUACAAGGACACAGCUACGAAGAACAAAAGUAAAAAACAAGCUAGAGUUGGGUGUGCAACUAAGGUUGGGCUUGCUUAUACAACUGUUCUAAGAGAUACUUGAUCUGAUCAUCCUUCUUCUGAAGUAGCUCAUCCUUUUCCCUCAUUCUUCUUUUAUAUCCAGCCUGAAUUCUAGCAGCCCUAGUGAUGUACUCUUCUUCUGGAUAGAAAGGAGUGAUGUCCAGCAGAGGCUCAAAAUUCAGCUCUUUCUCCUUAGCUGCUUCAUGCAUAUCAUCCAAAAGCUUCUUCAGCAUAGCAGAGUGAGAUGACACACAUUUAGUUCUAAGCUGAUCCAGCAGCUCAUCAAAGCUCUUCUGUAGAUCCAUCCACUGAUCAUAAUAGUGAAUAGGAGGUGCAGGAACUGUUCUGCGAAGAAUCAGUGCCUGAAUCUCAUCACUAAGUCUGAUCAGUUGUUCCUCUAUAUACUCAGACUCCAGGAUAUGGUCAGGGAUGGGUGAAGGUUCAGUUUGAGUUGUAUUUGAUAUGGAAGGUUGGUCAGAGGUUAAGUCUAUUAUAGUGGGUGAAUCUGGUUGUUGUUGUUGUUCUGUUGUUUGGUCAGAAGGUAUAUGUUGGUCAGAAGUUGUUUGGUCAGGAGCAACUUGUUCAGAGGCAGUUUGCUCCUGAACAGUUUGCUCAGGGAUGGUUUGGGUUACUGUUUGGGUUUCCAAGACAGUCUUUUCAGGAACUGUCUUAGAGGCCUUAGUGGGUGUUGGUUGCAUUUCACCACCUAGAUGUUUUUCUAAGUUGUGAAGGGUUGAGUAUUCUUGGUGUUGGGGGGUUUCUGAAGUAGUUGCAUCUGAAGCUACUUCAGAGGCUUUUUGUGUGGUUGAGUUAUGUGGUGAGUUUGUUGUAGGUUCUGGGUUGGGUUGAGGUUGUUGUACACUAACAGGUUCAGGAUUAUCUGGAUAGAGUGGAUGAGUAGGAGGCAAAUUGAAUUUCUCACAAAGUUUAAUUCUAUUCUUAGAAAAUUCUAUUUGAGUUUGCUCCCAGUCAAGUGUUCCUAAAUCUGUUAGUUUGGUAGGUUUGGUUUUUAGAAGCUUGUCUAUGUGUUGGCUAAGGGGUUGGUCAUCUGAUUCUGUUGAUGAUGAAGAGGGUGAAGAGGGUAGAGAUGGAAUCUGAGUAUUAGUUGGAGCGUUAGAUGGAUUACCUGAAGACUGAGCUUCUGGAUGAACUGCUUCUGGAGCUUCUGAAGCUGGUUCUGAUGAAGUUGCUCCUGAAGCUUGCUUAUUCUUCAAGGCUUGAGAAAGCAGAGUUGCUCCAUACUUAACAGUUUCUAACUCCGAUGCUAAAGCAGCAAUGUCAGGAGUAGGCACAUACCCUGCAGCCUUGAGACGUUCAUCCCUUUCUUGUUCAUACAAAAUCUUCAUCCUUUUCUUUUCUGCUAUCUUGGAUGCAGCAACCUCCCUAGUAUACUGCUCCAUUUCUUCAGUCAUUUCGAAACUGGGCAUGACUAUGGGCUCAGAAGUUGCAGUCCUUUUUGCUUUCUUAGGGCUUGAGUCUUCAUCCCAGUUCUCUUCCAGUUCUUCCAACAUUUGUGCCCUUCUUCCUUCACUUGUCUUCAGAUUUCUUGUUAAAUUAGACCUUUUCCUUUUGAUGGUCUGAAGAGCAGCUUCUCUUUUAUUUUUGGGACUUGGAGGCUUUUCAGAAGCAGCUUGAUCAGAAGCAGCUUGUUCUGAACCAGCUUGUUCAGAAGCAGGCUGUUCUGCUGUUUCUUGAGUACUCCUUGUCCUUUUUCUGAUAAGAGGGACAUCUUCCAAAUUCUCCACUUCCUCAAGAAUGGUGGACAUAGCAGAUUUUACCUUUUUAGCUUUCUUAUGCUUCUGAGCACCCACCUCAGUAGCAUUUUCAGCAAGGUAUUCUUCCUUGGUGAUCUGCUUCUUCUUAGAUUUUCUGCUUUUGGCCACAGGCAGCUCACCACCAUACAUUUGGUCAGGAACAUCCUUCAAGCUGAUUUUCUGGUUAAAGGAUUUGUAGUGAUCCAUGAUAUAUGCCCUUUGAACCUCCAAGGGAUCUUGUUUACAGAUGGGAGGAAAGUCUGGGAUAAGAUCUGAUUUGGCAUCAGAAGGUUUCAAGUCAGUAGGACUCUUCUUCACAUCUUUUGCUUUAAUCAGAUGCAUAGCCCUUAGAGUCUCACCAUUGAUAAUCUUCCCUCUAACAGUUCCCAACUGUUCAUCUGUGAAGAUCUGAGCUUCUUUCAGCAUCUCAAUAAUUCCUCCCUGAUGGAAAAUCUCAGAGAGUAGUCUUCCAUAGGGUACCCAAGACCUUUUAUUCAGUUGACUCUCUCUGAGUUGAUGAACCAUAUGUCUGAAUAUGUAUCUGGGAAUAUUUGCCUCUACACCCUUUAUGACAAAGUGUAAGAGGAUUUUAUGUUCCAGAGAGGGCUGAUCACCACCACCACCUUUUGGUAGUAGGUUUUCGUUCUGAAUCUUCAACAUAACCUUUGUCUUGGUGUUCAUGUCAGAAUAGGCAAAGUCCUUUACCUUGUUGUAGAGAGUUUUGUUAACAAUAGCAUUCCAGGGGCUGUCCUUUGGCUUUGAAAUCCCAGCCUCAUGUUCUCCUUCUGCUGGUCUUCUGAUGACAAAGGCAAUAGUGUCCUCAGUGAUCCAGACACGGAUUCCCAUGAUGCUUGAUCUUAUCUGGGUUUUGGAGAAAGUUUCCAAGCCCAUUUCCGCUCUAGACUUCCCUUUGAGUUCAGGAUUGAGAAGAACUUUUUCAUCUUCUUCAAUCUUGGCGGCUUCCCUGUCGUAGAUGCUGGCUCUAACCCAGAAAUGACGAACCAGUGUUUGAUAAGUUGGUCCAUUUAGAAGAUUGAAGUACCUUCCCAGACCUUGUUUCUCGUAGUACUUGCCAAUGUCACAGUCGUGAGCGGCCAAAGAAUCAAAAUCCACCGGACUUUCUGAUUGAAUGUUUAAUUCCCAUUCCUCCAAGGACAUAGUUCUUCCUUUGAUUUCAUAAGCAGGAGUAUCUAUAUCCAUAUUCGAUGAAGAACCACCGGCAGAACUUGAAGAUGCCAUUGAUAUGAAGUGGUUUUAGGGUUCUAAAGAGUUUUUGAGAGGAUGAGAGAAUGUGCUUACUUACACAGAGGGUUGAGAAGAAAUUAGAAAGUGUUUGUUGUGAAGUGAGAAGUGUGUGAAAUGACUUAGUGUUUUUUAUUAAAACGUUUGUAAUUCAGAAGGGACAAACAAACACAGCAUUAAUGACAAAUUGGGGGCGCGUGUAAGUAUGUUAAAAAGCGAAUAAAAACAUCAUUGCCCUUUUUGUUAUACUCCAAUACAAAUAGACCACGUCAGAGACUCUUCAGAAAACUACCUUUUGGGUAAUGGGACAGCUGUUACAUAAAGUAACUGCCAGCGUUCCCACUAACCAAGCUAUUCAGAAGCAAAGAAUAACACUUCUGAAGUUUUAGUGCUGACGUCAUCUUCAGAAGCACAUUUUCCUCAGAACCUCAGUUUAAGAGCUUCUGAUGAACCAAAAAUGCUCCUGAAUAAACUUCAGAACCAAACUUCUUAUUCAGAGGCAAGCCAUUUUUCAAUCAGACACAAAAUGCAUGUUCAAAUUUUUCUUAAUAAAAUCAAAUCUUUCAACAGACAAAGGUUUUGCAAAUAUAUCAGCCCAUUGAUGUUCAGUAUCAAUGAAUUGUAUAUCUAAAAUUCCUUUUUGAACAUAGUCUCUGAUAAAAUGGUGUUUGAUUUCAAUAUGCUUGGCUCUUGAAUGUAGAAUUGGAUUCUUUGACAAACAAAUAGCAGCAGUAUUAUCACAAUAAAUGGGAAUACUGUUAGCAUUGAUCUGAUAGUCUUCCAACUGAUGUUUCAUCCAAAGUAGUUGUGUGCAACAACUUGCAGCUGAAAUGUACUCUGCUUCUGCUGUAGACAUAGCAAUAGUUGCUUGUCUUUUGCUUGCCCAGGAUAUCAGAUUCUCUCCCAGGAAUUGACAAUUUCCACUGGUUGAUUUUCUUUCAAUCCUAUCACCAGCAUAAUCAGCAUCACAGAAUCCAAUCAACUUAUAAUCUAGGGAUUUCCUAUACAGGAGUCCAAGAUUAGUUGUUCCUUUCAGAUACCUGAAGAUUCUCUUAACUGCAGUUAAAUGAGAUUCUCUAGGAUCUGAUUGAAAUCUUGCACACAAGCAUACACUGAAUAAAAUAUCAGGUCUAGAUGCAGUGAGGUAUAACAGAGAACCAAUCAUACCUCUGUAUAGCUUCUGGUCUACUACUGUUCCAGUAUCUUCUUUGCUUAAGGUGCAGGUUGGAUGCAUUGGAGUGUUCAUCACUUUACAAUCUUCUAGCUUGAACUUCUUCAGAAGCUCCUUUGUAUAUUUUGUUUGAUGAACAUAUACUCCUUCUUUACUUUGGUUGAUUUGAAUUCCCAGAAAGAAUUUCAAUUCUCCCAUCAUACUCAUUUCAAAUUCAUCCUGCAUUAACUUAGAAAAUUCUUUGCAAAGAGAUGCAUUAGUAGAACCAAAUAUUAUAUCAUCAACAUAUAUUUGCACAAUCAAAAUAUCUUUCUUAAGAGUCCUUCUGAAGAGUGUUGUGUCAACUUGUCCUCUUUCAAAAUCAUUUUUAAUUAAGAAAUUACUUAGUCUAUCAUACCAAGCUCUGGGAGCUUGUUUCAAGCCAUAUAGUGAUUUCUUAAGUUUAUAAACAUGGUCAGGAUGCUUAAGAUCCUCAAACCCAGGAGGUUGUUUAACAUACACUUCUUCUUCAAUGACACCAUUAAGAAAAGCACUUUUGACAUCCAUUUGAUAUAAUAUUAUGCCAUGAUUAAUUGCGUAGGAUAGAAGUAACCUGAUUGCUUCCAAUCUUGCAACUGGAGCAAAUGUUUCAGUGUAAUCAAUGCCUUCUUGUUGACUGUAGCCUUGAGCAACAAGUCUGGCUUUGUUUCUGGUUACUUCUCCUUGUUCAUUCAGCUUGUUUCUGAAUACCCAUUUUGUUCCAAUAAUGUUCUUCUGAGAAGGUUUGGGUACCAGAUCCCACACAUCAUUCCUUUGGAAUUGAUUUAGCUCUUCUUGCAUAGCUAAUAUCCAUCCGUCAUCUGAGAGAGCUUCUUCAACAGUUUUAGGCUCAAUUAUUGAAAGCAGUCCUAUUAGAGACUCUUCUUGUCUAAAAUGUGAUCUUGUUCUUCUAGGACUAUCUUUGCUUCCAAUGAUUAACUCCUCAGGAUGUGAAGAUUUGUGCUUGAAUUUAGGUUGAAUAACCUGCUGAGUGUUAUCUUGAAAGUCCUCAGAAGCACUUUCAUUCUGUACUUUUGGGCUAGGUUCUGCUUCUGAAUUAGACUCAGCUUCUGGAGUGAUUUCAGCUUCUGGACAAGAUUCAACUUCUGUAUACUUUUCAGAAUCAGAAGGUUGAUCAGAUUCUGAUGCAUCUUCAGAAUCAGUUGUACCUGCAUUACUUUCACUUUGCUCUGAAGUUUUACUUCCAGGCUCUCUAUCAUCAAAUUUUACAUGCAUAGAUUCUUCAACACAUUGUGUUUCUGAAUUAUACACUCUGUAUGCCUUUGACCUUUCAGAGUAACCUAAAAAGAUUCCUCUUUGAGCCUUGGCAUCAAAUUUCUUCAGAUAGUCUUUAGUGUUUAAGAUGUAACAAGUACAUCCAAACUGAUGAAAGUAAGAGAUAUUGGGUCUUCUUCCUUUAAAGAGUUCAUAUGUUGUUUUCUCCAACAUAGGUCUGAUAUAGAUCCUAUUUUGAAUAUAACAUGAAGUAUUGACUGCUUCUGCCCAAAAAUGUUUAGCUAAGUUGUUUUCAUGGAUCAUGGUUCUGGCCAUUUCUUGUAAGGUUCUGUUCUUUCUUUCUACAACCCCAUUUUGUUGUGGAGUUCUAGGAGAAGAAAACUCAUGGAGAAUCCCAUGUUUUUCACAAAAAAGUUCAAAUGGCUCAUUUUCAAAUUCUCCACCAUGAUCACUUCUGACUUUCAAAAUUUUCAAUUCUUUUUCAGAUUGUAUUUGAGUGCAGAAGCUGCUAAACACUUCACAUGCAUAGUCUUUACUUUUAAUGAAUUUUACCCAAGUCCAUCUGCUGUAAUCAUCAACAAUGACUAAUCCGUAUUUACUUCCAUAUAAAGAUGCAGUGUUAACUGGACCAAAAAGAUCAAUAUGGAGUAAUUCUAAGGGUCUGGAGGUUGAUAUAAUGUCCUUAGAUUUGAAAGAACUUUUCACAAUUUUCCCUUUCUGACAUGCACCACAAAGUGCAUCUGAAUGAUAAUCAAUGUUAGGCAAUCCUUUGACCAGUUGUAACUUGCUAAUUUUAGAAAUUAAUCUCCAAUUAGCAUGUCCCAACCUUUUAUGCCAUACCCAUUUUUUAUCAUUCAUUGACAGAAGGCAAACUACCUUCUGAUCAGCCAGAUCAGAGAAAUUUAUUUUAUAAACAUUCUCAACUCUCUUUCCCUUGAAUGUAAUGGAUUUGUCAUCCUUGUUGACUAGUGUGCAGUUGGUCUUACUGAACGUUACAUCAUACCCAUUGUCACAAAAUUGACUAAUGCUCAAUAGGUUAUGCUUCAGACCAUCUACUAGCCACACAUUAUUAAUUGAGAUGGAGGAAUUACCAAUAGUACCUGUACCAAUGAUCUUUCCAGUUUGGUUGCCACCAAACUUCACUUCUCCUCCAUCUUUCAUUGUAAGGGUAAGGAACAAAGCUUUCUCUCCAGUCAUGUGCCUUGAACAUCCGCUGUCUAGGUACCAUGACCUUUGUUUCUCUCUUGCCCUUAAGCACACCUGCAUUUUUGGCCAAUUCAGAUUUAGGUACCCAUAUCUUCAUGGGUCCUUUUGGGUUAGUUUUGGAGGUUUUACUUUUCCUCCCUUGCACCUUAGGGUGAAUGCUGAGUGGCUUCUGAUCAUUCAAUACUUUGGGUUUGACACCUUUUGGUAUUGUUUUCUCAGAAGCAGUAGCUGCUUUGUUCUUCUGAUCCUUUUGUUUUGGAAUUUUAGAUUCUGGUUUAAUCAGAUUCUGAUGAACAGGUUCUGAUCUUUUCAGAAUUUUAAUCUUUUGACUCUUAGGAUCAGAUUUUGUCAUUACCUUGAUCUUAAGAUUCUCUGGCUUUGAUGUGAUCUUAGCCUGUGAACCUGAAGCUUCAGGUUUUGACUGAACAGCAGUUAUAGCAUUUGUACCUUCAGGCACAAAGGUGGAUUUCAAUCCAUCCUUGAUACAAUCACAGUAGCUCUUGAGACUGUAUUCUUUGGAUUUCUCCUCAGAAUAUCCAAUCCCUUUGCCUUUGUUCUUGUAUGUGCUGUAGAUCAUAGAAGCAACUUUGCUUCUGUCUAUUCCAGCCAUAAUAAAAUCAUCCAAGGCAAUCUCAUGUUUAUUGCCUGAACCUUUAUCACAUUUUUCUUGUAGCUUCUGACAAAGACUCUUGAGUCUAUCUUCAUAUGUUGUUGAUAUGAGGUUAAACCCUUUGAGUUCUUCUUCAGAAGCUUUCAGUUCCAAUAGAGUUGAUUUUUGUUGUUUCAUCAAAUCAACAUAUUUUUCUUUUAAAUCUGUCAACUCAUUGGUUCUGUGUUCAAACAGUGAUAAAAGUUCUUUUAGAGAAUCAACAAGUUCUUGUCUAGGGAUUUUGGAAUAUACCUCAUUUUCAUCUUCUGAAUCUGAUUCAGCUUCUGAUACUGCUUCUGAUGAUACUGUUGCCACUAAUCCAACGGCUGCCUUAGCAUCAUCAUCAGCUUCUUCUUUAUCAGAACCAGAUUCACUAUCCAAAUCUUCCCAGGUCGCCAUCAAGCUCUUUUUGAUUUGCUUUCUGAAUUUACUGGAGUUGAAGCUUGAUUUCUUGGAUUUGCCUUUAAACUUCUCCUUCUGAAGAUCAGGGCAAUCAGCAAUGAAAUGACCAGGCUUCUUACAAUUGAAGCAUCCCUUCUGAUCUUCUUUCUUGAAGUUCUUGUAGCUACCUCUCUUGCUCAAAAAUUUCUUCUGCUUCCUUGCCAGAUACUCAAGCUUGUUGGACAGCAUAGCCAUCUUUACAGAUUGAUCUUCAUCAGAAUCUCCAUCAGGUGAUUCUUCUUCAGAUUCACUGGCUUUGUAGGCUUUGGAAGACUUUGAGGUCUUUCCUUUAGAUGGUAAAGCAAUGGAUUUACUCUUCUUAGAGGUUUCAUGCUCAUUUAAACUCAUUUCAUGCACUUUGAGUGAGCUAACAAGAUCUUCAACACUUAAAGUAUUUAGAUCCUUAGCUUCCUCAAUAGCAGUUACUUUGGGUCUCCAUCUUGAAGGUAAGCUUCUCAAAAUCUUACUAACAUGAUCAGAAGCAACAUAGCUUUUCUUCAGUAUCUGCAAUCCAGAAACUAAAGUUUGAAAUCUUGAGUACAUUUCUUCUAUACUCUCAUCAUCCUUCAUUCUGAAAAGUUCAUACUGAUGAACUAGCAUCAAAGCUUUAGCCUCUUUCACCUUCUUGCUGCCUUCAAAGUUGGCACAUAGUGACGCAAACAUAGCCUUCGCAGUAGAUUUGUCACUCAUCUUCAUGUAUUCAGUGCGAGGUAUAGAAGCCACAAUAAUCCCUCUGAUUUUGUGGUGCUUCUUGUAAAGCUUCUUCUGAGCAGGAGUAUGUAUUUUUCUAUCUAUAGCAGCUCCUUCUUCAUCUAAAUCCAGGUCAUCAACUCCAUCUUCCAGUAUGUCCCAUAACUCUUCAUCUAAUCCCAUGAUAAAGCUGUACAUAUUAGUUUUCCACCAAGAAAACUCUUCUGGAUCUCCAUUAAACCUUGGAGCUUUUCCAGAGUCUGUUUUCUUGUCAGCAGUAUCAUAGUCAUGCUUGACGCUUGUGUAUUUUGGAGUAACUGAUUCCUCAUCUCCAGACAUGUUUUUCUAAUAGAUCUUGAACUGUAACACGGUUAAGUGCUGUGAUAACAGAGCAGGCUCUGAUACCAAUUGAAGGUGAAAAACACAAGAAGGGGGGGGUUGAAUUGUGUUUUCUUUUUCUCUUAAAAAAGGAUUCUUCUUCUGAUAAAACUUCAGAAGCAGUUUGAUUGCUUCUGAUGAAAUGAUCAGAGUCAGAUUGCAGCGGAAAAGAACAGAGCAGAGAAAAGAAAGACAAAGACACAGGCAGUUAUCCUGGUUCCUUCCACAACACGGAAGUAGUCCAGUCCCCCUUGCACUUCCAAGGAGAUUUCACUAUAAUCACAAGAUUACAACUGCUCAAUACUUUCAAAGUAUGAGACUUCACAAAACAAUGCUCAAGCACACACGCAAGAGUCUUCCAAUGCUCAAGCACUAAGCAAGAGACUUCUAAUGCUCAAGCACGCAGGCAAGAGACUUCUAAUCAAACAAAAAUACAGAGAAUUGAGUUUGAAUUGAACACUUGAUAUACAAUCAGUGGUGUUCACAAUACAAUACAGAAAAGACUCUAGACUUUGAAUUUCUAAGAUGUAUCAAAUCAGUGCAGAAAUUCAGUGUGCUUUGUAGAAUCAAAUUGACAGAGUUUUGGCGCUUUUGAACUUAUGUAUCUCUAUCUAAAAUCUUCAAGUCUUCAUUCCUUUAUAUAGAGGCGUGAAAGAGACGUUGAGAUAAUCAGCACGUCUAAAGAGUCGUUUGAAAUCCUUUGAUUAUCCACCAGUGAUCCUUUGCCUGAUUUGGGUGUAGUCCUUUGAAGGAUAAACUUCAAAUUCAUUCCCAUCUUGAGUGUACAAAUUCUGCAGGCAUGGCUGUUGUUUUGUCUUGUAGCGUAGACAGAAAACAGAGUAGUGGAGGUAGUGGUUGUACACUUGUACUUUGUCAACUCUAUUAAUGAGAGACAAGUGCUCAGUGCUAUCCAUAUAUCCGUUGAUACCUCCCUUUCAAUUCUUCAUUCUUCUUUGAUAAGACUGAAUUGAGAAUCAGCAACUUUGAAUCUUCAGUUUGACUAAAGGAUCAAAUGUAGCUUCUGGUGAAAAUAUUGCUUCUGAUGAAAACUUUUGCUUCUGAUGACUUUCUGCUUCUGAUGACGUCAUCUCUUCAGGAGCAGUUUAGCUUCAGGAGCAGUUUUCUUCAGAUGCUCAGAAUUUCUUUUUCUUUCCAUUGUUCUUCCAAGACCUAUUGAAAUAACUUGAGUAGCCUUUGGUCCUGUACACUUGAACAAUUAUUAGUAAUAACCAAUUGACAAUUUUUAAUACCUUGUUAUCAUCAAAACUUAAUAAGGUUCAUUGUGAAACACAUUUUGUUCCAACAUGGCCAAAUUUAGUGAAUAGGGAAAGGACCCAUAACAGCUCACUCGCCGUGUCAGCCAAGGCUUUAUAUUCUGCUUCUGUAGAAGAGCGAGCAACAGAACAUUGUUUUAGAGAGCUCCAAGAGAUGGGCGUGCUGCCAAGAUAUAAUAGAUAACCAGUGGUCGCCUGCCCAGUCCGCAUCUGAGUAGGCAUGGAGAUUUAAUGGGUCGGUCGUCGAAAUGAAGACACCUUUGUCACAGGAACCCGCCAAAGUAUAGGAGCACUCUUUUGAGUGCAGUCCAAUACACCGUUCUGGAGUUUUGCAUGAAUUGGGCGAGUUUGUUUGUGUUGAAGGCAAUGUCUAGGAGAGUAAGGCUCAAGUGUUGGAGGCUUCCAACGAGCGCUCGAUACUCGGUUGGGGACGUACGGUAGGAGAUCGCCGGAAUCCUUGAGUAACUUAUUUGUGGCAGACAAUGGAGCGAAUGUUUGUUUUGUAUCUGCCAUGCCUGACUUAUGCAGUAGAUCAGUGAUAUAUUUCCUUUGGGAAAGGAAUAUGCCCGUAGUAGAGGGAAUAACUUCGACCCCCAAGAAAUAAUUAAGACAUCCAAGGUCUUUCAAAGAAAAACGAGCAGCAGGUGUGGCGAUGAGUGUUGAGACCUCUGCAGGAGAACUCCCAGUGACAAUGAUAUCAUCAACAUAUACUAAUAAGUAUGGUGUGUAACGCCCUCUUUAAUUAUUUGAUUAUUUUAAAUGAGUUUAGAAUAUACUUAUAUGAUUUGUAUGAUUUAUUUUGAUGAGUGAUAUUUUGUUAUGUUAUAUGUUGGUAUUUAUUAGUAUAAUAUAUAUGUUAUUUGAUUUAGAAAUAUGUAUAUGUUAUUUGAUUUAGAAAUAUAUAUAUGUUAUUUAGAAAUAUAUAUGUUAUUUGAUUUAGAAAUAUAUAUAUGUGAUUUAGAAAUAUGUAUAUGUUAUUUGAUUUAGAAAUAUAUAUAUAUAUAUGUUAUUUAGAAAUAUAUAUGUUAUUUGAUUUAGAAAUAUAUAUGUUAAUUGAUUUAGAAAUAUACAUGAUUUGUCAUAGAAAUAUACAUGAUCUGUUAUAGAAAUAUAUAUGAUUUAUGGUAGAAAUAUAUGUCAUUUGCUAUGGAAAUAUAAAUGAUUUGUUAUAGAAAUAUAUAUAAUUUGUUGUAGAAAAUAUAUGUUAUUUAGUAUGGAAAUAUAUAUAUGUUAUAGAGAUACAUUUGUUAUUUAUUAUUGUUAUAGAAAUAUUUUAUAAUAUAUAUAUAUAUAUAUAUUAGAAUAGAAUAUUAAGAUUGGGAUAUAAGAGAAAAAUAAGUAGGUUAAGGAUUUAUAUAAAUAGGAGAGACCUAGUUUAGAAAAAACAUAACGUACGACUGUUUUUGGAGAAAAGGGAGAAAAAGUCAAGAGAAGAGGGAGAAGACCUAGAGGCUGCGAUUUUUAUUCUUUAAGGUAAGGGUGAGACUAACUUUGCAAUUCUAUUAAGUAUGUGAAUCAAUUGUUAGGUUUAACAUGAUGUAGGAUGAGUUUUGAGGAAUUGAAAAGUAGGUUAAAAUUGUAGAAUUAAUGAAUAAACGGUGGAAACUUGUUAAAAAGAUGUAGAAACUGUUCUUAGACCUUAGAUAAUGAUUAAGAUGAAUUCUGGAAUUGAGAUUAAGCUUAAAACCAUGAGAGUUGAUGAUUUUUAGGCAAAACUGCACUUCUGCUUGUAGCGACAUUCAUCGCUCGCCUCCCGAGCUAUGAUCCUCGCCACGGCGAGUGAUGAACUUCAUCGCUCGCCACGCGAGCAACCUUUCCUCGCCUCGCGAGUUGCACGUUGCAGCUCGCCAUAGCGAGCAGUUGAACUCGCCUCGCGAGCUUGACCAGAGAGCAUGCAAGAUUUCGUGAUUUUGACUUUUGAGUUGAACCUUAGAUGUCUUUGAGUACCUUUAGGUGUCUACUAGAUAUUAGAGGAUUAAUUAGAACAAGAUUGAACCUGGAACAACCUUAGUUGGGAAUCUGGCUUGUACUCGCCAUGGCGAGCGGAUGCUCUCGCCUCGCGAGCACUUCCAGAAUUGAGUGCAUUUGAGGAUUUUGAGACCUGAGUUGCUUGGAUUGAUUAGGAGAGGAACCUUAGGUACUAAUGAGACCUAUUUAAGAUGUUAACUGAGAACUGUGAAGCUAUUGUGAAAUGUUAAGUGAUUAUAAUGUGAUAUAAUGUUUUAUGCAUUACCUAAGAAUUAUUUGAAUACUCAAGAUGUUGUUGAAUUGAAAUUGAUAAUAUUAUGUCAUGCUGUUUGUAUGCUGCCUAUGUUGCUGUUGUUGGUUAUGUGAAAUAUUUAUAUGCCUUAUGUGGAAAAUGUAUGAUGUUUAAGUUGUUGAUGCUUCACAUUAAUAUUGUUAUGUUGUGAAUUGCUUGUGCUGUUUCUGUUGCUGUUAUGAACUGCUAAGUUGUUUGUAAUGUGAUUUAAUGAUUAAAUGCAUUACUCUAAAUAUUAAUGAAUGAUCAAGAUGUUGUUGAAAUGAAUUGUUAUUAAGCUUGAUUGAUUAUGCUGCAAUUGUUAUUUAACUAAGUUGCAUGAGUAUGAAUAUGUUGAUGAUGAACUCCAAAUUAUUGGAUGUAUAAGUGAUAAGUUGAUUAAGGUGUCUUGUUGAUAGAGUCCAUGCAUUAGCAUUCAUUGAGCUUUGUCCUCACCAUGAUUAGGAGCUUUGUCCUCCGCACGAUAGGAGUUUUGUCCUCCGCACGAUUAAAGUAUAUUAAUACUUAUGAUGACGAUUGGUACCACAUGCAUAUAAGUGUCUAAGUUGCAUUGUCGCAUCUGUCGAGUCGAAGUCGUUGUUGAUGAAUUAUCAUCUAUGAGUUGUUAAGUGUACUUGAUGAUGUUUAUGUUAAGUUGAUAGGUUGUCUUUUAUUCAUGAAUUGAUAAUGAGAUGUUUGAUGAAUAAGUAUUAUUAUGAAUUGAUGAUGUUACGUAUAAUUGCUAAGUUGUCUUCUAUUAUGAGUUGCUAAUGAGAUGCUUGGUGGAGAAAUGUUAUUACGAAUUAAUGAUGUCGUUAUGUUGUAUAUGAAUUAUGAUUAUGAUGUGAUGAUCUACGUUGGUUAGGAUUUAGUUAUUAUGUGUUAUAUGAUGAUGUUUAUAAUGUGAUGAAUAUGAAGUAAAUGAUAAUUAGAAGUUGGUUGAGUUAUUAAGAAUUAUUACAUGAAAGAUUAUUAUUAUUAUUAAUAGAGGAAGUUAUUUGUGUUGUUAAAUAUAAUUAUUGAAUUAUAUGCUUGAUAUUAUUGUUUUGUGAAAUCUCACCCCUUCUGCUUGAAAAUGUUGCUCUUCGUAUGAGUAACUUGCAGGUGAUCGAGUUUAAGUUGCUGUUAGAUUACUGUUGUGAGUGGAUUAGCUCUCAUGUGUGUCUUUAGAUGCUCUGAUACGUAACGGGAUGGAAAUUUUAUUGUUGUCUUUCUAUUCCUUACGUAUUGUUUUUAAGAAGAUUUAUGACUAUGUUUUUAGAUUGGAUUAUAUGAGAUAAUUAUGAAGAGGCCUUCGUGCCAAAGACUAUUUUAGAUGUUGAAAUAAAUUCCGCUGCGAAGUAUUAAAGAUUUUGUUAUUGAAUUUUAAAGGAUAAAUAGUUAUUUAUUCAGUUUAUGACUUUAAGAAAAGAAUGUGACAUUCCGUUUUUGUGAAUACUCUGAUUAAUUAAAUGAAAUUUUUACAUUGGGAAAACGGGGUGUUGCAUGGUGGAACACCUGGUUUGUGGUGGAUGAAUAAAGAGGCAUCAGCAGUGGAGUUGACGAAGCCAAGGGAUAAAAGGAAUACUCGAAGCUCCGUAUACCAGGCACGAGGUGCUUGCCUUAAGCCGUAAAGUGCAUUUUUGAGACGACAAAUAUGAUCAGUGAAGUUUUUCUCGACAAAUCCAGGUGGUUGUAACAUGAAUACUUCCUCCUUGAGUGUACCUUGGAGGAACGCAUUGUUAACAUCAAGCUGGCGAAGGGACCAUCCUUGACGAACUGCAAGUGUAAGGAGAAUUCGAAUAGUCGCCGGUUUAACAACUGGACUGAAUGUUUUUGUGUAGUCACAACCAAGGCGUUGAUGAAAUCCUAUGGCGACUAGUCGUGCCUUGUUACGAUCAGUGGAGCCAUCCGGAUUUCGUUUGAUACGAAAAACCAAUUUACAUCCAACCAAAUUCUGAGCAAAGGACCGGCUAACAAGAUCCCAUGUGUUAUUGUUCUGUAAGGCAUCAAAUUCAUCUUGCAUAAUCGAGCGCCAAUCAUGGUCACGAAGGGCUUGAGUGAUAUUGCUUGGUUCGAUGGGACAUAAGGGGCGAACAUGAAGGUUAAGCUUUUUGAUGGUUUUAACAAUGUUGUUUUGAGAACGGGUGAUGAUCCCACCGACGUUGGUAGUGUGGUUGUUGUGUGGGCGAGCAGUGGGUGGGGGCGGUGGUGGAGGUGUUGGCGAUGUAGUGAUGUUGGCCAGUUCAUUGGAUGUUGGAGAUGCGGGCGAGGAUAUUUGAAUGUUUUGGGCGACCUCAUUGGAGUUUGGUGAAGAGGGCGAAGAUGUUUGAGUGGAUUCGGCGAGCUCGCUGGAUGUUUUUGAGGACGGCGACUGUUGUUGAGUGGUGUGAGCGAGGUCAUUGGGCAUUGGUGAUGAGGGCGCAGACGGGUGAGUGAUAUGGGCGAGAUCAUCUGACAUUACACCACUGACAUUUGCCGAGGAAGGGUUUGCGAUUUCCAGGGCGUUGAUUUGAUUGUGUGGGGAGCUUGGCAGGGCGCCGUUUGUUGUUGGGUCUUACCUGAGCAUUCAAGGCAGUGAAUGGGGCAGGGGGUUGUUGCUGAACAGCGGCGAUUGAUAGUUCCUGGAUGAGAAGCUUCUCAAGAAGGUCGUCAAAGGUAAUUAAGUUAUCCCUUGCAUUCACUCCGUCAUUGACAGAGCUAUAGCCGUCGUCGUGGCCAAGUGUUUAGUUUAAGAAACCCAUCCAACCAUAGCCAUUUUGACCUACAUUUACAUAAAUAAAUAAAAUGUUAAUAUUAAUAAAAAACUUACAAUAGCAACAAAAACUGAACACAUUUCAUUAUGAAAAUAGGAUAGAACAACUCUUCCCAUUCAGCAAAAAAAAAAAUAAUAAUAAAUACAUUUGUUCCUUCCUUGUAGCUAUGAAGCUUUGGGGACAGAUAAUUUAAAACGCAAGUCCUCACCAAGGGCACGCAUGGAUAGCACGAAAGGAAAUACGUCGAGCUGCAGAAAGCCAGGCGGCCACGGACUAUGUGGUUUGAGCCACUGCGAGACACGUCCUAUGACAAUGCAAAAAGCCAGACAACAAUCGAUGGAUUUCUGGUAAUGAACUGUAAAAGAAGAAAUGAAUGCUUAGGUCAUAGUUAGAGAAAAGUUCCAAAAAUAACUGACUGGACAGUCUGAAAUUCUCAUGCACACCAUUAUGCAGAAAACCAGAAACCUAACUUGCUACAAUUGUGAAAAGGAAACGUGCAUUCAAAAUGAGAAGAAAAAAAAAGAGAGGUUAAUUUCAUCAGAUAAAAGGACUUUCAAUCUAUGUAGUCAUAGAAUUUCAUUUCUAUUUUUGAUGUACUAAACUACAAUUUUGUUAUGAAACACAUAUAAGAUGAAGUUUUGAUCUAAUUUUACCUGCCGGAAAAAGGUACACAUUUACAUUAAUGGUCUUCAUACUACUUCUUUUCAUAAUACCUAAGAAAUGACAAGUUAUUGCUAUUUGAAAAUAUAUUAUUUUCGGAUAAUGAUCAACUUCUUUUUAAAAAGAUGUUUCGAAAAUAUUAUGAUUAUAAGAACUUAUGCUUUCAAAGUAUAAGGAUCUUACUUGUAACAGCAUUCAUCUAUAUGAUCCACCGCAAUUUAUUAGACGUCAGUUGAAAAGCUUCCAUCACCUUUUAAGAGUUCUGGACUGAAGGGAUAUAGCUGGAGGACGCGAGAGAUGGAUUCCCAAACUUUCAUCAGACCUGAUUGCUUUUGAUGCCUCUGAAGCAUCCUUAUGUACUAGUUGAACAAAAAUUCAAGUUGAUAGCUAUGGCUUCUCCAUUCUGCAAGUCACAAGCAUUCAAAUAGAUGUGAUAAGUAACACAAUAUACAGUUAUGCUGCAACAGAGAAGAUCGAUAUUGAUUACUCGACAAAUUUUUGUACUCCCUCUAAACUUGUCAUCAUUCUUUUUGUCUGAUUUUCAAUCACAAUAUCUCCCCACUUCAAACAAUAUGCAUUAUUAACUUUCAUGAAAUUCAUUUUACUUGUUGUUUCGUUUUUGACAUGCAGGUUUGUGACUAACCCAAGAUAAUACGUUAUCGUAGUAGCUAUUUGAUUGGUUGACUUAAGGAUUUGAUAUAAACGUCUACCACUCUGCAAUGCACUUGCGUUUCAUUUUUAACAUACAGGUUUAGGACAAUCUUAGAAAAUACUUCAUUCUUCUCUAUGUAGGACCGAGACAAAUACGUUCAUCGGACACGACACUGCCAUGCCGACACUACAUGUAUUAGUGUCCGACACCGAAUACGCUUUUGAAGUCAAGUCUUACAAGCUGUUUGUGUCUGAGACCUUAGGGUAGCUCCUAAGGACAACAAACUAAUAAAAGUAAAGGAAUGGAAAGAGAAAUGAAUCCCAGAUUGUCUUGAUUAAGCUUUUAUAUCCAAACAUGUAAAUUUGAACCACAUACAAACAAAUCAUUUUCAGGAAUUCCUUUUCAAGUGAAGUUGAACUCAUAUUUUCUUCUAAAGAAUUUUCAAAUGGUCAUUCAGAUAUAUAACAAACCUUCCAAUCGGCCAUAAUAUAUAAAUCCAAACAUAAAAAGGUUUCAGAAUAUAUACUAACAACUUAAUUUAAAAUGAAUGACUAAUAUAUAUUUAUCCAAACUUAUAAGGUUUCAAUAUUUUGCCAUUAAAACAACAAACCAUAUUAAUGCUUCUGUUAGAGGAAAUUUUGUUGACAGUCUGUAGCUUAAAACUGAAACAAUUCAAACUAAUUAGCGUUUUGUACUUUGCCGCAUAGCUAGACCCUGAUUUCUUGUUUUUGCAGCCAAACACAUGUUCAACUUACAACUAGACAUUAAAUUAUUGGGAAUAAUAUGGUAUGAACUUUAAUAUAUAUAAUACAGACAUUAAUCAAAUUGUGGAUAACAACUAAAGCAAAUUUACUGGUUGAAAAUGCAGCAAGGACAAACAAUACAUUGUGACUGUGCCCAAACGAUACUCAUGUGAUCACGAAAAGAACAGUGUUCAUCCAUUUCCUACUCUUAUUUCCUAUAUGCAAUGCAAUGGUGUCCAUAGAGGAAAAAGAGUGCUAUGGAUGUCACUCAAAUCCAACGCCAGAGACAAGAAGCUGAAAACCCUAAAAUUUUCUCUAUCAGUUGGUAGCCACAGAGGAGAAAAAUCAGCACUCAUCACCGCUGGGAUAAAAUAUGAUGAUGCAGAAACCAGGGAUAUUGAAGCUGAAGGUCGGGUGUUGUGAUGUUUCUGCCAUUGUGUCAGUGAGCAGAAAGGUGAACAUUUGACCGGGAUUGAAAGUUUGAGGGAUCGUGUCAAGGAAUGUCCAUAGGGAAUCCUCACAAUCGAGCCGGUUAGGAAGCCUAUCUUGUAAGAGUCUCCAACCAUACACAACUUUUUUUAGCACUGAUGUGAGCCAUAAUCUAUGCACUGCCUUCAAUAAUUCAUCGUCGAAAUCAUUGAAAAACGCAAAUUUCACAGCUCUUGAUAACAUCCUUUCUCUGAGAAUCUGCUGUACUCUCCGGCAACAAUUUAACAAAAUCUGAUACAGGUUCCUGCAGCUAUAAAUUUUCCACCAUUCUUUGCUCAUUCCCAUUCAGACUUCGCCACCAGCACCAGCGCCAAACCUGUAUAUUUUCCGCCUACAUCCGCUUUUGCGACAUGGUAUUGCAUCUGUCUGCAGCCAAUAUGUACAGUUCAGGAAAUAGAAACUGAUUGGUUGGUUACACUUCCACAAUUCAUUGCAAAGUAAUGUGGUUUUCACCAUUUCCUAUCGCACUUCUAAGAAGAGUUGCAAACCAGUUUGGUUCAAUGUCAAUAUCCCUUCCAAUUCUAUUGAGGGAUGCUUUAAUUACUUUUAUGGUAAAAUACACUCGUCAAAUAUGUGCUAAGGUUUUUGAAGUUGAUCAUAUGAAUAUUCAAUUAUAUCUUCUAAUAAUUUCUGUGAUUAUAUAUUGUAAUUACUUAGAAUAUGGAAAGUAUGGGUAGCAUGUGUAAAGCUGGCUGUUAUGGGUUUUUUUGGCUCAUGAAUUUGUUGGUGGUAUCUCAUUCUGUGUUGGUUUAGAGUUCUCUUCCUUUAGUUUUUGGUCCAAUGGGGGGUGAACUCUAGUGAUUUCACUAAUUAGUUUUUUAUCAGCUCCGGUUACUGGUUUUUGGCCUUGUGGGAGGUUCUUAGUUUUUUCUCAUUUUAAUGGGUUUUGGCUUACUCUCCCAUUCUGGAUGGUACAAUAAUUAUAUUUUAAAAGCUAUUAUGAUAUAAUAUAUACAAUACCUUUUUUAUGAGAAUAUUCAAAGUCUAGUUGUAAUUAAAAAUCAAACACUUUUAUUUAAGAAAUGUUAGUUCACAUCAUUGAAUAGAGAUUUGAGAUGAACCAUCUGUCAGAAUCAUACAUACAUUUGUUGUUGCUGCGACACAAGUUCUGUUGCAGAAAAAUGAUUUGGCAGAAAACUGCUUUUACACAAGAAUACCUUAUUAAUUACAAGAGCCAUACAGUGUUGUUUCUGCUACUCAAGUUCUGUCUCAAAAAACUUCUGAGUUCUGAUCUUCAUCUGCUUUAAUCUUUCUAUACGGAUUCAAGUUUGUGUACUAAGAUUGAAAUUCUCAAAACCAACGGAUUCUAUGCUGCGAGCAAUCUCUAGACAUGUCGCAUGACAAUGCAAAUAGCCAGAUGACUACAGAUGGUUUCCUGACAAUGUACAGACAAAGAACAAGUAAAUGCUUAGUUUUCGUUAGAGAAAAGUUGCCUGAGUUUCAAACAUAAUUUCUUUAUGUUUAUUUCAACAAGAGAGAAUCCACUCUUGAAAUUGUCAUACAAACCAUUAUGCAGAAAACAAAAAAUUCUGACAUGUUACGGUCAAAAUGAGAAAAUAAAAUGAAAUUCAGUUUAAAAUAUUAAUAAAUCAUAUGAAGGAAAUAUGAAUUCUUGAGAUACAUUAAGGAGUAGCAGAUCGAAGUAAAUUAAUUUUUCCUAUUGUAAGUACAAAACCAAAACUUAGAAUUAUAAAAAAGGCUUCUUUAUACCAUGAAGUACAUACAUUUAAAUAUUUCCUGAACAGAUUUUUUUAAUUUUUUUUUUUUUUGCAAUUUUUAAUCCCUUAAACUAUCUAUUUAACUGUGAUAUAAGAUGAAGUUUGUAUCUAAAUUGACCUGUUGGACAAAAGAUACACAUUUUUAUAACGGUCUUCAUACACCCUAAGAAAUGACAAGUCAUGCAUAUUUAUAAAGAUUAUAAUUAAAAGUAUUUAUGGUUUCAAAGUAUAAGGAUCUUACUUGUAACAACAUUCACAGAGGAUCCGCCGCAAUUUAUUGGAUGUGGUGCAAUUUAUUAGAUGUUUUUGUGGAUAUGUCCAACUUCCACCACAGCUUUUAAAAGUUCUGGACUGAAGGGAUAUAGGUGGAGGCCCUGAGAGAUGGAUUCCCGACCCCGAUCCGAAACAUUCAUCAGACCUGAUUGUUUCAGAUGCCUCUGAUAGCUCUGGAUUCAACUUUCCACUGGUCACAUGCAUUCAAAUAGAUUUGAUAAGUAACAUAAUAUACAGUUAUGCUCAACAGAUAAGAUCCAUAUUGAUUAUUUCGACAAAACUAAGCAUUUAGCUCACUGUAAACCUCGUGUGUGCUUAUAAGCUAGUGGAAUUUUUAUGAAUUAUGUAUCAUGUUUGAAUUGCAAUCACGUUAAAUUUCAUUCAUAAAAGUUAAAAAUCCAAAUAGCCUGAAAGCAUAUAACAUUAGUUAGGACUUCUUCAAGUUUAUGAAACGUAUAUGUUUACUAGCUAAUAGUAAAGCCACUUUCUUAAUCAACUAAAUGUAGAGCAAUAUUAAAAAACAUGUGUCGACACUGGUAGAAAUUGAAGAAAAUAACAUAUUUGAAUGUAGUCAGUGGUGUCGAUGUCGAACUUACAGACAUGUGUCGGACAUGUACACGUCUUCGUGAGAAGUGUAUGUGCUACAAAGCAUCCUCCACAGUAAGUUGAAGCAAUAUUUUAGAGUGAACAAACAUUAAUCAAGGAAUGUUGAGAUUGAGAGAAUAACAACAAAGCGGUUAACUUUAUGAUGAACCUAGACCAAGGAAUGUACCCAACAUCUUUGUAUUCUCUUCUUUCAUCAAUUCCUUUUGUUGCACCCACAUCUUUCUCUGAAAAUCCAUAAGGAUUGAAAAUUUGUUUUGUUUCCUUUUCUUUUCUGAUAAUGAUGCAUUGAGAUAGUCAGCUAAUUUUUUUCAUAACGGUCUUCAUACACCCUAAGAAAUAACAAGUCAUGCAUAUUAUGAUCAAAAGCAUAUUUAUAAAUAUAUUACUAUGAGAUGGCAAUCAAUUUCUUUUUCAAAUUAUCUUUUAUAAAUAUUAUGAUCAAAAGCAUUUAUGAUCAAAAUCUUCGAAGUAUAAGGGUCUUGCUUGUAACAACGUUAAUUCAUGAUCCGUCCCAAUUUAUAAGACCUUGUGUGAAAGUUUCCAGCUCCACUACACCUAUUAAAAGUUCUGGACCAAAGGGAUUCCAAACCUCAAAGUUCAUACCUCUGAAGCAUCCUUAUGUAAUGGCCAUGCAAAUAUUCAAGUUGAUAGCUGUGGAUUCUUAUUUCUGCAGGUCGCCUGCAUUCAAAUUUCAAACAGAUGUGAUAAGUAACACAAUAUAGAGUUAUGCUGCAACAUAUAAGAUCGAUAUUGAUUACUCGACAAGAUGAAUUUACAUAGCAUGCCAAAACUAAGCAUUUUGUGCACUGUCUGACUCCAGAAACGUCUUUAAUGAUUUGAAAAACUUGUGCAGGAAGAAACAAUUAUUUGGUUCAUGAUAAAGUUAAAUAUAUACCUUGACCAUGGAAUCUAUCUAUCAACGGUGUUCCUUUUCUUUUGUUUCAGUAAGCACGAAGUUUGGCAUGCCUGACACUAAAGCGUCGAAUUGUGAUUGCAAAGCAUUGCGACAUUCAUCUAAUUUUAUCUUUCCAUAAGAAUUGGUGAAUAUGGCAUUCUCCUCCAUGUUGUUUUUCUCCUUGUACAUGAUUCCCAUUUUUACAUUUGAUGAAUAAUAGUAGAAGUGCUUCCUUGAGUUUAGGCACAAGUUUCCCACACUACAAAGUGCUUUGUCAAAAAGAGUAUAUUUAUAGCCAUUGACAAACAAAGAAGAAUAAUAAUAAUUGUUCUAAAAGGGAUCUUUUUACGAAACCAGAAAGAAAUGGUGUGUCCCUUGCUUCUGUGCCUUGAUUUGCAUUGAAAUCCAGAAAACUUUUCUAGAUUCGAUGGAAUCCCUCGAUCUUCCUCAAAACACUUGCAUUCAUCCAAUCUAAGGAUCCUAAGAAGGUUAAUUUUUAAAUUGUCACCUGAUAUUGUUAAGUGACGAAGUUCACUAAGAUUUUGAAAGGAAAAUGGAAAUUCUCCUAUGGAAGUUUCCUUCAACAAGAUAGAUUUUAUAUUUGUCAUCUUGCAUAAUAAUUCUGGAAAACUCUUGAGACUCUUACAAUUAGAGAGUUCCAAAUUCUGAAGAGAGGGAGACUGUAAGGGUGGAAAACUCUCGAGCUUCUCGCAACCCUCUGCAUUUAAGAUUUCUAAUCUAUUUAGGUAUCUAAGUGAAUUGUGAAUUGUAACUAAAUUAUGACAUCUUGCAAACGAGAACUUUUCUAAAUUUGGAAGCCAUGAGACAUCGGGUGUAUAGAUUAAAUCUUGACAAUUGUCGAAUAUCAACACUUUCAUAUUCUCAAGCUUCUGCAUAAACACACAGAAGAAACAAAAAAUAAAUAAAUAAAAACCAAACACUAUACUCUCAUAGUGAAUUAUAAAUAUAUACAAUUAGGAAAUGGAACUAUAUAUGUACAAAAAAAAUGAUAUUGUUUAACUUGCCUUAUUCAAACUACUAGAUGAUGGAGACCUCAGAAUACAUCCUUUCAUUACCCUCAAACUUCUUGGAAGAUACUUGAGACUUUGAAUAUGAUAGCCAUUUUCAGUAAUAAACGUUUUGAGGUGUGUCAUCUUCUUGAAGGCCUUUCCAUUCUUGUCUAUUACGGAUUCCAUAGAGUGCAAAUUCAUAUAUAUCAUUUCAAUUUUACUGGUUCCCUUUUAACGAAAAAAAAAAAAAAAAGAUGAAUCAACCACAAUACAAAUAAGAUAGAGAAAUUUAUGUGUAAUUAACUGAAAAGAAUUAGUAGUAUCAGAUGCUUGUAUACAUAUCCAAAAAGAGCAAAGUCAUGUUAAAAGCUAAAUAACAAAUUGUUCCUGCAUAUCAAUCUUACUCACAGUGUUUUCUUCUAGAACUUCAAAUAUAUCCUUUUCAAACCAUAACCUGCUUCUUUUUCCAGGCUCAAAAGGUGAUUCUAGUCGGACGAGUUCUUUACCCAUGUUCUCUAUCAAGUUAUGUAAUGACACAUGACUAUCGUAUUCAAAAUGGUCAAUGAGACAUUUUUCAACUAGCACUUCAACAUGAUGAUUUAUGCAAUGACCAUAAUGAGCAUGAAGUAUUUCUUUGACCUUUUCCCAUUUACAACCUUUGAAGCAACAAGCAAUGUCUAGAAAGACACUUUGCUCCUCUUCCUCCAAAGAAUCAUAGCUCACUUUAAGUAUUCUUUGGAUCUCUUUAUUGGGAAUCUUUUCAUACCAAUCUAAUGUAUUCUUGCAUUCUUCUAUGUUCUUUCCAAACAAGUUAGAACCCACUAUUUCUAUAACUACCGGAAGGCCAGAAGCAUAAGCAACUACACGAUUCAAAAUCUUUUCAUAACUUGAAGGAACUUUGUCAUUUUUAAAAGCCAUCCACCUCAACAAUUCAAGAGCUUCUGUCACAUUCAACCCUUUUACUGCAUAUGUUUUUUCUAUCUCAUGACAGGCUAGUAAGUGUUUAUCUCGGGUGGUGAUGAUGACUCGGCUUCCAGGACCGAACCAAUCAACUCCUCCAGCCAAAGCAUUCAGUUGCUUCAUAUUGUCAACGUCAUCGAGAAUCAAAAGAAUCUUCUUUCUACACAACCUUUCCUUUAUGAUUGAGAUUCCCUCACUGACAUCUGCUAACUUAAUUUUCAGUUGAAGUGUCUUUGAAAGGAGCAUCUCCUGGAAACGUUUCAAGCUAUUUGAAGCUGAAUUCUCUCUGACUUGUUCAAGAAAACAUAAACCUUCAAAUUGAUCAGCAACAAAAUUAUAGAUUGCUCUUGCAAGUGUUGAUUUACCUGAGCCUCCAAUCCCAUAAAUUCCAACCAUAUGGACCCCAUCAUCAGGUCCCUCAUCAAGAAGCGAUUUCACUUGUUGUACUCGAGACUGCAAUCCAACAGGGUAAGUGGCAACAUGUAAGGACUGUCGACUGAUCUUGUUGGAGAUGUAUUUGACUAUCUUUCCAAUAAGCUCGUAUUCAUAUCUAUUCAUGUCCAAUAAUAUAAGUUAGUAUGUAACAACAUCACACAAUCACAUCCAUGUACUCAUAAUAUAUUAUACAUUUUUAACUAUUUUGACAUAUAAAUAACUAACAAUUGUUUAAAAACAUAAAUAAAAAAGGUGUUACACAUUUAGGCUUUAAGAUGGUAUUGAGGAAUAGAAAUUAAAUAAAUUAAAUGCAAAAAGCAAAACAGGAAUUAAGUAAAUAGGCGUACCCAUGACUAUCAUCAUGGUAGCUGGGCAAGUUAGCAGCCAGACUCAGAGCCACUUUCCAUUGCUGCAACCUCUCCAUGUUUUUCGUAUCAUUUUGAAACCUAUUUUCAUGCUCAGCCAAUGCUUUACCAUACCUACCUGUAUGAUGUCGCACAUCAGUAGGUUCCACACCAAAGAAAACAGGCAAAACGAGGCAACCCUUGGUUUUGUAGCAGUGAAUGAUGUGGACAAGUGUGUCCAAACAAGAUGAAGAAGAUGCAUAGUUGGCAGAAAAUAUGGGAAUCAAAAUCCUGGAUUCUUCAAUAAUGAUUGGUGUGACUUUGUCUCUUCUUUGAAGAUCACUGUCAUCGUCAUCAUGGAAGGUACGAAUUCCCUUGUCAAUAAGAGCCUUCAAGAGAUUGCCGGUGAAACCGUACCGAGUGUCGGUGCCCUUACAAAUGAGGAACACAUCGUAACUGAAUGCAUAGGAAAAUGAAGAGGAAUAGAAAGGUAAUUGCAUGGCCAUGAGAAUUGAGAGAAAUAAGAUGAGAAGAGUUUGAGAAUG
rnacentral:lncRNA from 1 species